CCAACCUCAGCCUAUUCAAAGGGAAUCUCGCACCAGCCAGUGUUUCAAAUCCAGUAUCUUUGGAUAACAAACAAUGGCGGACCAUUUCGUUGUAUAUCUUCAACAACCUGAUAGAAGUGCGGCCGUACAUCGAGUAAGUUCUCGGUACAUAGUUUCGCAACUUCUAUUUCCUUUGAACUGCUCUUAUUCCUGGAUAUUUCAUACAGUCGAUACGUCGCCUUAUUCUCGUAUGGAGCGGUGAUCCAAAAGGAUUCUGUCGAAGAGUAUGAGCUUCUCGCAAAGCAAGGUGGCGGCUAUCCCGGUUUCAUCUCUUGGUUCAAACAAACGGUAAUUUCUAUUAGACUUGUAGGCUAAUUUGUAGGCGGCUAUCCCGGUUUCAUUCGCUAAUUUGUGUGUAAUGCAACAAUCCUUUCAUAUUAAACUUGUAGGCUAAUUCAGAGUCUAUGGACGCCGAAUUGAGACAAGUCGCUAAUGGUUUUGACUAUAAGGUCCGUUCAUUUGACAAAUACGACAUCAACGGGUAUCGCUUUCGUACCUAUGGCAAAGAGCUAUCUAUGGCCGGCCGAAAGUCUACAAAUUGUUGUGUAUCUGCUAUCGGCGAAGGAGGUACCGAGUAUUAUGGGAGAGUUGAAGCAAUUUAUGAACUUCUAUUCUAUGGUGAAAACCCACCGAAUGUCGUAGUCUUCAAAUGUUAUUGGUUUCAGCCGAAGGAGACUAGAAGAACUCAUGAACAUAUAGGGCUAGUUGAAAUCAACCAAAGCACCCAUUUAGAUGUUCCUGAUGUCUAUAUUACGGCUCAACAGGCGACCCAAGUAUUCUAUCUACCGUGGGCCUGCCAAACUAAUCCAAAUCUGAAAGGUUGGGAAGUCGUUUAUGAAGUGCCGCCACGUGCUAGACUAUCUCCCCCAAAGGAAGAGGAUUAUGAACCUCACAUUAACCCAGACACAUAUGAAGGAGAAUUCUUCCAAGAGACACGUCUUUCCAAAAAGCGUUUCAAGAACCGCUAUACUUCACCCCAAAACAUUGAAGUAGACACUGACAGUGAAUCCGACAUCACCCCAGAGGAGGAACAAGAAGAGCCGGAACAAGAAGAGGUUACUGCUGCGGAUGACCUGUCAUUGCUUGACCGAUUACGUCAAGGUGGCCUUGCAUAUGUUGAUGCCACUGAACCCUAUGAGCCCGUCAUUGAUUAUAGUGAUGAUGAUGAUUAUGCAUUUAUUGAUGAUACUGAUCGAGAUUAUUAGUAGUGUCAGGUAUUAAAUUUUUUAAUGUUGUACUUGAUGAUGAUACACUUAAGUGAUACACAUAUUAUUAUUCAUGUCGGUUUUUUUUUAUGUUGUACUAAUUUCGUUUACUGUUUGUCAUGGCAGGUGUUGAAAGAUGGUGGGCGCUGGUCGGGAGCGCGCCAAGGCCCCUUCUUCCUCGGCGCGUGGUCUGAGGUCCUCGAUUCCAGACGUACCUCUUCGCCGAGCGUUGCUGGACAGUAUGUCCACACCGCCGGGCCCUUCUUCGUCCACCGCGGUGCCCAGCAGGGGACGAGGUAGGAAGAGAGGAGGUGGGGCACGUGGUCGCGGGAGAGGAGGUAGGGUGACUGCUAGGGAGCCUUCCUCGCCGCCACCCCCAGCUGUUUCACCCGAGCACGUGACUGCUAGGGUGGACUCGUCCGAGGAGGAGGCUACACGGACUCCGGUCCACGAGCCUCCGGUCCACGGGUCUUGGGCCCACGAGCCUCGGGUCGACUGGCCUUCGGCCCACGAGAGUUCGGCCCACGAGACCCCGGAGGAGCACACGUCCGGAUGGGGUACCUGGCCGGAUCAGCCCGAGGAGCCGAGUGGCCAUGCUGAUGAUGGCGGGGAGCCGACUGAUCUUGAGGAGGAGGGUGGCACCGUCUACCAGCGUGGUGCUACACGGCUCCCGUCCGUGCCGGCAACUCGCGAGCAGAGGUGGUUGAUCUUCCCUGAUGGGGAGAGGUACGUAAGUGCAUUUAAUAUUUUUGUACCUUCUGCAUUCACGUUUCUUCAAAUAACUAAUGCGUUGGCCUUGUCAUGCUGCAGGGGUUGGGACCACCAUCAUAGUGUCCGCCGGCCCAACUCCGUCCUUGGAGUUCUUUGCCGGCAAAACUUCCCGGGGUUUGUCACGUUGCCUGGUGAGGGUCGGCUUCCAGAGCUUGGGUUGAGCUGGGAGCACUACGUGGCUGCCCCGGCCCCGCCGGAUGUCAUUAUCGACGGUGUCGUGUGCGACACGAGGGCAGACAUGGUGAUCAGGACGUUCUGGGUAAUUUCUCCUUUACACAUUUCAAAAUCUUCAACUAGCUAGUUAUUAAUUGUACUAAUCAAUAUUGUCUCAUUUGAUUGCAGACAUUCUACAGGUGUGAGGAGGGAUACGAGGAGGACUGCGCAAAUGUUAUCCAGAACGUCUGCAAGCGCCUACUCCAGAACUUACGGCACGAGGCUCGGGUGCAGGCUGUUCGAGACUACUACGCCUUGCAUGGUAUCAAGAAGACCAAGCCGGCGUGCCGCGAUAAGUUCCUGAGUAAGGAGCAGUACAUGAAGGUAAUUCUUAAGGCCUUCUACUUAAGUUCCUUCAUUUAGUAAUUCUUAGCCGUAGCGCUCAAGUUUCUAUUUGCUAACUUAGGCGCCUCCGAGAUGGUGUGCGGAUCGGAUGGAUUGUUGGGAGGUGUUGGUCGAUGAGUGGUGCUCACAAGAAUGGCUAGCCCUCCACAACCAGGCCAAGGACAAACGUGCCCAAAUGGAAGGUGUGCCACACCAUCAAGGCAGCUCCAACUUAUAUCAGUUCGGGCGCAACUGGGUAUGUGGUUUGCUUCAUGAUUCAUGCAAUUCAUUCAUCAUGCUAGCUUGAGCCCUUUAGUUACUAAUUUUCAUUGUUUCUCUCUUUCAGGCACGCCACAAUAAGGCGGAUAAGGUGCCAGAGGUGUACGACCUGUAUGCCAUGGCCCACACUGGCUCUUACAAGAAAGUCAAGUCUUUCUCUCAGUCUGACCUCGAUGAUGCAAACAACUUCACCAACAUCUCCUCCCACAACAAGCUCGUGAGAUAUAGAGAUGAGGGGAAGGCGAGGAAAGGGGAGGACUUUAACCCGAGCCAGGGUCCCAUUGAUCCAGAGCUGGUGAUGAUAUCUGGUGGCGGGAGGUCCCAUGGCUCCAUAGCCAUUGGAGAUGGACUUAUCCGUUGUCCUAGCACUCUCCCAGAGAUCAAGGCGCGCCAGUCGAGCUCCGCUCCUGAGAUAAGGCCUCGUGAACGGCCAGUGCAACUCGCCAUCAAGGUUAGUGAUACGUACUCAGCUAUCUUUCUCCAUUACAUUGUGUGCGCUUCCAUCAAUGAUUACAAAUGGUCAUGUGAGUGGUGUUGCAGGCUGCUAUACAGAGUGAGAGAGAUAGAACGGAGAAACUUCUGGCGGAGGCGGCGGAGAGGCAGCGGGAGUUGGAGGAGAGGACGACACAGAUGAUGGAGGAGGAGAGGGCACGGAAUGACAUGCAGGCAAGGGCCAUGUACGAGCUCCUUGUGGUAAGUUUCUUCUGCAGAUUAGCCAAAACAUUCAUGUAGUGUUUGUCUCAUUACUAACUAGUAUGACUGAGUCGUCAAAACCAAAUGUGCAGUCUGUGUGCGAGAAGACCGGUCAGACCGCUCCGCCGAUGCCAGUGAUUGCUCCUGGGACCACGGUGAGUUUAAUUUGAAUGGACAUUACUUGCUAGUCUUAACAUUUGAGUGUCAUAAUGCUAACGAGACAUUGGAAAUGAUCUUUGGUGCAGCUUAACUCCAGAAACGCAUCGCAUGAUCCUUCUCCAGCUACCGGCACUAGCCAGCCCGCUCCUACACCUCCCUGAUCACGGUAAGUUUCUCUAGUGUUUUGCUUAACAAAUGCAUAAAGACCUAUACUUAGCUUUAUUUCCUCCAAUAUGCUUACCAUAAUGACCUAGAGUUAGCUUCUUUUCCUCCAAAAUGACUUAAUAAGCUUACUGACCUCAUAAACCAUCCAUUUUACCUAAGUUAGCUCUAAAACGAUAUGUACUUAGCUUACUUAUGUCAAAAAUUGCAUAAUUAGCUCAUAAACGACCCAUUUCACCUAGGUUAACUCAUAAACGACCCAUUUCACCUAGGUUAGCUCAUAAACGACCCAUUUCACCUAGGUUAGCUCAUAAACGACCCAUUUCACCUAGGUUAGCUCAUAAAUGACCCAUUUCACCUAAGUUAGCUCAAAAAGAUCCAUUUCAACUAAAUUAGCUCAUAAAUGAUCCAUUUCACCUAAGUUAGCUCAAAAACGAUCCAUUUCAACUAAAUUAGCUCAAAAAUGAUCCAUUUCAACAAAGUUAGCUCAAAAACGAUCCAUUUCAACUAAGUUAGCUCAAAAACGAUCCAUUUGACCUAAGUGAGCUAAAAAAGAUCCAUUUCACCUUAGUUACCUCAAAAACGAUCCAUUUCAACUAAGUUAGCUAAAAAACGAUCCAUUUCAACUAGGUUAGCUCCAAAAUGACCCAUUUCACCUUACUUAGCUCAAAAACGAUGCCCUUCACCUUAGUUAGCUCAUAAACGACCCAUUUCAACUAAGUUAGCUCAUAAAUGAUCCAUUUCAACUAAGUUAGCUCAUAAACAACCCAUUUCAACUUAGUUAGCUCAUAUAUGAUCCAUUUCACCUAAGUUAGCUCAUAAAUGACAUAUACUUCUUGUUCUAGUCUUCUUCUUGUUCUAGUCACCUAUUUCUAACUUUCUUAUUUACCAUUUUGCAGAUUUCAUUCACUUGAUGGAAGCUAGCUUGCUAUGAUGGAGUGCCUUUGAUGAAACUUUGCAUUGUAUCUAGCUUGCUAUCUUCAUGACACUUUGCAUUGUAAUAUAUAUAUGGAUGGAACAAUGUGUAUGGAUGGAACUUCCUUAUGUAUGAACAAUGUGUAUGGAUGAAACUGAUGUGAUAUGUGAUAUGUGCUGGAUAUGUGAUAUGUGAUAUGUGAUGGAUAUGUGAUAUGUGAUAUGUGCUAGAUAUGUGUUGGAUAUGUGCUGGAUAUGAAACUUAUAUAUGUGAUAUGUGCUGCAAAUUGUGGGAUUUAAUAAAAAACAGAAAAAACAGACAAUAUCCAGGCUCUUUGCCGUCUGCCACCGACGGCAAAGAGCCUUUGCCGUCUGCCGCGGACGGCAAAGAAGCCACGUGGCAGCCAACUGUGCUUCCUGGGAGCUGACCCAUUUGGUCAGUUUGCCUACAGUGGCAGACGGCAAAGACUUUGCCGUCCGUGGCAGACGGCAAAGAACCUGCACUUUGCCAUCAGUGGCAGACGGCAAAGAACCUGCCAUCUAGUGACGUGUACAUGACAUCAUAAGGUGGACGGCAAAGAACAAAGGCUCUUUGCCGUCUGCGGCGGACGGCAAAGGUCUGCCGUUAGCCACUUAACGGACUGACAGCGCAAUUAUUGCCGUCCGCCCUCUUUGCCGUCCGCCGCGGACGGCAAAGAGCCUUUGCCGUCCGCCGCCAGGAAGCAGACGGCAAAGCAGCUGUUUACCGUAGCCUUCUUUGCCGGAGCCUUUUGCCGUCCGCGGCUGAUGGCAAAGGUCUUUGCCGUCCGCCUUUCGAGCCUUUGCCGUCCGCCAUGGCAGACGGCAAAGUAGCUGUUUCCUGUAGUGAUUGGAGUUGCAUGCUACGGAUGUCGUCGAUGAUCACAAGAUCAAGAUGGAUGCAAUGCGCUUGAAGAUUAGAAAGAUUAGAAAAUAUGCCAUUCAUACCGAGGCUUGGUAUCACUAUGCCGUUGGAUCAAUUGUUACCUUGGUUGCGAUUAUGAUCGCAUUUGUUUUCGCAUUGAAAUGUUUUACAUAGUUUCAAUGUAUGGUUUAAUUAAUUAGAUGCUCUGGAGAGCUAUAUAUAUGUUGUUAGAUGAGAACUAUGUAUGUACUUUGGUUCUAAUGUGAUGAUGAACUUCUAUUAAUUUGGUCACUUAAUUAUCUAUUCAUGAUGUUCUGUAAUGGUUUUUGACACACUUAAUUAUAUAUAAUGCACGCAGAUGAACCGGCAAUGGAUGUACGGUGACAGACACACCUCCGAGUACAUUAAGGGCGUGCAUGAUUUUCUCGAAGUGGCUGAGGCAAACAAGCAGAAUGGUUUUAUGUGUUGUCCAUGCCCUAUAUGUGGGAAUACGAAGUCUUACUCUGACCGGAAAAUCCUUCAAGCCCACCUGCUUUACAAGGGUUUCAUGCCACACUAUAAUGUUUGGACGAGGCAUGGAGAAAUGGGGGUUAUGAUGGAAGACGGCGAAGAAGAAGAGGACGAUGACAACUAUGUGCCCCCUGAAUACGGUGAUGUUGCAACGGGGGAAGCUGCUGAAGAUCAAGAGGAACCAGACGAUGUGCCCAAUGAUGCUGCAAGGGGGGAAGCUGCUGAAGAUCAAGAGGAACCAGUGCCCGAUGAUGAUGAUCUCCGCCGGGUCAUAGUCGAUGCAAGGACGCAAUGCGAAAGUCAAAAGGAGAAGUUGAAGUUCGAUCGCAUGUUAGAGGAUCACAAAAAAGGGUUGUACCCCAAUUGCGAAGAUGGCAACACAAAGCUCGGUACCGUACUGGAAUUGCUGCAGUGGAAGGCAGAGAAUGCUGUGCCUGACAAAGGAUUUGAGAAGCUAUUGAAAAUAUUGAAGAAGAAGCUUCCAAAGGAUAACGAAUUGCCCGACAGUACAUACGCAGCAAAGAAGGUCGUAUGCCCUCUAGGAUUGGAGGUGCAAAAGAUACAUGCAUGCCCUAAUGACUGCAUCCUCUACCGCAGUGCGUACAAGGAUCUGAACGCAUGCCCGGUAUGCGGUGCAUUGCGGUAUAAGAUCAGACGAGAUGACCCUGGUGAUGUUGACAGCGAGCCCCCCAGGAAGAGGGUUCCUGCGAAGGUGAUGUGGUAUGCUCCUAUAAUACCACGGUUGAAACGUCUGUUCAGAAACGAAGAGCAUGCCAAGUUGAUGCGAUGGCACAGUGAGGACCGUAAGAAAGACGGGAAGUUGAGAGCACCCGCUGACGGGUCGCAGUGGAGAAAAAUCGAGAGAAAGUACUGGGAUGAGUUUGCAGCUGACCCAAGGAACGUAUGGUUUGGUUUAAGCACGGAUGGCAUUAAUCCUUUCGGGGAGUAGAGCAGCAAUCACAGCACCUGGCCCGUGACUCUAUGUACAUAUAACCUUCCUCCUUGGAUGUGCAUGAAGCGGAAGUUCAUUAUGAUGCCAGUUCUCAUCCAAGGCCCUAAGCAACCCGGCAACGACAUUGAUGUGUACCUAAGGCCAUUAGUUGAAGAACUUUUACAGCUGUGGAAUGGAAACGGUGUACGUACGUGGGAUGAGCACAAACAGGAGGAAUUUAACCUGCACGCGUUGCUGUUUGUAACCAUCAACGAUUGGCCCGCUCUCAGUAACCUUUCAGGACAGACAAACAAGGGAUACCACGCAUGCAUGCACUGUUUAGAUGACACUGAAAGUAUAUACCUGGACAAAAGCAGGAAGAAUGUGUACCUGGGCCAUCGUCGAUUUCUUCCGACCAACCAUCAAUGUCGAAAGAAAGGCAAGCAUUUCAAAGGCGAGGCAGAUCACCGGAAGAAGCCCACCAUGCGUACCGGUGAUCACGUACUUGCUAUUGUCAAUGAUUUACACGUAAUCUUUGGAAAGGGUCCCGGCGGACUAGCUGUUCCGAAUGACGCUGAGGGACACACACCCAUGUGGAAGAAGAAAUCUAUAUUUUGGGACCUACCCUACUGGAAAGAGCUAGAGGUCCGCUCUUCAAUCGACGUGAUGCACGUGAUGAAGAACCUUUGCGUGAACCUGCUAGGCUUCUUGGGCGUGUAUGGGAAGACAAAAGAUACACCUGAGGCACGGGAGGGCCUGCAACGUUUGCACGAAAAAGACGGCAUGCCUCCGAAGCAGUAUGAAGGUCCUGCCAGCUACGCUCUUACGAAAGAAGAGAAAGAAAUCUUCUUUGAAUGACUGCUCAGUAUGAAGGUCCCGACUGGCUUCUCGUCGAAUAUAAAGGGAAUAAUAAAUAUGCCAGAGAAAAAGUUCCAGAACCUGAAGUCUCAUGACUGCUACGUGAUUAUGACGCAACUGCUUCCGGUUGCAUUGAGGGGGCUUCUACCGGAAAACGUCCGAUUAGCCAUUGUGAAGCUAUGUGCAUUCCUCAAUGCAAUCUCUCAGAAGGUGAUCGAUCCAGAAAUCAUACCAAGGCUAAGGAGUGAUGUGGCGCAACGUCUUGUCAGUUUCGAGCUGGUGUUCCCACCAUCCUUCUUCAAUAUCAUGACGCACGUCCUAGUUCAUCUAGUCGACGAGAUUGUCAUUCUGGGGCCCGUAUUUCUACACAAUAUGUUCCCCUUUGAGACGUUCAUGGGAGUCCUAAAGAAAUAUGUCCGUAACCGCGCUAGGCCAGAAGGAAGCAUCUCCAUGGGCCAUCAAACAGAGGAUGUCAUUGGGUUUUGUGUUGACUUCAUUCCUGGCCUUAAGAAGAUAGGUCUCCCUAAAUCGCGGUAUGAGGGGAGACUGACUGGAAAAGGCACGCUUGGAGGGGGGGGGCUCAAUAAUAUGCAGGGACGGAUAUUCUUGGUCUGAAGCACACUACACAGUUCUAUAGAACUCUACCUUGGUGACCCCGUAUGUCGAUGAACACAAGAACAGUCUGCGCUCCAAACACCCGGAGCAGUGUGACGACUGGAUUACAUGUGAACACAUCAGGACUUUCAGUAGUUGGUUGGAAACACGUCUCAGAGGUGACACCACUGUUUGUGAUGAGUUGUACUCGUUGUCCAGGGGACCAUCUUCGAUUGUAUUGACUUACAAAGGAUACGAGAUAAAUGGGAAUACAUUUUACACGAUCGCCCAAGAUCAAAAGAGCACCAACCAAAAUAGCGGUGUCCGCUUUGAUGCAGCAACCGAGAGGGGAAAGGACACAUAUUAUGGUUACAUAAUGGACAUAUGGGAACUUGACUACGGACAUGAUUUUAAGGUCCCUUUGUUUAAGUGCAAAUGGGUCAAUCUGUCAGGAGGCGGGGUACAGGUAGACCCAUAGUACGGAAUGACAACAGUGGAUCUGAACAAUCUUGGGUACACUGACGAACCAUUCGUCCUAGCCAAUGAUGUGGCACAGGUUAUCUAUGUGAAGGACAUGUCUACCAGACCGAGGAAAAGAAAAGAUAAGGAAGCGAAUACAUCAUACGAUGAGCCAAAGCGGCACAUAGUUCUUUCAGGAAAAAGGGACAUUGUGGGAGUGGAGGGCAAGACAGACAUGUCUGAAGAUUAUGAAAAGUUUCAUGAAAUUCCUCCCUUGAAAGUCAAGGCUGACCCAAGCAUCCUGAUAAACGAUGAAGAUUAUCCAUGGUUACGGCGCAAUAAGCAAAUGACACAAGCGAAGAAAAAGUGAAGACUUUCUCCCGCAACUAUUAUGAUGAUACCAUGCCAACUUUGUAAUAGACGAUUAUGAUACCAUUGCCCGUUUUGUACAAGAAGUGCAUCUAGUUUUUGACGUAACCCUCUCAACUUUCUUGCACAUGCUAUGUGGAUGAAAUGAUGAUACCAUGCCAACUUUCAACCUUUUCAGAGUUCAUUUGAAAUGCUUUAUAAGCCCUGAGUGCAGAGAGGUUAGGCCCGUAAGCCUGCUUUAGAGAGGAGCUCGACAGCUCAGGCGCACCGCACCUUAUAAACAGGUGCGGCUCUCUCUUAGCUAGCGAAGUGGGACUAAACUCACCACCACGCCGCUGUGCAAGGCCAUUGGUCCCGGUUCGUGGCACGAACCGGGACCAAUUCCACCCUUUGGUCCCUGUUGGUGCCACGAACCGGUACUAAUGAGGCUGUGGCCCCACGAGCACCUUUAGUACCUGUUCGUGGCACGAACCGGUACUAGAGUUUCUUACUAGCUAAGCAGUUUUUUAGUCCCACCUCGCUAGCUGAGAGGCACUAGGAGCGGUUUAUAAGCCCUGAUUGCAGAGACGAUGAAGAAGAGGCGCAAUGCUCACGUUGCUUAGCUUCAAGCCUUGAGGAAUAAGGUAGACUGCAUCGAGCUAUGUGCAGUGCAGUCUACACUAUUCCGAAAGGCUUGAAGCAAAUCAACGCGCAUUGUGCCUCUUUUUUAUUUUUAAUCAUUAAAAGCAAAAAGAAUUUUCAUAAAGAACUUUUUUUGAUAUAAACUUUAAUAGCAGAAAGAAUUAUCAUAAAGUAAAAUAAAUAAGUAAUUAGAAACAAAAUAAAAUAAAAUAAAUAAGUUUUUUGUUGUAAGUAGAAACAAAACAAAAUAAAUAUAGCAAAAAAGAAAACAAAAAAACUAAACACAGCAAAAAGAAUUUUCAUAAAGAACUAAUGGCACUAAUAGAAAGUUUAUAUGUUUUCUAAAACUAAUGGCACUAACAGACAGUUUAUAAUUUUGCUGACCUAAAAGCAAAAAGAAUUAAAAAAUAAAGCAAAAAACAAAAGAAAAUAAAUAAUGCAAAAAACAGAACCAAAAAACUGGAUUUUUUUUUAAAAAACUGCCACCUAUUGGGCCACCACGGCCUGAAUACGACUAGAAACCCAACCUGGGCCAGGAUUCAGGCCCGCAGAAGGCCCAAUAGGCCAACAGACAGCACAGUGUGACAUUAGGCCCGUAAGCCUGCAUUUGAGAGGAGCUCGAGAGGGCAGCCGCAGUGGGGAUUAUAAACCACUACGAGCCCCUCUCAACUAGCGAGGUGGGACUAAACUUUUGGCCGCGGGCAGCGCAAGGCCUUUGGUCCCGGUUGGUGCCACCAACCGGGACCAAUGCCCCCCUUUAGUCUCGGUUGGUGNNNNNNNNNNNNNNNNNNNNNNNNNNNNNNNNNNNNNNNNNNNNNNNNNNNNNNNNNNNNNNNNNNNNNNNNNNNNNNNNNNNNNNNNNNNNNNNNNNNNNNNNNNNNNNNNNNNNNNNNNNNNNNNNNNNNNNNNNNNNNNNNNNNNNNNNNNNNNNNNNNNNNNNNNNNNNNNNNNNNNNNNNNNNNNNNNNNNNNNNNNNNNNNNNNNNNNNNNNNNNNNNNNNNNNNNNNNNNNNNNNNNNNNNNNNNNNNNNNNNNNNNNNNNNNNNNNNNNNNNNNNNNNNNNNNNNNNNNNNNNNNNNNNNNNNNNNNNNNNNNNNNNNNNNNNNNNNNNNNNNNNNNNNNNNNNNNNNNNNNNNNNNNNNNNNNNNNNNNNNNNNNNNNNNNNNNNNNNNNNNNNNNNNNNNNNNNNNNNNNNNNNNNNNNNNNNNNNNNNNNNNNNNNNNNNNNNNNNNNNNNNNNNNNNNNNNNNNNNNNNNNNNNNNNNNNNNNNNNNNNNNNNNNNNNNNNNNNNNNNNNNNNNNNNNNNNNNNNNNNNNNNNNNNNNNNNNNNNNNNNNNNNNNNNNNNNNNNNNNNNNNNNNNNNNNNNNNNNNNNNNNNNNNNNNNNNNNNNNNNNNNNNNNNNNNNNNNNNNNNNNNNNNNNNNNNNNNNNNNNNNNNNNNNNNNNNNNNNNNNNNNNNNNNNNNNNNNNNNNNNNNNNNNNNNNNNNNNNNNNNNNNNNNNNNNNNNNNNNNNNNNNNNNNNNNNNNNNNNNNNNNNNNNNNNNNNNNNNNNNNNNNNNNNNNNNNNNNNNNNNNNNNNNNNNNNNNNNNNNNNNNNNNNNNNNNNNNNNNNNNNNNNNNNNNNNNNNNNNNNNNNNNNNNNNNNNNNNNNNNNNNNNNNNNNNNNNNNNNNNNNNNNNNNNNNNNNNNNNNNNNNNNNNNNNNNNNNNNNNNNNNNNNNNNNNNNNNNNNNNNNNNNNNNNNNNNNNNNNNNNNNNNNNNNNNNNNNNNNNNNNNNNNNNNNNNNNNNNNNNNNNNNNNNNNNNNNNNNNNNNNNNNNNNNNNNNNNNNNNNNNNNNNNNNNNNNNNNNNNNNNNNNNNNNNNNNNNNNNNNNNNNNNNNNNNNNNNNNNNNNNNNNNNNNNNNNNNNNNNNGAUAACUUCAACACGAGGGGGGGUCGAUAUACCCCCUCCUCGAUAACAUUAUUUUCCCGUGUAUGUAUGUCGUCGUUGUCGAUAUAAAACCCCCUCCCGAUAACUUCAACACGUGGGGGGGUCGAUAUAUACCCCCUCCCCGAUAACAUUAUUUUCCCGUGUAUGUAUGUCGUCGUUGUCGAUAUAUAUAACUCCCUCCCAGAUAACUUCGACAUGAUGGACGGUCGAUAUGUAUACCCCCUCUCGACCGUGAUAACUUAUACCACGGGAGCACCCCCGGCCCUCUCGCUCGACCAAAACUCUCGAGGACACCCAAACCCUAGAAAAAAAACGAUGUCGGUCUCCUACCCCCUCCCGCCGCGCCCCUACCCUUGAAGCGUUGCCUAGGCCACCCCAAACCCGGAAUAAGCUAGGUCUACGUUUGCACUAAUAUAUCCACCUGCUGUCGUGUUUGUGUAAUAAUUGCCAUGUUGUAAUAUUUGCAGAAACAAUGGAGCACGGACGAGAUGAGCAAGCAGAAGAUGUGUUGGGGGACAUAAUCUUAGCCGGAGGUUAUAUCUUGUCGUAUCUUAACGACAAUGAUGGUCUAGAAGAACAGGGUGAAGAAGCAGGCUGUGGUGAUCGAAGAGUGGAGGAGGAAAGACAUGAUUAUGAUGCCUCCGGUGACCCAAUGCUGGUGCAAGAAGGAGCCCGUGGUGACGGCUCCGGUGACCGAACAGAGUCCGGCCAGGUAAAUAUAUUAGUUAAGCCUGUGCUGACUAGCUAAUUGAUGCAUUCAUUGUUUUGGUAUGUACACAUAUUAAUUAACACUCGUCUUUCUUCUUUUUUCUAGCCCUCCGGAUCAAGCACAACUGCGGUAAAGAGACGAGGCCCGAAGAGAAAGUUGCGCUCGGAUGAAAGGUUUGAGAUCACAGCAAUCGCGCGCGACGACCAACCGAUUGAACCCAUCCGGACAAAGGAUGCUUUUGCUGCUCAGUGUGGGGUUCCAGUUAGGGACAAGAUCCCGAUCAGCAUCCACCAAUGGUAUAAGCCUAAGAAGGAAGACCCUGAGGUGUCUUAUGUCAAUGAUAUGCAGAAAGAUGAUCUUUGGACUGAGCUGAAGGCAAAUUUCACCCUACCGCCAGAGGAGGAUCCGGAGAAGCCAGUUAUAGAGCAAUUAAUCAAGUCUCAUGCUCUUAAGAAGAUGGCAGACCUAUUCAGGAGGUGGAAGAAUGAGCUGAAAAAUUUUGUCGACAAAGAAGAGACACCAGAAUUCGUCAGCCGGUAUGAGAAGAUCAGAGAUCACUGGCCCGCAUUUGUGGCCCACAAGACAUCGGAAAAGAGUAAGAAGAUGUCAGCGACAAACAAGAAGAAUGCUGCGAAGAAGAAGCUUCACCAUCGCACGGGGUCAGGUGGCUACCUCAAAGCCCGGCCUAAGUGGGCCAAGUCUGAGAGGGAUCUGCUUGAUAAAGGGAUCGAACCAGAGACAAUGAACUGGCCAGACCGUUGGCGGACUUGGUUCUUCGGGGCUGGCGGAACCUUGGACCCUGUAUCAGGGACGUGUCGUUGGACGGACGAGCAACUUGCAAUACCCGUCAAGAAGCUUAAGCACUAUCGAUGCAGCGCAGCAAGGGACGUUCGUUCCAGACAGAGAGAACGACGAGCUCACAAUGGCCCUCGGGAAUCCUGAGCACCCUGGACGGACACGAGGCAUGCCAGGUUCCGUUCCGUGGAAGGCUGGUUUUUCGGACGCGGGCGGUUACAAAACCCAGGAGAGGAGGAAAAAAGUGGAGCAGAUCCAAAUUCAGCGUCUGCACGAAAGGGUUCAAGUGCUAGAGGAACGAGACGGCAAUAGAGAUGCCGAAACUGCCCCCGAAGCUACACCGCCAUCUCAGCGUAGAAGCAGCGUGGCUUCCACCGAGCUGCCUCAGCUGGAGCAUGCGGCUACUCCUAGCUACCCCGUGGAUGCUAUCAUGGAGUCUCAACAUUGCAACCUUAUGGCGGAAUGGCAGAACUUGAAAGUCAAGGCGGCUGUUGGCUCUGUUUUACCUACUGAACCCGGCGCAACCUACCACUGCCGGCCGAUUCCAGAAGGAUAUGCUAGGGUGAUGGUGGAUGAAAUAACGGAGGGAUUUGAGGACCUCCAGCUUGACCACCCUACCGGUGAAGGGGAGACUCGGCUGGGUUUAGCUCUGAAGACUCCAUGCCUAUGGCGGAAGGAGCUCAUCAAGCUUCCGAACUGGACGGCUCCGGCGAGUAAGGGCACUCCGCCUCCUCCUCCGCCUCCUCCUCUGGCGAGUGAUCAGGGCACUCAGCCUCCUUCUCCGGCGCGUGGCGGCACUCCGCCUCCUUCUCCGCCAGCGCCGGCGCGCCAGAGCAGCCAGCCUCCUCCUUCUCCGCCUCGUCAGCAAGGGCGGAAGAGACCCGCCGCCGCUGCGGCUGCUCCGGCGCGUCGUAGUCCUUCUCCUCCGCCUCGUAAGCAAGGAAAGAAGACAGCCGCAGCUGCUCCGUCUGCUCUGCCGGCGUCUAGCAGUACAGCUGCCAGAGGCGGGAGGCAAUACAGAUUCGGUCCUUCUCUGAAGACUCCAGAGAAGUUACCAUAUGAGAGGACCGAGGAGGACAACGCGAAGAUCUGGCGAGCCGAAGUGAAGAACUUCUUUGAAGGGGUCAAAGCAAAGAAACAUCCACCUCCGGAGGAGAAGGUAGAUCCGGUGAAAGCAAAGCGCACUCUGGCUGCCCUGACAAAACCACCAAAGUCUCCGCCAAGAGGCAACUAUGAGCGCGUUCUUGGAAAGGCAUAUGCCGAAGCGGAGCGGUCGGGAAGUACUAUCAGUGAUAAAAGGAUGAAAGAAUGACGAGCUGGGAAAAAAUUGCCCAGCUCGGCGAACAAGCGAACCAAUCGUGCCCCCCGCUCAAGGUGUCAAAAAACAUCGUCGCUAAUGAUCCGGGUAUGGUGCCCGGUUAUAGCAAUCUUGGAGAUUACCUGCCCGACGAUGUACAUUAUGAAAUCAUGGAGGUGGACGAACACAAAUACCAUUACGGGAAGCCUCUCGUCAAAGAUGUCAGAUCUCUAAGCACGAUGAUGCGAAGACUACAUGAUUGGUACAUGAAAACCUGCAGAGAGUCUGAUGGGAUGAGUACUUUGACGCUGAGAGUUAAACCGGAGCAUGACCUCGUUGGAAUUGAACUGCUGAAUGUUCCAUUUGAGGAUUUCUUCCAGUUUUACAAUCUAAAGUCCCUCGAUAAAACAACGAUCACUUGCUACUGUCUGUAAGUAGUACUACUUCUGUCAUUAAGUCUCUCUAUAUAGGUCAGCUCUUUCAUUGCAUGUAUUUAUACUUAUCCUCACUAUAUUAUGCAGAUUGAAGAUCGCCGAAUUGAAGAAAAGACAAAUCGGUGAUAUUGGGUUCAUUAACACAAAUCUCAUAGAUGCAUAUACGGUUGAAAAACAUCCCAAAGAAGCCGAGGCCAACUUGCUACAAUCGUUGGUAUUAAAUCAAAACAAAGAUAUAAUACUCUUUCCUUACAACUUCAAGUGAGUGUUACUGUCUUCUGCAUAUUCGGUUUCCCUUAUUAGUCCAGGUUAUGGUAAUGUAAUUGAUGACUUAUGCAUGCAUGCGCAGCUUCCACUAUAUUCUCCUAGAGAUUAAGCUUGAGCCGGGAGUAGUAACCGUCUUAGACUCGAGACGAAAAGAUCCCCAGGACUAUGCGAACAUGACUCAAAUGCUCUAGAAGUAAGUUAAAUCGAUCAUUAUCCACCAUAUCAGCAACUUUGUUCAUUUCCUGAUAUCAAGUAAUUGUUUUCUUUGUCUGGCAGGGUUUGGAGAAAAUUCACCUCAAAAGCCCCGGGACUACCGAACCAGCUGCAAUUUAGACACCCGAAAGUAAGUACUAUAGUAGCAUGUUCCGCGCAUCUCCUAGUGAUUCAAGCGCUAGUUUGAUCAAUACCAUUUAGCAUGCUUGCUUAUCAGUUUGAUUGACCUCUAUUUUUUGUAAAGUGGUUGUGGCAGCAACCCGGGAAUAAUUACUAUGGAUACUACGUUUGCGAGUCCAUCCGCUACCAUACCUGUGAGCGGGGCUACACUGAAGAACAAUAUGAAGUGCGUAAGCAAUAAUAUUCACAAUUUUAUUUUAUUACCAUCAUUUGUGUUGAGUUUCAUUUAUUCAUAUAUAUAUGUAUUGACCCCCUUCUUCAAAUUAGAUUUUUCGGAAGCGGGAUCAACUCCUAGCAGAAGAUCGUAUGCGAGGAAUUCAAGAGGAAUUGGCGGCAUUCUUCCUUGACCACGUGAUCGCUGAAAACGGAGAAUACUAUGUGGACCCUGUGUUCCUACAAUAUAAUUAGGAGAUUGUAUUGUAAGAGAUAAUUAUUGUAUAUAUGUAGCCCGUAGUGUCGGAUAGAUAUACGAGAACUUGUUGUUCGACCAAUAUCUCGGAGAAGGAGAGGUGGUCGAUAUCACUUCUCUCUGUAUGCAUAUGUUCAUGACGAUCUUCUGCUUCCUUCAUUUGAUUACUAGCUAGCGUGUCUACUCCUCUCCAUACGUAUAUAGUACGUAGCGUCGACCAAGCACGGAGAUAAGAGAGGACACUUCUCUCUAUUAAUUAGCUAGCUAACACAAUAUAUGAAACACCUAAAUUAACCCCCCAAAACCCCUAAACCACCCCUUUUCAAAAAAACAAAAACCUCAGCUCCUGCCAGGUGCUGACGCAUGGAUGCCUAUUGGUCCCGGUUGGUGGCACCAACCGGGACCAAAGGCCCUCCUGCCUGGGCUCCCCGCACCGGCCACGUGGACGGCCUUUAGUCCCGGUUCGUGUAAGAACCGGGACUAAAGGGCUAGGGCAUUAGUAAUGACCCUUUAGUCCCAGUUCCAGAACCGGGACUAAAGGCCCUUAUGAACCGGGGUAAAAGCCCCUUUUCCUACUAGUAUUUGAUUAUAUGGGACCUUUUCCUGCCUCUAAAGGAUAUACACAUAUUUUAGUUGCUGUUGAUUACGUUACUAAGUGGGUAGAAGCUAUUCCAACUAGUAGUGCUGAUCAUAACACUUCUAUUAAAAUGCUUAAAGAAGUUAUUUUUCCGAGGUUUGGAGUCCCUAGAUAUUUAAUGACUGAUGGUGGUUCACAUUUUAUUCAUGGUGCUUUCCGUAAAAUGCUUGCUAAAUACGAUGUUAAUCAUAGAAUUGCAUCUCCCUAUCACCCACAGUCUAGUGGUCAAGUAGAAUUGAGCAAUACAGAGCUCAAAUUAAUUUUGCAAAAGACUGUCAAUAGAUCUAGAAAGAAUUGGUCCAAGAAACUUGAUGAUGCAUUAUGGGCCUAUAGAACUGCAUAUAAAAAUCCUAUGGGUAUGUCUCCGUAUUAAAUGGUUUAUGGAAAAGCAUGUCACUUACCUCUCGAACUAGAACAUAAGGCUUAUUGGGCUAUUAAGGAGCUCAACUACGAUUUUAAACUUGCCGGUGAAAAGUGGCUAUUUGACAUUAGCUCACUUGAUGAAUGGAGAACCCAGGCUUAUGAAAAUGCCAAGUUGUUCAAAUAAAAAGUUAAAAGAUGGCAUGACAAAAGAAUACAAAAGCGUGAGUUUAAUGUAGGUGAUUAUGUAUUGCUAUAAAACUCUCGUUUAAGAUUUUUUGAAGGGAAAUUUCUCUCUAAAUGGGAAGGUCCUUACGUUAUCGAGGAGGUAUAUCGUUCCGGCGCCAUAAAAAUCAACAACUUCGAAGGCACAAAUCAGAAGGUGGUGAACGGUCAAAGAAUCAAACAUUAUAUCUCAGGUAAUCCUAUAAAUGUUGAAACCAAUGUUAUUGAAACCAUAACCCCGGAGGAAUACAUAAGGGACACUUUCCGGAAUGUUUCAGACUCCGAAAAGGAAUAGGUAUGUGGUACGGUAAGUAAACCGACUCCAAAACAGUUCUAAUGGCAUUUUUUCUCCGUUCUGGAAUAUUUAGAAAAAAAGAAAAAUAAGAAGCAGUCCGGGAAGGACACGAGGCCUCCACGAGGGUGGAGGGCGCGCCCUACCCCCUGGGCGCGCCCCCUACCUCGUGGGCACCUCGUGUGCUCUCCGGACUCCGUUUUCUUGCACGAUACAUAUUUUGGUCAGUAAAAAUUCAUUAUAUAAUCUCCCGAAGGUUUUGACUCCUGUAUCAUGCAAUUGUCCUCUGUUCUUGUUUCGAGCUGUUUUCUGUCAGGGUUGUCAAGGCUGGGCAUCAUGUCGUCCCCCUCCUCCAACAAUGGUGAUAACGAUGCUUGGCUAAUGAAGAUAGAGCUGAAGAGGGAAGAACCCAUGGAGAUCAACAAGGAUGAAGGGAUCAAGAAGGCCACGGAGAACCAAGUUCCGGCAACAGAAGACAUCCUUCAACCUGAUCACAAUCUUCUUACCCCAACUGAGAUCGAAGCUUUCAAGAUGAUUGAGCUAGCUCGUAUACAAAACAAGUAUCUCACACGUGAAAAUAUUUUGUUGAAGGAGCAUAUUGUUGCACUCAAGGGCAUUAUCCGCAAGCUGGAGGAUCUCUUACGCUCGAUGUGCGACUACCCAUCAUCACCACCAUCCUCUUCACCAACAAAGGAGACAUAAUCACAUGGGUAUGGGCACUCCCCUUGGCAACUGCCAAGCUUGGGGGAGGUGCCCCGGUAUCGUAUCACCAUCACAUCUCUAUCUUUACCGCUUUUCUUAGUUCGAUCCUAUUAGUAGUAUCUUGAUCUAGUAGAAUAAAGUUUUGGUAUGAUCUAGUUUUGAGUUUUGCUUUAUGAUCCCUCUACGUAAUCGAGUCCGUGAGCUAUAUAAUAAAGAUUAGUGUUGAGUCAAGGGCUUGAUUAUUUGCUAUGAUCUUGAGUGAAUAAAAGAAAAGAGAAAAGAAUAAAAAGAAAUUAAAAAGAGGUCAUAUUGAUCUUAUUGAGAGUAAUGACUUCACAUAGAAAGAGUAUGAUGAUUAAAAAUUGUUGAGAGUUGACAAACAUAGCCUUGGUCAUCGUUGCAAUUAAUAGGAAGUAAUAAAGAAAGAGAGGUUUCAUCAAAAAUAUACUAUCUUGGACAUCUUUUAUGAUUGGGAGCACUCAUUAAAAUAUGACAUGCUAAAGAGUUGAUGUUGGACAAGGAAGACAACGUAAUGGGUUCUGUUUUCUUAUAUCUAAGAUAAAGUAUAUUGUCAUGGAUCAUCCAACAUGUUGAGCUUGCCUUUCCCCCUCAUGCUAGCCAAAUUCUUUGCACCAAGUAGAGAUACUACUUGUGCUUCCAAAUACCCCUAAACCCAGUUUUGCCAUGAGAGUCCACCAUACCUACCUAUGGAUUGAGUAAGAUCCUUCAAGUAAGUUGUCAUCGGCGCAAGCAAUAAACAUUGCUCUCUAAAUAUGUAUGAUUGAUUGGUGUGGAGGAAGUAAGCUUUAUACGAUCUUGUGAUGUGGAAGAAAUAAAAGCGACAGACUGCAUAAUAAAGGUUCAUAUCACAAGUGGCAAUAUAAAGUGUCGUUCUUUCGCAUUAAGAUUUUGUGCAUCCAACCUUGAAAGCGCAUGGCAACCUCUGCUUCCCUCUGCGAAGGGCCUAUCUUUUAUUAUUACCUUCUACCUUAUGCAAGAGUCAUGGUGAUCUUCACCUUUCCUUUUUACAUUUUAUCCUUUGGCAAGCACAGGAUGUUGGAAAGAUCCUAAUAGAUAUAUCUAAUUGGAUAUGGGUUAGCAUGAAUUAUUACUGUUGACAUUACCCUUGAGGUAAAAGGUUGGGAGGCGAAACUAUAAGCCCCUAUCUUUCUCUGUGUCCGAUUAAAACUCCAUAACCACAAGUAUUGCGUGAGUGUUAGCAAUUAUGAAAGAUUAAAUGAUAGUUGAGUAUGUGGACUUGCUAGAAAUCUCUGACAUAGACUCUUUCUGAUGUUAUGAUAAAUUGCAAUUGCUUCAAUGACUGAGAUUACAGUUUGUUGGUUCUCAAUAAAGUUUCUGAUUCAUACUUUGCAUUGUGAAUAGAUUAUUACUUGAGCAUAAGAAAUCAUAUGACAAUAUCCAUAUAUGUUGCUGUUAUAAGAAUGAUCAUGAUGCCCUCAUGUCCGUAUUUUAUUUUAUCGACACCUCUACCUCUAAACAUGUGGACAUAUUUAUCGUUAUCGUUAUCGUCUUUCGCUUGAGGACAAGCGAGGUCUAAGCAUGGGGGAGUUGAUACGUCCAUUUUGCAUCAUGCUUUUAUAUCGAUAUUUAUUGCAUUAUGGGCUGUUAUUACGCAUUAUGUCACAAUACUUAUGCCUAUUCUCUCUUAUUUUACAAGGUUUACAUAAGGAGGGAGAAUGCCGGCAGCUGGAAUUCUGGGCUGGAAAAGGAGCAAAUAUUAGAGACCUAUUCUGCACAACUCCAAAAGUCCUGAAACUCCACGAAAGUUAUUUUUGGAAAUAAUAAAAAAUACUGAGCGGAAGAAAUACGUCAGGGGGGCCUCCACCUGUCCACGAUGGUGGGGGGCGCGCCCCCUGCCUCGUGGGCCCCCUGUUGGCCCUCCGGUGCCCAUCUUCUGCUAUAUGAAGUCUUUCGUCCGAUGAAAAAUCAUAGGCAAGCUUUCGGGACGAGACUCCGCAGCCACGAGGCGGAACCUUGGCGGAACCAAUCUAGGGCUCCGGCAGAGCUGUUCUGCCGGGGAAACUUCCCUCCGGGAGGGGGAAAUCAUCGCCAUCGUCAUCACCAACGCUCCUCUCAUCGGGAGAGGGCAAUCUCCAUCAACAUCUUCACCAGCACCAUCUCCUCUCAAACCCUAGUUCAUCUCUUGUAUCCAAUUCUUGUCUCUAAGUCUGGGAUUGGUACCUGUAGGUUGCUAGUAGUGUUGAUCACUCCUUGUAGUUGAUGCUAGUUGGUUUAUUUGGUGGAAGAUCAUAUGUUCAGAUCCUAUAUGCAUAUUAAUACUCCUCUGAUUAUGAACAUGAAUAUGCUUUUUGAGUAGUUACGUUUGUUCCUGAGGACAUGGGAGGAGUCUUGCUAUUAGUAGUCAUGUGAAUUUGGUAUUCGUUCGAUAUUUUGAUGAGAUGUAUGUUGUCUAUCCUCUAGUGGUGUUAUGUGAACGUCGACUACAUAACACUUCACCAUUAUUUGGGCCUAGAGGAAGGCAUUGGGAAGUAAUAAGUAGAUGAUGGGUUGCUAGAGUGACAGAAGCUUAAACCCUACUUUAUGUGUUGCUUCGUAAUGGGCUGAUUUGGAUCCAUAUGUUUCAUGCUAUGGUUAGGUUUACCUUAAUACUUUUGUUGUAGUUGCGGAUGCUUGCAAUAGAGGUUAAUCAUAAGUGGGAUGCUUGUCCAAGUAAGGGCAGCAUCCAAGCACCGGUCCACCCACAUAUCAAAUUAUCAAAGUACCGAACGCGAAUCAUAUGAACGUGAUGAAAACUAGCUUGACGAUAAUUCCCAGGUGUCCUCGGGAGCGCUUUUCUCUACAUAAGAGUUUGUCCAGGCUUGUCCUUUGCUACAAAAAGGAUUGGGCCACCUUGCUGCACUUUAUUUACUUUUGUUAUUUGAUGCUCGUUACAAAUUAUCCUAUCACAAAACUAUCUGUUACCUAUAAUUUCAGUGCUUGCAGAGAAUACCUUGCUGAAAACCGCUUAUCAUUUCCUUCUGCUCCUCGUUGGGUUCGACACUCUUACUUAUCGAAAGGACUAUGAUAGAUCCCCUAUACUUGUGGGUCAUCACCCUGCAUGCAGCGCCUCCUACAGUCACGGCACUGCCGCCCGCGGCCCCCUUGGCACCCGNNNNNNNNNNNNNNNNNNNNNNNNNNNNNNNNNNNNNNNNNNNNNNNNNNNNNNNNNNNNNNNNNNNNNNNNNNNNNNNNNNNNNNNNNNNNNNNNNNNNNNNNNNNNNNNNNNNNNNCUCGGAUGACUACGUCCAUGUGGCAUCCACCUCUGAGUCGUUGUCGUUACCGUCCUCCAUUUGAGCCGCUCUUCGUGACCCGCUCAGGAUGGCUGCGAAGCAAGAGGAGUUUGACGCCCUAUUGCGUAACCGGACGUGGCAGCGUGUUCCCCAUCCCUGGCACGCCAACGUGAUUACCGGGAAGUGGGUCUUUAAACACAAGCUCCGUCCUGAUGGUACCCUUGAUCGCUAUAAAGCGCGCUGGGUCGUUCGUGGCUUCCGACAGCUUGCUGGCAUCGACUUCACCGACACCUUUGCUCUGGUCAUCAAGCCCGGCACGAUACACAUGGUUCUCCACCUUGCGGUCUCUCGUGCUUGGCGGUGCACCAGAUGGACGUCGCCAAAACCUUCCUCCAUGGUCACCUUGAAGAGUAGGUCUUCUGCCAGCAGCCCACCGGGUUUGUGGACCCGGCGCUUCCUGACCACGUGUGCCUGCUUUCACGGUCCUUGUACGGACUCAAGUAGGCUCCGCGCGCUUGGUACCAGCGCAUCGCGUUGUUUCUCCACUAGCUUGGGUUCCGCUCUACCCGCUCGGACGCCUCGCUCUUCGUCUAUCAUCAGGGCUCUGACACGGCCUAAUUGCUGCUCCAUGUCGACGACAUCAUCCUGACGGCAUGUACGGCUGGUCUCCUUAGCCAGCUCACGGCUCGUCUUCGCGCUGAGUUCGCCAUCAAGGACUUGGGUCCUUUGCACUACUUCCUAGGUGUCGAGGUGGUGCGCCGUCCGGAUGGCUUCUUCCUUCAUCAGCGAAGUACGCUCACGAGCUCCUGGGGCGCUCCGGCAUGCUUAACUGCAAGCCCGCCGCUAUGCCUGUUGAUACGAAGGCCAAGCUUUCUGCCACGGAUGGUUCUCCUGCUUCGGAUGCUGCUUUCUAUCGGUCUAUCGUUGGUGCUCUCCAGUACCUCACUCUGACUCGACCGAAGAUCUAGUAUGCCGUGCAGCAGGUGUGUCUUCAUAUGCAUGCUCCUUGAGACGUUCACUGGGCUGCCGUCAAGCGGAUUCUCCGCCAUAUCUGUGGCACUAUGGAUCUUGGCGUCACGCUUCACGCCUCCGCCGACACCGCCCUCACCGCCUACUCCGAUGCAGACUUGGCGGGCUGCCCUGACACUCGUCGCUCCACUUCGGGCUAUUGUGUCUACCUUGGACCCUCACUUAUCUCGUGGUCGUCCAAGCCGCAACCUACGGUCUCUCGUUCCAGUGCUGAAGCUGAGUAUCGCGCGGUGGCCAACGCCGUCGCCGAGUGUUCGUGGCUUCGCCAGCUGCUUCAGGAGCUCUCUUGUCCUGUUGACCAUGCCACGGUGGUCUACUACGACAACGUCUCGGCGGUCAACCUCUCCACUAACCCGGUGCAUCAUUGACGGACCAAGCAUAUUGAGUUGGAUAUUCAUUUUUUUCGGGAAUAGGCGACCCUUGGCCAUAUUCGUGUUUUACACGUCCCUACUUCCCAACAAUUUGCCGAUAUCAUGACCAAGGGCUUGCCUACGACGUCAUUUGAGGAGUUCCGGCCCAGUCUUUGCGUCAGUUGCGGUGCUGCUUCGACUGCGGGGGGUGUUGAGUAUAUGUGUUAUGUGCAUAUUGUGUAUUGGGCCCACCUCCUAGUUCCAUGCAUGUAUAGUUGAGGUUCGUGGCCCACCUUUGUACAUCAUAUAUACAUGCCUAUGCAUGAAGAGCAAUACAUCGUGCAAUCAUACACAGAGGAGUAGUGUACAUUGGUCUCUAGUGCACUUUGCUCAACAAAUUGGGUGAAAAUGUUCAGUAGAACCAUGCAAGUCUUCAUACUUUUUCUCAUGGCACAGGUUUGCCUUGUCUUGAUGAUGGCCGCACCGUUUGCACAAGCCGCUGGGAGGCCUGUGGCAUCCUUACCAUGGAUUGCGGGGUGUUGCCCGAGGAACUAUUUGUGUUGUGGUGUUGGUGCGGUUGCCCCGACAUCCCAUGCAUUGCAGGCCACCCCUGUACCUUGAGUUAUGGUUUCGCUUGAUCUCCUCUCAUAACAUAGUUGAUAUAACAUAGUAGCAUCACAAAGGUUGCAUGGUUUCAUUGAUUCAUCUCUUUUCUACUGCUUGAAUCUUGUGAUGCCGCUUUUGAACAAUGUCAUUCCUAUGUCUUCUUAUAACUAAUAAAAUGUGAGGAUAUUUUUAUCUUAUUUGAAUUGUGUUGUAACAUUACCUACUAAUGUGGAUGAUCUGGGUGGACUACAUAGAUCAGAUCUUGUAAAGAUGUAAUCUAGGACUUUGCGAGAUGAUGAAAUUGUCCUUUAUCUUGGUCACCUUUUCGUAGAAGUGUUGGUCGGCUGUCGGCAUCCCUUAAUUUGUGUCUUCUUGUAGUGCAUGCUCUAGAAUCAUCCAUAUUUUGUAGUUUUACAAUAACCUUUGAGGCAAAUGGGGCGUGGUACGUCUGAGGAAGUCAGUUCACCAAAGCAAUGCCCCCCCCCCCUCCAAAAAAAGAAAAACCAAUUAUGUGUGCCAUGGGCGUACAGUGAAACCACUUCCUUUCGACAUGCAAGCCAUCAAUAUUCAUAAUGAGAUCUCGAACAUGGAUGCCAAGUAAUUCGCCCCGUGCUGAUGUCGUCAGGCAACCCGCUCACUUUUUUAUGAACAAAGUAAGGCACCGACCGGUGCCAAUUUCAUUCAGCUCAAAGAAAUAGUACAUCAGGGAAUACAAUGGCAUGAAGAAAACAGAGAAGAGUGGGUACAACCAUUGGAAGUGAGCCAAAGAAAAAUACUACAGAUAGGCUGGCUGAAACACCAACCAGAUGAACUACUCAAAGAACAGAUACAUCUGAAGAAAAUUCAGGAUGGAGGCAGAGUAGAGUGGGCACUGCAUGAAGAAGAUCUAAAUACGCCUUAGAACCACUGAAAGAACAGUAAUCUUGUUUGAUGUCCUCAACAGAAGCCAGCUUGAUUGUAAAUGUGCUUCCUCGAUAGAAGUCCUCAGAACCAUGUGCUCUACUAGUAACAAUGCACCGCAUGCAACCUGAAUCCUUGAACCUGGAAAUUGGAAAUAAGAGACACCACUGGAUAGGAAGCAUGUGAAUGAUUAGAAGCAAAACAAGAAACUUGAGUAUUGCAUCAGACCGAAGUACCUGUUGCGCAAGAUUGUGAGCAAUACCAUUAAUUUCUCGAGAAAUAUGAAACACCUUAGGAUGCAAAUUAGAAGUACAUUUGAAAAAAAAUAGCCAGUGCUUUUCUGAUACUCCAGGGAGAUGUGGGCUCAGAGAUGUUCCCCAAAGUAGCAAACUUAGCUAAUGAAAGACAGUCCAUUAAGAAAGUGGGAGAAGAAACAUUCAGCUGAGAGGCCAAAUGAGCAGCAAAAGAAAGAGCAAUCACCUCAGCUUGCAAAGGAGUAGAGGUUGGGGGAGCCGAAGCUUGAAUUUGUACAUUGUAAUCCCCUCGAUUACAAGGCACAGAGAUGAAAACUCCCACACCUGUAGCAACUUCUCCUUGCAUUAAACCAGGAAUCUUGUUAGACCCGAAAGUUGCGUCAGAAUAUACUUUAGAACCAACAAUUAGUAAAUCUGAUCUAAGUGUAUCUCCCUGUGUAGGGAGAUGAUCCGCAAAAGGCUGAUCCCGAGGUUGAGACUGCUUCAUAGGGAAACAUGGGAGAUUAUCAUAGGAAUCCGGAAGUAAGGCAGUAGUAGCAAUCUGAACUUGGUGAGGAGAAGCUUUUUCCCUGUCAAAGAGAAAAUCAUUCCUAGCUUUCCAGAGCCACCACAAAAAGUUGAGAAUAUUAAAAAUGGAUCCAUGAGGAUGACCCAUACGAACGAAAGCAAUAAGAACCGAGUGAAUAGUGGAAUGGCCUUGGAUUAAGACAUCUGAUCUAAUGAACCAAGGAGAGGAAAACCAGGCCACACGAGCAAAGUGACACAGGAAAAACAAAUGAAACUCAUCCUCUUGUUGGCCACAUCUACAACAAUUCUGAGAAAUGUGAAUGGAGAAACGGCCUACUCGCAAACCCGUAGGUAAAGCCUUUCUAAGUAAUCUCAAAGCAAAAGUUUACACCCUAGGAAGCAUAUGCUUUCGUUUCCAAAUCAAUUUAAGCGGGCUUUUUAAAUCCAAGGAAACAGCAGCAUGCACAUUUCUAGUAUUAGCAUAAAUCUCUUGCAAACAAAGUUUAUAACCAGACUUAGAACAGCAAAUGCCAUUAGGAGUGAGAUCCCAACAUAGCAAAUCUGGACCAUCAUCAUCAAUAAUUUCAGUUUGAACAAUGAUAGAGGCCAUAGGUUGGAGAAAAAGAGAGAAAACAAGAUCAUGAUUCCAACUAUUUUGCCCCGGAAGCCAGAGAUCUCUAACUAUAGAUGGGUAAGCAAAACCAGCUUGCUGAGGAAUGAGAUGGUCAUGGAUAGAGUUCCAAAGACUACACCAAGGCAUGCUCCAAAUGGAAAUGUUUCCCUGAGUUAAUUGAUAGAAAGAAUGAGCCUUAAGUUUAGGUAACAUUUUCAAAAUAGAAGCCCAGAACGCAGAUUUAGGAGGGGUCGCAGCAGCUGUCCAAAUGGAAGUACCAUGAAAAUACUUAGCCUUAAGAACUAGGUACAAGUGAGAAGAAGGAAAUUUAGCUAACCUCUAAGCAGCAGCCAAAAGAAGGCUCUCAUUAAUGGCUUUUAAAUUCCUAAUACUCAGACCACCUUCUUUAGAGUUGCAAAUAUCCUUCCAAGCUCUAAAACAAAGACUUUUCUUAGAAUCAUUUUCUCGCACACCCGUUCACCAGAAAUUCCUAAUAACAGCCGUCAGCUUAGCAAUGAAUUUCUUUGUAAACAAGAUAUUAGCCAUAUAAUAGACCGGAAUAGCCGAGAAAACAGAACAGAUCAAUUCAUGUCUAGCAGCAUGAGAAAGCAUGUUAGCUUUAUAAGUGGGCAGUUUAUUUAAAAAUUUGUCAAGAAAAAAGUUGUAAGCUGCAACUCUAUUUUUAGCAGGAAGAACAAGCGGGUGACCAAGGUGGGUGAAGUUACUAUCCAAAGUAGCAACCGGAAAGAUUUUCCUAAUCUCCUACAUAGCUGUAUGAGAAACAUGAGAGCUAAAAAGAAUAGCAGAUUUAGCCCAAUUUGGAAUUUGACCUGAGAUAGAACAAAAGUCACUACUAGAAAACAGGGCUUUCGUUCGGGCCUGGCCAGCCCAUUAGUCCAGGUUCCGCACGAACCGGGACCCAUGGGGUGCAUUAGUCCCGGUUCGUGAGCCCAGGGGGCCGGCCGGGCCACGUGGGCCACUGGUCCCGGUUCGUCUGGACCUUUUGGUCCCGGUUCAACGCACGAACCGGGACCAAUGCGCCUCGCCCCUGGCCCAUGACCAUUAGUCCCGGUUUGUGCCACAAACCGAGACUAAAGGGUUGGUCCUUGUUGCGGCCAGAGUUUAGUCCCACCUCGACGACCGAAGGGCGCUCACACCGGUUUAUAAGCCCGUCCCUCUGUGCCUUGUUGAGCUCCUCUCAAAAUGAAAAUAGAUGCCCUUAUACAGGGAAUUUGACCAAAAUUCAUAGUGAGUUUCUCUGAAAUUCAUCCAAAUUUAUUAUGAAUUUAGGUUGAAUUUUCUCUAUAGGCGCAUCUAUGCUCAUUUUUUUAUGUUGGGGUUGGCGAUCUUUACAGACUUUUUGUGUGUUGAAUAUGCACCAUUCAAAAUCAGUCUCUGCUUUGAAUGGUUCAUUUUGAACACACAAAAAGUCUGGAGUUCAAAUAAGUUCAAGAAAAUGAAAUCCCUUUGUAACAGAUGAGUUUUCGUCCGAAACCCUGAUACUUCGAAAGAGAUUGUCCAUUUUGUUCACGAAGUGCAUCCACCUUUUGCGGGGACCCUCUCAACUUUCUUGCACAUGCUAUGUGGAUGACAUGAUGAUACCAUGCCAACUUUCAACCUUUUCAGAGUUCAUUUGAAAUGCUUUUCAAUUUUAGGGUCUUAUAGCUCAAAAUAAUUAGUAAAUGCAUGAAAAAUAACAAAUGAAGUCAGAAAGGAUUGAAAAAUGAUGAUGUGGCUUUGAAUGGUGCAUUUUGAACACACAAAAAGUCAGGAGUUCAAAUAAGUUUAAAAAAAUGAAAUCCCUUUGUAACAGACGAGUUUCCGUAUGAAAUCCCGAUACUUUGAAAGAGAUUGUCCUUUUGUACACGAAGUGCAUCCAGUUUUUGUCGUAACCCUCUCAACUUUCUUGCACAUGCUAUGUGGAUGAAAUGAUGAUACCAUGCCAACUUUCAACCUUUUCAGAGUUCAUUUGAAAUGCCUUUCAAUUUAUGGUCUUAUAGCUCAAAAUAAUUAGUAAAUGCAUGAAAAAUAACAAAUGAAGUCAUAAAGGAUUGAAGUGGCUUUGAAUGGUGCAUUUAGAACACACAAAAAGUCAAGAGUUCAAAUAAGUUUUAAAAAAUGAAAUCUCUUUGUAACAGACGAGUUUCCGUAUGAAAUCCUGAUACUUUGAAAGAGAUUGUCCGUUUUGUACACGAAGUGCAUCCAGUUUUUGCCGGGACCCUCUCAACUUUCUUGCACAUGCUAUGUGGAUGAAAUGAUGAUACCAUGCCAACUUUCAACCUUUUCAGAGUUCAUUUGAAAUGCCUUUCAAUUUUAGGGUCUUAUAGCUCAAAAUAAUUAGUAAAUGCAUGAAAAAUAACAAAUGAAGUCAGAAAGGAUUGAAAAAUGAUGAUGUGGCUUUGAAUGGUGCAUUUUGAACACACAAAAAGUCAGGAGUUCAAAUAAGUUUUAAAAAAUGAAAUCCCUUUGUAACAGACGAGUUUCCGUAUGAAAUCCUGAUACUUUGAAAGAGAUUGUCCGUUUUGUACACGAAGUGCAUCCAGUUUUUGCCGGGACCCUCUCAACUUUCUUGCACAUGCUAUGUGGAUGAAAUGAUGAUACCAUGCCAACUUUCAACCUUUUCAGAGUUCAUUUGAAAUGCUUUUCAAUUUUAGGGUCUUAUAGCUCAAAAUAAUUAGUAAAUGCAUGAAAAAUAACAAAUGAAGUCAGAAAGGAUUGAAAAAUGAUGAUGUGGCUUUGAAUUGUGCAUUUUGAACACACAAAAAGUCAGGAGUUCAAAUAAGUUUUAAAAAAUGAAAUCCCUUUGUAACAGACUAAAGCUUCAUGUAUAUAAGGCACACUUGUGAAAAUUUUGGUUUGCAUCUUGCAGUUCGCCCCUGACGACGCGCGCGGAGAGGACGCCGCCAGGCUGUCGGACGCCGUCGCCAUCGCCCCCGCCCCGGAGCCCACGCCGACGCCGUCGCCGUCCGCCGCCCCCGCCCCGGAGCCCACGCCNNNNNNNNNNNNNNNNNNNNNNNNNNNNNNNNNNNNNNNNNNNNNNNNNNNNNNNNNNNNNNNNNNNNNNNNNNNNNNNNNNNNNNNNNNNNNNNNNNNNNNNNNNNNNNNNNNNNNNNNNNNNNNNNNNNNNNNNNNNNNNNNNNNNGUUAGAUUAGUUGAAUUAGAUGUUUUUCCAUGUAUUUUAGAUUUGUUGAAUUAGAUGUUUUUUUGUCAAUUUAUGUAUAUAUGUGCAUAUUUAGAAAAAAUGUGUUGAACUAGUUAAAUAUAAUAGAACUAGUUAAACAAGUUUAUUUUUAGUAAGUGCUUAGUAGUUGAACUAGUUGAUUUAAUAAAACUACUUUAUUUUACUAUAGAAGUGGUUUAUUUUAGUAAGUACUACUUUAUUUUAUUUAUAGUAAGUGCUUAAUUAGUAGUUGAACUAGUUGAUUUAAUAAAACUACUUUAUUUUACUAUAUAUAGAAGUAAUUUAUUUUUAGUAAGAACUACUUCAUUUUAUUUAUUUAUAGUAAGUGCUUAGUAGUUGAACUAGUUGAACUACUUUAUUUUAGCAAGAAAUUUAAUAGAACUAGUUUAUUUUUUUAGUUCAAGCAAUUAAUCCCGCAUCGACGUCGACGAUGCCUAUCCCGCAUCCUCGUCGUCGACUCGGCGGAGGAGGCCGGCUUGAUCAGAGGGGCCAUGUCUGGGACUGGGCUCCGCCGGGCUGGUUUUGGGAGGUGCUACCUUCCGGUGGGUGUAGGUUGGUGAGGAGCCAGCCCGUCGUUGACCUGAUCCUUGUUUGGUUGCGGUUGCGUGGGCCAGUGACGGUGCCGAGGCUUCCGGACACCGCGGAGGUGGUACGUCACCGUGUCAGCGAGGAGGACCAGCACGUCCAUCGCUACAUGUUUGCGUUGGAGGGCAGGUUCGACAAUACCUGGCAGGUUCUUCAGGGUUCUCACUGGAGCUAUGAUCCUGUGAUGGUUCCGUCCCUUUGGGUGUCCACCGCCCGCGCCGAUACCCGUCGGGCGCUACUGUUCUAGCUGUACUAGCGAUGCUAUAUGUAUGAUAGUAUUCGAGGCGUAUUAGUGAUAAUAUUCGACGAUGUACGGACGCAUGGAGAUGAUGUAGUUUUGCUUAUAAUUGAAUGCAUCCUAAUUUGAAUACUACUUUAUUUUGUGAUUUGAUUUUGCUUAUUGAAUGCUCAAAGUGGAAAACUACUCCUACUUUGAAUGCUAAAAUUGGAGAGCACUAUGCAAGGCGUAUGCAUAUGAUUAGUUGAUAGCUUAUAGGGUUUUUGUUUUCGCAGAAAUCUAGGAGCCCCCGGCCCCUCCAUCAUCCCCGCCGUCGUCCCCGUCACUGCCCCCUCCGACAUCGAGGUGAGACUAGCCAAAUCCUCUUUUAGAAAGAUAAUUAAACGAUAUUUCGGGUUGACUGUAAGUCUGUCGAGUCUCCACCAUAUAUGAGAGGACGAAGAAUCCCGACUGUUGUCGUGGGGGUAGCUUCUCCUUCGUUCCCGUGUGCUAGACAAUUUGCUGUAAUGCACUCGAGAACGAAAGGAGGAGCUACCAUACCAUCACCGACGGUCGCAAAUGUCAGAGAGGAAUCAGUGAGGGAGAGUUCCACCAUAUAUAUAUGAGAGGACGAAGAAUCCCGGCUGUUGUCGUGGGGGUCGCUUCUCCUUUGUUCCCGUGUGCUAGACAUUUUGGUGUAGUGCACUCGGGGACAAAUGGAGGAGCGACCAUCACCAACGGUCGAAUGUAUACACCACGUGAGCUGAGAGUUUUCAAGAAAAGACUCGACAAACCGAUAGUCAACCCGUGAUGAAUAAUAAUGAUCUAACUUAGGUUUUUUUUAGUACAUAUAUUUAAUUGUAGACGUUUAAUAUUUGAAUUACGAACAUAGGAAAUGUCGUACUCGGACGACGAAAGUCUCCCGGAGUGCGACUGGUGCCACGACGACCGAGGUCAGUGCGACAGGCCUUCCCUGGACGAAGAUCGGCGCUUCAGUAUUAACCUGGAGGAGACCUUCGAUGUUGAAACGGUACGCAAUGAUGACAAGUGUUAUUUUUUUGUAAUUAAGCACGACUUCAACUAUUUCAACGUGUACUUUUCAUCAUUUACAAUUCGGCUAGCUUAUCCCAUGCCAUGCAAGACGCUACGUCUUGGAGAGGAUGGGUUUUGAAGACCAUGAAAAUAUGGAAACAAAGAAACUUCACCUAAGGACCCAUCAUGAUAUAGAUUUUGAAGUAAAUCUGUAUAAUUCUAAGAGCGUAACCCAUUUUGGUUGCAAAAAUUGGGAAGCAUUUUUCAAGAUGUAUGGUUUUGAUGAGGGUAUGCUUGUCACCAUGGAUCUUGGUGAUCCUGACAUCGAGCAAGACAAUAUGGACAUUUGGGUCCUUGUUGAUACGCCUCCAAUUCUACCGCUAUGUGAGUUUCUCAAACAUAGUUAUUAGCUAAUUUAUAUUGUUCAUUUCAAAAUAGUUGACAGCUUAUUUUCAUUGACAGCUUAUUUGAUUGUUGAAACAAUGUGCGGAACAUGGUAGUCAGAACCUACUACACCGAUGGCUCUGAGUUAACUUAUAAGGAGAAAACUCAUCUGGUCGGAUUUUGUACUGAUCUUGAGAAUUACAAUAUCUAUUGUAAAACUCCUCCACAUUAUGGUCAAUAUGUGCCACUAGUGCACGUGUUGAACUACGGUAACUACUAUGGAGAUACCCUGGUAAGAUUUCUUACUAUUACGACAUCCAUGCAUCUUUUGCAUACUUCUAAAACUAGUACAUCAUUGCUAACUAUGAAGUUAUUACUAUAUUUUUUUAACAGAUAAUCCCAGAGGAUUGUGUGCCUCAUUUGAUGUAUCAGAAUGGUAGGCUUGAUGUUUUGAACAUACAACCAGGUCAUCCUACGAAUCGCAACUGUCCAUACCAGAUUUCUAAAAGAAGUGGAGACAUGCAAAUCAAAGAAUGGAAAAAAUGUAUGGACAGUCGCAAGGAGGUUCUUGGAAGCAAAAGGAAGCGAAGCGCAAGAAUGGAGACAGGAUGAUCUCCAGUCUCCAUAAUGGAGAGUCAGGGUCUAUAUUGUUUUAUGCUAUUUUACCUUAAAGAGGGUAUUUCGGUCCUACCUAAUACUGAUGAUCAUGUGCUAAGAACAAUUAAGUAGGGUUGGUUCGAUGACUAUGAGGAUGAUGAUCGUAUGACUGGUUAUUAAUAACGAGUAGAAGUUGUAUGAUGAUGAUUAGUAGGACUUGUUAUUAUAUAUGAUGAUGCAUGAUGCACGCAUGAAGAGUUAUUAUAUAUCAGCGGGUGAAAUGAUCAUGGAUUGGAUUGAAGUGAAGGCAACAUGCAUGUGGUGCAUGUCGAAAGUAGUACAAUCCAAACUUGAUCAAGUUAGGAUUAGUAUUACUUUCGACAUGCACCACAUGUUGCCUUCACUUCAAUCUAGGCCAUGUUUAGGCAUAGUAGUACGUAGCGUUGGUAAACCAAGCACGGAGAUAUAAGAGAGGACACUUCUCUCUAAUAGCUACCUAAUAACAACCUAAAUUAGCCCCCAAAACCCCUAAAUCAGCCCCUUUCAAACAAAAAAACCUCAGCUCCAGCCAGAUGCUGACGCGUGGAUGCCUAUUGGUCCCGGUUGGUGACACCAACCGGGACCAAAGGCCCCCCGGCCUGGGCUGGCCGCAGCGGCCACGUGGAGGCCCAUCUGUCCCGGUUCGUAUAAGAACCGGGACUAAAGGGUUAGGGCAUUAGUAACGAUCCGUUAGUCCCGGUUCAAAAACCGGGACAAAAGGCCCUUACCAACCGGGACAAUAGGCCCUUUUUCUAUUUGUGAGUGAUGAAUAAUAUUAGCCAUAGCAUGAGCCUCCUAUAAAGUGGCUUUCCCACAAACCAAAAGGGCAUCAGCAAAUAAAAGAGAGUGAAUGGAAGGACAAUCUGGACCAAGAGAAAUACCCUGGAGAUGAUGAGCAGCAAGCGCUUCAUUAAGAGCAAUGGAUAAUUCAUUUAUAGCAAUAACAAACAAAUAGGGGGAGAUAGGGCAACCUUGACGAAUACCUCAAAAACUUCUAAACUUGUGAGAAGGUUGUCCAUUAAUGAGCACAGAGAAAGUGGGAGAAGAGAUGCAAGCAUGAAUCAAAUUAAUAAAAUGACCAUGCAGCCCUUUGCGCGUAAGCGCCGACACUAUGAAAUUUCAUUCUAAACGAUCAAAAGCUUUGGCAAGAUCAAUUUUAAGCAUGAAAACAUUGUGUUUCCAAAAUUGAAGAGAAAAAGAGUGGGUAAUCUCCUGAGCAAUAAUAAUAUUAUCACUAAUUCUUCUACCCGGCGACCCGCUCACUGAUGUUUUGACUCACGGAGUCACUAUGUUCCCUUAAUGAUCUUUUCGUAUAUAACUGGUUGUUGCUUUAAUUAGAAGAAACCACACCAAUCGUAAUUGUUGUUAGUAAUGGAGCGGUAAGCAUAUGCAAAUCGAAGCACCAUUUUCCUUCUAAAUACACUUGUAAAAGCAUUAUGAGUGUCUUCUUCUGAUUUAAUAUUUAUGCAAGACACAUUAUGAGUGCCAGUUGUGUUGUAACUUUUUUUGCGAGGCACAACAACUGGAUUGUUGUCGAUAUAAGGGAAAACAUAAAAUAGUAUCAGAACUUCUGCAUUUAGAAACCUGUUACUAAUAUAUAGUGGCAUCUUUUUGCUCUCGAUCGAUGUCCUGGCAUGACAGGCUUUGUCGCUGUUCCCUCACCAUGGAGUGGGGAAGUAAAAUCGGUAAGUUAGCCUAUUUACCUAGUCGCCGUUCAUUUGUUCACCGAGUCAUGAGACAGCGGGAGGAAGGAGACGAAGGUCCCAAACGUGAGACCAAAAAGGUGGACUAGGGCUCGCCCUAGUUGUGCUCUCGGGUAUUUUUAGUUACUAGUAGGAGUAAGAAGCAUUGCAAAUUGCUCCCUCUGUUCAAUCCGUGCCAACCCUAGCCGCCCCUCCUCCUCACCACCCCCCUCGAACUAGAUCGCCGCCGCCUGAGGCAGCCGCCGGGCAAACGGGGCGCCAACGAUGGUGGCGGCGGGGCCUCGGUUGCCUUGCCUCUGCGUGGGGAACCCCGGAUCUGGAGCGGCGGCUCCAUUGGCAAGGCACGGACGGCUAGCAGCCGUGCGGGCGGUGGAUCUGGUGUCCCGGCCGCGCGGGCGGCGGGAUAAGGUGGUCGUUGGCGGCCGGCGAAGGCUUCUACGGCGGUCGGUGCGGGCGAUCUGGCACCUCCCUUCCUCCUCCGCUCGGCGUGCGGGCCAGCCUGGUCGGGCCGUGCUUCCUCUUGGUCGCCGGUUCUGUACAGGAGGCGCUGCUGGUGGCGGGGAUCUAGUUCGGGCGAAAUCCCUUGCCGGCCAUGACCGGCCGCGCCGACGGCGACGCCUGAGGGCGUCGUUCCGCUCCUUGGAGGCGUCGGUAUGGACUGAUCUCCUCACGGCGCCGUUCCCUUCUUGAAGGCGCCGCUUCGGGAACCUUGGGGUUGGGUGGCGCUUGUAGGUGGUUGGCGACGGCGGUGCUGCGGCCCUAUCCUAGCAUGGAUUUACGUCCGUUGCUUGGAGAUGGACUCGCGUAGGUGGAGGUCGUCGCCUGGCGUCGUGGUGGCGUCAAAGGCGGAGGACCUGCCAAGACUCGCGUAGGUGGAGGUCGUCAUUUGGCGUCGUGGUGGCGUCGAUGGCGGAGAACCUGCCAAGGUUGUCAUCUCAAUCGCUCUGAAGAUGGACCAGUGGAAUAUGGCGGCGACAACACAUGUGAGUGCGUCGGACCGGUUUGAGCCCCGGACCCGGUAGAUGGCUCGGUCGGGGCCUCCGGCUUUAGAUGUUAGGCUUAGGUGAGAGGUCUAGAUAUGUGGCCCAGCUUGCACCCCUUCAUCAUUUGAAUAGGAGUAGCGACAGAUGUUGCGAAGAUGACGGAUUCAAGUAUAUUGUUGUUCUACUUUGUAAGUUCCUCGAGAAUAAUCAAUAAAAUGGCCGCAUGCAUCUUCCAGAUGCAUAUGCCGGAGGUUAUCCUCCUUUUUUUUUAAAAUGUAGUCCAUAUUAAUAUAUUCAAAAUAUUUUAUAGUAUUUGUGAACGAAAGGAGUAAUUAAUAGUAAUGCAACAAUUUCAGUGGAGGCCAGUCAGCAGCUAACUAAAUGUGCUGGAUGAGACUGGAGAAAUGCAUAAACGAUUUACACAUGAUAGAACUACUCUUUUCUUAUUAAGGCGAAUCAGGUUCGUUACUGACUGCCAAAGUCACGGCCGUUUCUGCCUUUGACGCUGAUAAGAGAUUCUACACUGUAAGGCCUCGUUUGAAAUGGAGGGAUUCAGGAGGACUUGAGGUGUGGAGAUUGGAGGGGAUUUGAUGAAUCCCUCCCCUCCACCCAAUCUCCUCAACUCCCCUUGCAAUCAAUCCCUUCCUGAAAAAACGCGUUUGGUAGGCGGAGAGUGGAGGAGGCAUGCACUGCCGCUGCCCUCGAGGUUCUGCUUGUGCAAGGCCCUCGACUAGAGUUCUGAACCGCGCGGGUACGAGGGGAUUGGAAGGGAUCGGAGGGGGUUGGGCUGUGCAAACCCCACCUAUCAAAUGGGCCGAUGAGGUUUCGUGGGGCUUCUGGCCCUCCGGGGGUUCAUCCUCUCCAAACCUCCUGAAUCCUCCUGCGCCAAACGAGGCCUAAAGGAAAAGCUGAAAGCUCUCCUAUCUCGUGUGUUUCUCUUCUCUUGCACCUUGUCGGAAAACAGCGUGCACCAGGGACGCUUGAUUCCAUUGCAGGCAUCAGUUCAAUCUAUCAUGCUACAGGGAACCGGCACUAUCUUCUUUUUCUUCUUCUUUUAGGUCGUGAACGCAAGUCAUUUGAGACAUUCACAUGGGAUUACAUAAUCGGUACGUUGUGACGGAACUGGACGCACAUGAUGAAAUAGAUAGAUAUUCCUACGGUAGAUUUAUCAGCAUCAGUGUGGAGCUAAAGUGUUUGAUGUUUUGUAUGAAUGGUUUGGUCUGAACAAUAAAGCCGACCACUCAGGACCUACUUUUGGGCUUUUUUUUGUAUUAUUGUAUACUAGCAAAAGGGCCCGUGCGCGGAGAAAAAAAUUAUAAUCUUGAAUGGCCAAGAUCACAUUUUUUUGCAUCACCGACAUUUUUCAAAUUCAUGAACACUUUUACGAAUUUGCAAACAUAUUCUAAAAUCAAUAACAUAUUUUGAAUUCAUGAACAUUUUAUAGUAUUUACAAACAUUUUUAGAAAUUGUGAACAUUUUUUAACAAUUUUCUUGAAUAGGCAAAUAAUUCUAAAAUGGACGAACAUUGUUUUAGAAAUCGGUGGAACCAUUUUUGAAAUUCACGAACAUUUUUUGAUUUUACAAACAUAUUUUGAAAUGCAUGAUCAUUUUUUGAAUCAGCGAACAUUCUAUGAAUGAAUAAACUAUUUUGUAAGUCACGAAUAGUUUUUCAAAUAUUUGGUUAUUUCCCCAUUCAUGAACAUUUUUUGAAUGAUGAGAUGUUCUUCAAUUACAUUAAAAAAAAUUUAUACACGAAUUUUUAAAAAGUCAUGAACGUAUUUUGAUUUCAUGAACAUUUGUUUCCGAAAUUUCGAACAUUUUUUGAGUCAGAUUCCUUAAUAAAAUUGCAAAUAUUUUUUGAAUACACAAACAUUUUAUGAUUUAUCAAACCUUUAUUUGAAAAUUAUUUUCUAAAUUUCAAAUAUUUUUUUGUAUUCCGAAAUUAUUUAAAAAAUAAAAAAGGAAAAAGAUAAAAAGUGAAAUGUUAAAAACAGGCCGCCCGGACAUGGGCCCGCCCAGAUAUGCGGCCCACGCCUUAUCCCUCCCCGCAGAGCCGAGUAUGUGAGGUCCCUACUACAUGGGCCUGUCCAGACGGGGAUUUCCCUGUGUGAAACAUUUAUAUCACUUAUAUGUGACAUUUGUGGGUAAUUUCUAUGACGUGCCAUAAGAAGAAAUAGCCCCUUUUAUUACUAGCAAAAGGGUCCGUGCGUUGUAACGGGAGAAAUAAAAUCAAAAUCUCCAAUGACCAUGACCAUAUUUGCUACAUCACUGAGACACCCUAUCACUCUCAAUUUCAUGAAAUCAUGAAUAAUUUUUGAAAUCACGAACAUGUUUUAAAAUUCUUACACAUGUUUGGAAUCAUGAACAUUUUCCAAAUUCAUGAACACUCAUACAAAUUUUCAAACAUUUUCUAAAAUCAAGAACAUUUCUAGAAUUGAUGAAAAAAAUUAUACUAUUUGCAAACACUUAUUAAAAAUUCUGAACAUCUUUAUAAAUAAUUUUGUUUAAUCGGCAAACAUUUUAUGGAAAUUGAUGGAAAAAAAUUCGAAAUUCAAAAACAUUUUUCGUUUUGACUAAAUUUUUUGAAAUACAUGAUCAUUUUUUGAAACAGUGAACAUUUUCUGAAUGACUAAACUAUGUUGUAAGUCAAGAAAUAGUUUUUCAAUUUUAGGAUAUUUUUCCAUUCAUGAACAUUUUUUGAAUUAGCGAUUUAUUUCAAUUUCAUUAACAAUUUUUGAUACACAAAAUAUUUAGAAAAUCAUGAAUAUUAUUUGAUUUCCGAAAAUUUUGUUUUUAAAAUUUUGAACAUUUUUUGUGUAAGCAAUUAUUUUUUGCAAACUGCGACCAUAUUUUGAAUCCACAAGUAUUUUAUGAUUUAUGAAAAAUUUAUGUCAAAUUCUCAUUUUUUUUUUCGAAACUAUUUUGAAAUCUCAAAAUAUUUAUAGUAGAAAAGAAAAAAACAGGAAAGAAAAAUUAAAAUGGAAAACGAAAUUAAAAAAACAGGCCAGCCUGUAAUGGGCCAGCCCAAACAUGCGGGUAGCGUCUUCUCCCAGCGUGCAGAUAGCAUUAAAGGAGGUCCCAAGUGUAGGGCCGGCCCAGAUGGGGGAAUUCCCCUGUGUGAAUUUUUUUAUCACUUAUAUGUGGCAUUGAACUCAUGAAUCAUGCGCUAUCACAUCCAGCUAGCCGCCAUGUCUCGCUCGGACAACCAGAUGAACUUUCUUUCGUCCCUGUAAACAUUUUGACGAUAUAAUAAAAAGCUUUGGAAUUUGUCUAAAAAAAACUUAUAAGUGGCAUUGGUGGGUAAUAUUUUGUAACUUUAGAGGUAAUUUCCACGACGUACCACUAGAAGCGCAAUAGCCCAUUUACUAUUAUUAGGUACUCUUUUUUCCUUGUGGAGGUUUGGAAAUGAGAGAAUUUGAAUAUAGUAACUCUCGAAAACUCUUAUUGGACGAGAGAGAUUUAAUAUGAUAUUGGCAUGGGUUCUACCAACUAAACGAAGAAGUAUUUGACUGGAUAAACAGACAAUUUCCUUUAAUUGACAAACAUUUUUAUGAAAAUUGGUGGAACAACUUUUGAAAUUCAAAAAUAUUUUUUGAGUUAAUGAACAUUCUUUUAACUUAAUGAACAUUUUUUUUAAAUACAUGACCAUUUUUUUGAAUCUGUGAACGUUGUAUGAAUGAAUAAACUAGUUUCUAAGUCAUGAGCAGUUAUUCAAUUUUUAAGAUAUUUUUUCCUUCAUGAACAUUUUUUCAAUUGGUGAAAUUUUGUUCAAUUUCAUUAACAACCCUUUUUAAAAAAUCAUGAACAUUAUAUUUUACCAAAAAAGCAAAUUGUUUUUUUACAAAAUCGUGGACAUUUUUUGAAUCCACAAACCUUUUAUGAUUUAUGAAAUCCUAAAUUAUUUAAAGUAGAAAAAUCAUAAAAAGAAAAGAGAAAGGAAUAAUAGAAAACGAAGUUACAAAAAUAGGCCGACCGAACAUGGGCCGGCCCCAAACAGGCGCACUGCAUCUUCUCCGAGCGCCUAGAGCGUAGUAUAGGAGGUCCCUACUGCAUGGGCUGGCCUAAGCGUUGUCAAAUUUAUUCAUAUAUUAUUUUCGAUUGUACAACCAUAAUUUUUCUUAUCUCUCUCGUUCCACUACAUGCUCCUAGUCAAUGAAUUUCUUUAAUAAUGGUUGUUUUUAUUAACUCAAAAUAUAGCAUCAAGCAGAUACAAAACAUAAUGAGCCACACCCGGUCUAUGCAUAACUAAGAUGCACACAGCCAAAAGCAGAAGUCUGACAAAAAUAAGAUAAGAAGAUCGAUAUAUCGACAACAGUGAGUCAUAUAGUUGGUUUUGGGUUGGGAACGGCGGUGGCCUGCCAGAGGGCAAGACACUGGCUGUGUACGCUGGUGUCACCUGGUGUGGCAUUCGUGGGACCCAAGUGGUAGCGCCUCCUCAGUGAUGGCGGCGAGCGCGGACGUGUUGGACACCACCUCGUCUAUGUCCAUGCAGCCCACUUCUUUCUCUGUAGGAAGGACGCGGUUACACUCGCGUUGACAUCGGAUGACUCGGUCACAGGCACGGGAGGGGUGAGAGGACAUGGCACCGUCAAUGGCAGCCACGAUGCCCGUGCCACCGUGCUCCCUCCCUGUGCCGACCUGGAGCAACUUGCCACUCCUCGGCUCGUGGCCGGCGGGCUUUACGGGCCACCUAGCCAUUUUUAUGCCAGACAACUCUUCUUCCUGCUCGUCAGAUGCCAUGGAGAAAACUGUUCAAGGAGGAAAAUGGUGAGUGGAGGUGUGAUGCGGUUCUUGCCCGACAUCUGGCAUUGUUUAAAUAGCGAGGGGACACGAGGAGCCAAGCGACAUUCUGUUUAAUGCCAACCGGCUCACGAAUGAACAUGUGGCCGGAGUAAUUAUCCUGGAACACACGUGGGUUUAAUGAUGGAAGGCGGGCAGUCUGCAAGAAUGAGGCGAGGAUGUGUGUUUAGCCGGCGUGCAGCGGGCGGCGCCCUCGGCCGGCGCUCUGCUUCCAUUGCGGAGGCAGUGAGAGGCCGCGUCCGCUCUGCAGCGCAUGAAUGCGGGCAGCUGGCGCAGAGCGGGAACGCGUGCGGGCGAGGGAGGAGGGGGUUUGGGUGGGCAUGGGUGGUCAGAAGCGGUCGUGGGUGUUGUCCGAACACCUGCAAAGCCCCCCUCCAUGUUUGUCUCCGGUUUACGGGAGAAAGUACGUCCAGACCUUCCAAUGGACCGAUACAGGCCCGCAUUGGAUGGCACAACACGUCCGGACCAUGUGGUCCGGAUGGUUCAGGACGGUUUAAUUGAGGGUUGACGUUGGAGAUGCCUUAGAGUUUAUGAAUCCAUUGUGUUUUUCUAAUCAUAAAAAAACACUUAUAAUAAGUUAGAAGGAAAGACACGUUUAUAUGUUAGGUUCAGACUCCAGCUUUCCUCUUACAUAUGCUUUAUUCUGAUCCGACUGAUUCCAAUAGAGGGAGCCUGGCGUUGUUUUUCUGGAAACUCGCGGGAUAAAGAGACUUGCAUACACAUUCUUUCAAGCAAAUCACAUCCAUUCUUUUAACUCAUUUUUCUUAUUUUAAUAAUAUAAUAGAUCAUUUAUAUUUUUUAUCUCAAACAGUUGACGUGUAAUUUAUAUUGUAAUCUGAGGAUAAUGUUUGGAUUUUACUUUCAAAUAUAUUUGAAAUGGCCAUGAUGGAAUCACAUCCAUUUAUUUUAUUAUUAUUUGAAUUUGAUCCAAAAGAUAAAUAAUGAGUAGAGGUCAUGUCAACUUUUCUAGAACUUUGCUAAUCAAAAUAUAAUUUGUAUUUAAAAACAUCUAUUUUUUAGCACGCAUGAAAAACAUAACAUUGUAUCUUUUCACACAUAAUGAACGGUUGUCAUAAGAACUCAUGCCAUGCCACAACCUCCCUCCGACCCUGCCAACAUUGUUGCAGAUGCACUAGCAAGCCUUAGCGUAGAUGAUCAUUUAUACGAUUUGCGUAAAACAAAAUAAGAUCUACAAACGAAUAGAAGCUAGAACGUACCUUGGCAUGCACACACAUUGCAAGCCAUACUAAGCUGACAAGUGUUAAUAACUUGUACAAUAUAUACAACACUUAAGACAAGUAAAAACAAUUUCACGAGUCAUGGUCUAUCAAAGCAAGCCACAUUACUAGUCUAAUCCAUCUUAACAGGUCACACAUGAUUAAAAUCUUGUUUGUGUGCAAGUCAAGCUUAUCUAGUUUACAUGUAACAACUUGUAGAACAUUACAAAAUUUAUGUUUGCUAAUAACUUCUAGAACACUACAACACUUGACAUGUAAAAGGAAUUUGAUGAGUCAUGGCCUACUAAAGCAAGUUAUAUUACUAGUCUUAUCUACCUUAACAGGCCACACAAGAUUACAAACUAAGUAACGUGCCAGCCAUGCUUAUCUAGUUUAUGCGCAACAAUUCGCAGAAAAUUACAAACUUAGUUUCAGAAAAUAGGUAAUCUAGAUUAGUGUUUGAGCUGUAAAGUAAAUAAGAUGAGUCAAGCGUGUUAUCACACGUUUUUGGUUGUGGAAUGAUAGUGCAAUAACAAGGAACUUUAAUGACCAGUCCAAGAAUACACUUGUAAGUAGUGCUACCGAACACAACAUACCAAAUUAUGAUUUUGAGAAGCAUCCAAGCACUUUCCACACAGGCAAAUGCCAAUUGUGAAAGAGAUCAUGCCAUGGUAGCUAUAAAUACGCUCGUAGCAUGAUGACCAUCCUUCCUCAUCCAUCAUUCUCAUAAGUAGAGUGCAUCAUUUAAGCCAAGCAAGCAGUGGUCAAUACAAAUCCAUCAUGAAGACCAUUCUCAUCCUUGCCCUCCUUACUAUCGUGGCGACCACCGCCACAACUGCAGUUAGAGUCCAAGUUCCACAAUUGUAGCCACAAAAUCCAUCUCAGCAACAGCCACAAGAGCAAGUUCCAUUGGUACAACAACAACAAUUUCCAGGGCAGCAACAACCAUUUCCACCACAACAGCCAUAUCCGCGGCCGCAACCAUUUUCAUCACAACAACCAUAUCUGCAGCUGCAACCAUUUCCGCAGCCGCAACUACCAUAUCCGCAGCCGCAACCAUUUCGACCACAACAACCAUAUCCACAACCGCAACCACAGUAUUAGCAACCACAACAACCAAUUUCGCAGCUGCAGCAGCAACAACAACAACAAUAGCAACAACAACAGCAACAAAAACAGCAGCAACAACAACAGCAGCAGCAACAACAACAACAACAGCAACAACACCAGCAACAACAGCACCAACAGCAGUAGCAGCAGCAGCAACAACAACAANNNNNNNNNNCAACAACAACAACAACAACAACAACAACAACAACAACAACAACAACAACAACAACAACAACAACAACAACAACAACAACAACAACAACAACAACAACAACAACAACAACAACAACAACAACAACAACAACAACAACAACAACAACAACAACAACAGCAGCAGCAGCAGCAGCAGCAGCAACAACAACAACAACAACAACAACAACAACAACAACAACAACAACAACAACAACAACAACAANNNNNNNNNNNNNNNNNNNNNNNNNNNNNNNNNNNNNNNNNNNNNNNNNNNNNNNNNNNNNNNNNNNNNNNNNNNNNNNNNNNNNNNNNNNNNNNNNNNNNNNNNNNNNNNNNNNNNNNNNNNNNNNNNNNNNNNNNNNNNNNNNNNNNNNNNNNNNNNNNNNNNNNNNNNNNNNNNNNNNNNNNNNNNNNNNNNNNNNNNNNNNNNNNNNNCAACAAUAACAACAACAAAUUUUGCAACAACAACAACAACAAAUUUUGCAACAACAACAACAACAACAAAUUUUGCAACAACAACUGAUUCCAUGCAGGGAUGUUGUAUUGCAACAACACAACAUAGCGCAUGGAAGCUCACAAGUUUUGCAACAAAGUACUUACCAGCUGGUGUAACAAUUGUGUUGUCAGCAGCUGUGGCAGAUUCCCGAGCAGUCGCGGUGCCAAGCCAUCCACAAUGUUGUUCAUGCUAUUAUUCUGCAUCAACAACAACAACAACCGUCGAGCCAGGUCUCCUUCCAACAGCCUCAACAACAAUAUCCAUCAGGCCAAGGCUCCUUCCAGCCAUCUCUGCAAAACCCACAGGCCCAUGGCUCUGUCCAGCCUCAACAACUGCCCCAGUUUGAGGAAAUAAGGAACCUAGCGCUACAGACGCUACCUGCAAUGUGCAAUGUCUACAUCCCUCCAUAUUGCACCAUUGCUCCAUUUGGCAUCUUCGGUACUAACUGAGAAGAGAAGAACUCUAGUACUAGAUAUAUGAAGCAUUGUUUUCUUAGUCCAUGGUUUGGUCGUUGUUGCUGUGAAAAAAUAAAGUGGCAUGCACUAUCAUGUAAGAACCCGAACUAUACUAGUUCAAACUUGGGAAUAAAAGACAAACACAAGUCUUGUCUACAUAUGAUUCUUUGUUUGAUUUCCAUUCAUGUGCGCAUUCACAAGUUCACCCCUAAUUAUAUAUAUAUGCAUUAAGUAGAUAUUUAUGUUGCAUUAAUCUAAAGAUAACAAAAUGACUCUAAAAUUUGAAUUAAAUUGAAGUAUUUCCUUGGAAUUUCAAAUGGAAUAUUAUUAAAGUAGUAAGGACUAUCCACAUCCUUGGCUUGCCCUUGAUCAAUUAUUUGCAGAGAAGCAUUCAAUUUGUCAAUCAACAUGAGUAUAUUCAUCGCGGCUACUCCAAAUCGGCAUGAAUGAGGUACCGGUGCUCUGGAGCACUACUAGCUAACUGCUUCUCAUGUGAAGGGGUGCGGGCGCGGGAGAGGUGUUUCUGGUGGGGCAGGGGAGUAUGAAGCGGCCGUGGCAGCGGUCCAGAUGCCCACAAAGACCCGUAGUUUGUUUUUGGUUUACAGGAAAGUGCACAUCCAGACCGGCCUGCGGGCCGAUAUAGGACCGUAUUGGAUGGCAAAACAUGUCCGGAUGGUUGCGAGUGGUUUGGGGGUUAGCUUUUGUAAUGCCCGGUUAGUUAUGCUAUAGUAAUUCCCUGCUAGUGAUGCCACGUCACCCUGAUUACUGUUGUUAACCUCACAAUUAUUCAAUCCCAUUCAAAUUCAAAUUUAAAAUAAAGGCAAACAUCAAAAGUUUUCAAACAUUAAAACUAAAAUCUUCGAGAGGUGAAAAAUAAUGCGUAAGUAAUUAUGCUGGAGAAACCACACUUUUACAAAAUGUUUAAAUACUAUAAAAUGAAUAAAACAGUGGCUUAAACUAUUAUUAAAAUGCUUUUAAAAUAGUAAAAAUGUUAUAACUAAAUUAAUUGGGUGCCAAACUUUUGGUGGCAGUGGUAUAUUUAGUAGAACUAAUUUAGAUGCUAAUUAUAUAAUUUACAAAAUUAAAGUAAAUUGAAAACAGGAUAAAACAGAAAAGGAGAGACAAAACAAAUAAAAGCAAAAGGGGGCAACUCCUCGCUGGGCCUCGGCCAAGCUGGCCACUGGGCUAGCUAGGCCGACCCAGCCGCCUACAUUAACCCACCACUCCCCAUCGAACCCUAGCCCGAUCUCCCCACUUCCCCCACACCCCCUUGAUGUCUACUACGCAACUUUAUUCUUAUAGACACGUGUUGGGCCUCCAAGCGCAGAGUUUUGUAGGAUAGUAGCAAUUUUCCCUCAAGUGGAUGACCUAAGGUUUAUAAAUCCGUGGGAGGCGUAGGAUGAAGAUGGUCUCUCUCAAACAACCCUGCAAUCAAAUACAAGAAAUCUCUUGUGUCCCUAACACACGCAAUACAAUGGCAAAUUGUAUAGGUGCACUAGUUCAGUGAAGAGAUGGUGAUAAAAGUGUAAUUUUGAUGGUAGAAAUAUAUUUUUAUAAUCUGAAUAAAUAAAAACAGCAAGUUGGGAAAUAGUAAAUGGGCACAAAAACGGUAUUGCAAUGCUUGAAACCAAGGCCUAGGGUCCGUAAUUUUGCUAGUGCAAUUUCUCAACAGUGCUAAUAUAGUUGGAUCAUAUGAUUAUCCCUCAAAGUGCAAUAAAGAAUCACUCCCGAGUUCCUAAUAGCGGAGAACAAAAGAUAGAAAUUGUUUGUAGGGUAUGAAACCACCUCAAAGCUUCGGUUCGAUCUGUUCAAGAUUUCGUACUAAAAUAACACAAAGCUAUUUUUUCCGUUCGAUCUGUCCUAGAGUUCGUACUAAAAUAACACCAAAGCAAAUUCAUAUUCAUAAUACACAAUCCACACAAAGAACUACAAAGAGACCCCAAAGUUUCUAUCGGAGAAAAGAUAAUAAAAACGUGCAUCAUCCCCUAUGCAUAGAUUACCCCAACAUCACCUUGGGAAACCGCAAGUUGAGUGCCAUAACAUAUAUCAAGUGAAUCAAUACGAUACCCCAAUGUCACCUCAAGUAUUCAUACCGCAAGACAUACAUCAUGUGUUCUCAUAUCUGAAUAUUCAAUCCGACAAGACAAAACUUCAAAGGCUAAAGAUUCAGAGUAUAGAGGGGAGAAACAUCAUAUGAUCCAUCUAUAUUAACAAAGCCCAUGAUAUAGAUCACGAGAGAGAGAUUAAACACAUAGCUACUGGUACAAACCCUCAGCCCCGAGGGUGGACUACUCCCUCCUCAUCGUGGUGGCCGCCAGGAUGACGAAGAUGGCCACCAAAGAUGAUUCCCCCCUCCGGCAGGGUGCCAUAAAGGGUCUAGAUUGGUUUUCGGUGGAUACAGAGCCUAGCGGCGGCGGAACUUCUGAUCUAGGUUAACCCCAAAGGGUUUCGGAAUAUUUGGGAAUUUAUAGUGCAAAGAGGGGGUGCGGGAGGCCACCGAGGUGGGCACAACCCACCUGGGCGCGCCAGGGGGCCCUGGCGCGCCCUGGUGGGUUGUGCCCCCCUCAUGCUUCUUCGGCCCACUGUUGGUCUUCUAGUCCAUAAAAAAUCUCCAUGAAGUUUCAUUGCAUUUGGACUCCGUUUAGUAUUGAUUUCCUGCGAUGUAAAAAACAAGCAAAAACGGCAACUGACACUGGGUCAAUAGGUUAGUCCCAAAAAAUGAUAUAAAGAUGCUAUAAAAUGAUUGUAAAACAUCCAAGAAUGAUAAAAUAACAGCAUGAAUACUUCAUAAAUUAUAGAUACGUUCGAGACGUAUCAGCAUCCCCAAGCUUAAUUCCUACUCGUCCUCGAGUAGGUAAAUGAUAAAAGAAAUAAUUUAUGAAGUGUGAAUGCUAGGAAAGUGCACAAGUUUGAUCAAUCACAAUUUCAAUCACUUUUCCUAGCAUCAUAACCGCGAUUCUUUCUUAUAAAACUUCUCAUGAUACAAUGGCAACCAAUUCACAUAUUAAGGUUCAAACAGUGAAUUCUCUUAAAACUCAACAACCUAUGUUCUUAGUCACCAAGCAAUUGCAAUUCAACUUAUUCAACGGAGUUUAAGUAAGAGCUCCACAUACUCAACCAUCUUAUAGUCUUCUAUGAUUGCUAACACUCACCGCAUACACAUGGGCAAAACGUUUCAACCGGACACAUAGAAAGAUAGGGGCUUAUUGUUUUUCCUCCCAACGUAUUCACCUCAAGGGUGAUGUCAACAAUAAUAACUCAUGCUACCCAUAUUCAACUGGACAUAUGUGCCUAGAUCUUUCCUCACCACAUGAUGCUUGCCAAAGGAGAAAAAUAGAAAGGAAUAGAGAGAAAAACUUUGACUCUUUGCAUAAAAGUAAAUACUGGAAAGUAAAAGAUAGGCCCUUCGCAGAGGGAAGCAGAGGUUGCCAUGCGCUUAUUUGUUUGUAUGCUCAACCCAUUAGUGAAAAAGAACGUCACGUUAUAUUGCCCCUUAUGAUAGCAACCUUUAUUAUGCAUUCUGUCGCUUUUAUUCUUUGCCAUCACAUGUUCGUACAAUGCUCAAUUUUCUCUUACACUAAAUGAUCUCACACUUUUAGAAGCAAUUUUUAUUGCCUUAUUGCACUGAUGACAACUUACUUGAAGAAUCUUAUUGAAUCCUUAGGUAGGUAUGGUGGACUCUUGAAAAUAAGAUUUGGGUUUAAGGGUUUUUGGAUGCACAAGUAGUAUCUCUACUUGGUGCGGAAUUUUUGGCUAGCAAAGAUGGGGGGCAAGCACCACAUGUUGAAGGAUCUAUGACAAUAUUACUUCUAUGUGAAUAUGAGCAAACAUAAAUCAUUAUGUUGUCUUCCUUGUCCAACGUCAACAAUUUUGGCAUAUAAUAUUUUGAUGGGGGCUCACAAUCACAAAAUAUUUCCAAGAUAGUGUGUUUGCAUGUGAAAGUUCUCUUCCUUAUACUAAUUAUUCGUGAAUUGAUUGUAUGACCAAAAUUUUGAUUGUCAAGCCUCAGAAGAUUUCACUUUCUAAACCCAAUGUGAAGCUACCACUAGGAAUGAUAUGAUUUCAUCUUCAUGACAUUCAAUUUAUUAAAAAAUUUACUCAUAGGAUAUAAGUGAAGCACAAGAGGAAUUCCAAAGAAAGAGCUUCGUUGACGGGAUGUGAAUGUCGCUUACUUAGCUUCCUUGGCAACUAUUUGAGGACUCUAUUUUUUUUAAAACUUUCAGAUCUAAGUAUUUUAUUAAAACAAUAAGGAAAACAAAAUAAAAUGACAUUCCAAGGAUAGCACAUAUCAUGUGAAGAAGCAAAAACUUAGGCUCAACCGAUACUAACCGAUAAUUGUUGAAGGAAAAAGGUGGGAUGCCUACUGGGGCAUCCCCAAGCUUAGAUGCUUGAGACUUCUUGAAAUAUUAUCUUGGGAUGACUUGGGCAUCCCCCAAGCUUGAGAUUUUGUGUCUCCUUAAUUUUUCUCAUAUCACGGUUUUCCUAAAUCUCAAAAGCUUCAUCCACACAAAACUCAACAAGAACUCAUGAGAUAAGUUAGUAUAGACCAAUGCAAAAGCCUUAUCAAUCUCUACUGUAGCAAAUCACUAAAAUUAUUAUUCAACAUUGCAUACUAAAUGCCUCUUCACAUUUAAUACUCCUAUCCUUAAAUAGAGUCAUUAAACAAGCAAACAUAUGCAAACAAUGCAAACAUAACAGCAAUCUGCCAAAACAGUAUAGUCUGUAAAGAAUGCAAGAGUAUCAAUACUUCCCUAACUCCAAAAAUUAUGAAAUUCUACCAUACUGUAGAGAAUUUAUCAGAUCUUAUUACGCAAAAAGUUUCAACAUUUUAUCACACUCUGACUUUUCUAGGGAAUUUUUGCAACAGCGGUAAACUUUCUGUUUUCAAACAGCAACAUGUAGACUUGUAAAAUAAGCAUAGUAAAGGUUAUCCUUGACAUUUUUAUUGAAAUAAAAGAUGCAAAACAUUAUUAUAAAUAAAAUAAAGCAAUUCCUAACAAAAAAACUUUACACUCCAAGCAAAACUCAUAUCAUGUGAAGAAUAAAAACAUAGCUCCAAGUGAGGUUACCGAUAAUGUUGGAGACGAAAGAGGGGAUGCCUUCCAGGGCAUCCCCAAUCUUAGUUGCUUGGAUAUUCCUUGAGUAUUAUUUUGGGGUGCCUUGGGCAUCCCCAUGCUUAGGGUCUUGACACUCCUUAUUCUCCUCAUAUCGAUAUCUCACCCAAAACUUGAAAACUUCAAUCACACAAAACUUAACAGAACUUCGUGAGAUAGGUUGGUAUAAUAAAGAGCAAACCAUUUCACUUUUGGUACUGUGAAAGACAAGAUUCAUAAUUUUUCUCACACAAUUCCUACUGUAGAAUAUCAUUUCCACAAUUUAUAUUGAGCAAUAUAAGCCAUAGAAACUAGAAAGCAAGCAAACUAUGCAUUGAAAACAGAAUCUGUCAAAAACAGAACAGUCUGUAAUAAUCUGGAUAACUGCCAUACUUCUUGUACUCCAAAAAUUAUGAAAAAAUUAGGACCACGUGAGAAAUUUGUAUAUUAAACUUCUGCAAAAAUAAUCAACUCAAAAUCACUCUUCUGUUAAAAAUGAGACUUAUUUUCAUGAGCGCAAAAGUUUCUGUUUUUCAGCAGGGUCAAAUCAACUAUCACCCAACAUGAUCCCAAAGGCUUUACUUGGCACUUUAUUGAAACAAAAGCUAUAAAAAUGAUCAAUGCAGUAGCAUAAUCAUGUUAACACACAAAAACCGUAAGUAAAAGUGUUGGGUUGUCUCCCAACAAGCGCUUUUCUUUAAUGCCUUUUAGCUAGGCAUGAUGAGUUCAAUGAUGCUCGCAUAAAAUUAAGAUAAGAAUUGAAACACAAAGAGAGCAUCAUGAAGAAUAUGACUAGCACAUUUAAGUCUAACCCACUUCCUAUUUAUUGGGAUUUUGUUAGCAAACAAUUUAUGGGAGCAAGAAUCAACUAGCAUAGGAAGGCAAAACAAGCAUAGCUUCAAAACUUUCAACAUAAAGAGAGGAAACUUGAUAUUAUUGAACCUAAUAGCAUAUGUUCCUCUCUCGUAAUAAUUUUCAGUAGCAUCAUGAAUGAAUUCAACAAUAUAAACAUCACAUAAAGCAUUCUUUUCAUGAUCCACAAGCAUAGAAAUUUUGUUACUCUCCACAUAAGAAAAUUUCUUCUCAUCAAUAGUAGUGCGAGCAAACUCAACAAAAUAACUCUCAUGUGAUUGGAAAUUAAAAUCAUGAUGACAAGUUUCAUGUUUAUAAUUAUUCAAUAUAGCAUAUAUGUCAUCACCAUAAUCAUCAUAUAUAGGAACUUUGUUGUCAUAAUCAAUUGCAACCUCCUCCAAAAUAGUGGAUUCAUCAUUAAAUAAAGUCACGACCUCUCCAAAUCCACUUUCAUCAAUAUAAUCAUCAUAAAUAGGAGGCAUGCAAUCAUCAUAAUAAAUUUUCUCAUUAAAACUUGGGGGACUAAAAAUAUCAUCUUCAGCAAACAUAGCAUCCCCAAGCUUAUGGCUUUGCAUAUCAUUAGCAUCAUGGAUAUUCAAAGAAUUCAUACUAACAACAUUGCAAUCAUGCUCAUCAUUCAAAUAUUUUGUGCCAAACAUUUUAUUGACUUCUUCUUAUAACAAUUGAGAACAAUUUUCCGAUCCAUCAUUUUCAAGAAAGAUAUUAUAAAGAUGAUCAAUAAUAUGAUGCAACCUCAAUUCCAUUUUUUAUGUAGUUUUCUUUUAUAAACCAAACUAGUGAUAAAACAAGAAAGUAAAAUAUUUAAUUGCAAGAUCUAAAGAUAUACCUUCAAGCACCCACCUCCCCGGCAAUGGUGUCAGAAAAGAGCUUGAUGUCUACUACGCAACUUUAUUCUUGUAGACACGUGUUGGGCCUCCAAGCGCAGAGUUUUGUAGGACAGUAGCAAUUUUCCCUCAAGUGUAUGACCUAAGGUUUAUCAAUCUGUGGGUGGCGUAGGAUGAAGAUGGUGUCUCUCAAACAACCCUGCAAUCAAAUACAAGAAAUCUCUUGUGUCCCCAACACACCCAAUAAAAUGGCAAAUUGUAUAGGUGCACUAGUUCGGCGAAGAUAUGGUGAUAAAAGUGUAAUUUUGAUGGUAGAAAUAUAUUUUUAUAAUCUGAAUAAAUAAAAACAGCAAGGUAGCAAAUUUUAAACGGGCACAAAAACGGUAUUGCAAUGCUUGAAAACAAGGCCUAGGGUCCGUAAUUUCGCUAGUGCAAUUUCUCAACAAUGCUAACAUAGUUGGAUCAUAUGAUUAUCCCUCAAAGUGCAAUAAAGAAUCACUCCCGAGUUCCUAAUAGCGGAGAACAAAAGAUAGAAAUUGUUUGUAGGGUACGAGACCACCUCAAAGCUUCCGUUCGAUCUAUUCAAGAGUUCAUACUAAAGUAACACAAAGCUAUUUUUCCGUUCGAUCUAUCCUAGAGUUCGUACUAAAAUAAGACCAAAGCAAAUUCAUAUUCAUAAUACUCAAUCCACACAAAGAACUACAAAGAGACCCCAAAGUUUCUAUCGGAGGAAAGAUGAUAAAAACGUGCAUCAUCCCCUAUGCAUAGAUUACCCCAACGUCACCUCGGGAAUCCGCAAGUUGAGUGCCAUAACAUAUAUCAAGUGAAUCAAUACGAUACCCCAUUGUCACCUCAAGUAUUCAUACCGCAAGACAUACAUCAUGUGUUCUCAUAUCUGAAUAUUCAAUUCGACAAGAAAAAACUUCAAAGGCUAAAGAUUCAAUUCAUCACAACAAGAGUAUAGAGGGGAGAAACAUCAUAUGAUCCAUCUAUAUUAACAAAGCCCAUGAUAUAGAUCACGAGAGAGAGAUUAAACACAUAGCUACUGGUACAAACCCUCAGCCCCGAGGGUGGACUACUCCCUCCUCAUCGUGGUGGCCGCCGAGAUGAUGAAGAUGGCCAUCAGAGAUGAUUCCCCCCCUCCGGCAGGGUGCCAGAAAGGGUCUAGAUUGGUUUUCGGUGGAUAAAGAGCCUUGCGGCGGCGAAACUUCUGAUCUAGGUUAACCCCGAAGGGUUUCGGAAUAUUUGGGAAUUUAUAGUGCAAAGAGGGGGUGCGGGAGGCCACCGAGGUGGGCACAACCCACCUGGGCGCCAGGGGGCCCUGGUGUGCCCUGGUGGGUUGUGCCCCCUCGGGGCACCCCUAGGUGCUUCUUCGGCCCACUGUUGGUCUUUCGGUCCAUAAAAAAUCUCCGUGAAGUUUCAUUGCAUUUGAACUCCGUUUGGUAUUGAUUUCCUGCGAUGUAAAAAACAAGCAAAAAACAGCAACUGGCACUGGGCACUGGGUCAAUAGGUUAGUCCCAAAAAAUGAUAUGAAGUUGCUAUAAAAUGAUUGUUAAACAUCCAAGAAUGAUAAAAUAACAGCAUGAAUACUUCCUAAAUUAUAGAUACGUUGGAGACGUAUCACCACUCGUUAGCCUCCCCACCUCUCGAUCCCAUCUGGAUCGGGGAGGUGAUCGCCCCCAUCAACCCCAUUACCGUCACCGGAUCGCUCGCUCGCCCAUUGCCCACCGGCGUCGCCGGGCCUCCUCCCCGCCCCCCCGUCUCUGGCUCGCCUCCCCCUCGCUCCUCUUCCCCGACCCGAUCUGGAUCCGGAAGGGGCAAUGAGCCUGACGCGCCCCCUUCACCGACGCCGUGUGCCACUACCGCCGCCCAAAGACCUCGCCGUCGCCGGACCUCGCGUCGCCUCCUCGUAUCCUUCCCCGACUCGCCUCCUCAAGCCACGCCGGACCCCUUCUCGGCAAUGUUGUGAGCCGCCCCCCGUUGCCUUCCUCCUCUUUCCACCGCGUUUACCGCGCCGCCAACCGUGCCCCUCGCCGCGCGCACGCCCACCACCACGCCAGCCCCCGCUUCGCACCCUCUCCUGCACGCUUGCGCGCGCAUUACCCUAGCCGUGCCCGUGGCACGAUCCCCUUGUUCGCCCCGCCUUCGUCCCGCGCUCGCCGCGGUCCCCUGCUACCUCUUGAGCACUGCGUUGGUUUUCCCUUGAAGAGGAAAGGGUGAUGCAGUAAAGUAGCGUAAGUAUUUCCCUCAGUUUUUGAGAACCAAGGUAUCAAUCCAGUAGGAGACCACGCACGAGUCCCCCGCACCUACACAAACAAACAAGAACCUCGCAACCAAUGCGAUAAAGGGGUUGUCAAUCCCUCAACGGUCACUUACGAGAGUGAGAUCUAAUAGAUAUGAUAAAAGAUAAUAUUUUUGGUAUUUUUAUGAUAAAGAUGCAAAGUAAAAUAGAAGGCAAUAAAAAUAGCUAAGUGUUGGAAGAUUUAUAUGAUGGAAAAUAGACCCGGGGCCAUAGGUUUCACUAGUGGCUUCUCUCGAGAGCAUAAGUAUUACGGUGGGUGAACAAAUUACUGUUGAGCAAUUGACAGAAUUGAGCAUAGUUAUGAGAAUAUCUAGGUAUGAUCAUGUAUAUAGGCAUGACGUCCGAGACAAGUAGACCGACUCCUGCCUGUAUCUACUACUAUUACUCCACACAUCGACCGCUAUCCAGCAUGCAUCUAGAGUAUUAAGUUCAAAAGAACAGAGUAACGCUUUAAGUAAGAUGACAUGAUGUAAAGGGAUAAACUCAUGCAAUAUGAUAUAAACCCCAUCUUGUUAUCCUCGAUGGCAACAAUACAAUACGUGCCUUGCCGCCCCUACUGUCACUGGGAAAGGACACCGCAAGAUUGAACCCAAAGCUAAGCACUCUCCCAUUGCAAGAAAGAUCAAUCUAGUAGGCCAAACCAAACUGAUAAUUCAAAGAGACUUGCAAAGAUAACCAAUCAUACAUAAAAUAAUUCAGAGAAAAUUCAAAUAUUGUUCAUAGAUAAACUUGAUCAUAAACCCACAAUUCAUCGGUCUCAACAAACAAACCGCAAAAGAAGAUUACAUCGAAUAGAUCUCCACGAGAAUCAUGGAGAACUUUGUAUUGAGAUCCAAAGAGAGAGAAGAAGCCAUCUAGCUAAUAACUAUGGACCCGAAGGUCUGAGGUAAACUACUCACACAUCAUCGGAGAGGCUAUGGUGUUGAUGUAGAAGCCCUCCGUGAUCAAUGCCCCCUCCGGCAGGACGCCGGAAAAGGCCCCAAGAUGGGAUCUCACNNNNNNNNNNNNNNNNNNNNNNNNNNNNNNNNNNNNNNNNNNNNNNNNNNNNNNNNNNNNNNNNNNNNNNNNNNNNNNNNNNNNNNNNNNNNNNNNNNNNNNNNNNNNNNNNNNNNNNNNNNNNNNNNNNNNNNNNNNNNNNNNNNNNNNNNNNNNNNNNNNNNNNNNNNNNNNNNNNNNNNNNNNNNNNNNNNNNNNNNNNNNNNNNNNNNNNNNNNNNNNNNNNNNNNNNNNNNNNNNNNNNNNNNNNNNNNNNNNNNNNNNNNNNNNNNNAAGUCCUUUGGAUCACGUUCGUUCCGAAAAUCACGUUCCCGAAGGUUUCAUUCCGUUUGGACUCCGUUUGAUAUUCUUUUUCUGCGAAACUCUGAAAUAGGCAAAAAACAACAAUUUGGGCCGGGCCUCCGGUUAAUAGGUUAGUCCCAAAAAUGAUAUAAAAGUGUAUAAUAAAGCCUGUUAAACAUCCAAAACAGAAUAUAAUAUAGCAUGAAGCAAUCAAAAAUUAUAGAUACGUUGGAGACGUAUCAAGCAUCCCCAAGCUUAAUUCCUGCUCGUCCUCGAGUAGGUAAAUGAUAAAAACAGAAUUUUUGAUGCGGAAUGCUACUUGGCAUAAUUUUCAAUGUAAUUCUCUUAUUUGUGGUAUGAAUGUUCAGAUCCGAAAGAUUCAAGACAAAAGUUUAAUAUUGACAUAAAAAUAAUAAUUCUUCAAGCAUACUAACUAAGCAAUUAUGUCUUCUCAAAAUAACAUGGCCAAAGAAAGUUAUCCCUACAAAAUAAUAUAGUCUGGCUAUGCUCUAUCUUCACCACACAACGUAUUUAAAUCAUGCACAACCCCGAUGACAAGCCAAGCAAUUGUUUCAUACUUUUGGUGUUCUCAAACUUUUUCAAUCUUCACGCAAUACAUGAGCGUGAGCCAUGGACAUAGCACUAUAUGUGGAAUAGAAUGGUGGUUGUGGAGAAGACAAAAAGAGGGAGAAGAUAGUCUCACAUCAACUAGGCGUAUCAACGGGCUAUGGAGAUGCCCAUUAAUAGAUAUCAAUGUGAGUGAGUAGGGAUUGCCAUGCAAUGGAUGCACUAGAGCUAUAAGUAUAUGAAAGCUCAACAAAAGAAACUAUGUGGGUGUGCAUCCAACUCGCUUGCUCACGCAGACCUAGGGCAUUUUGAGGAAGCUCAUCAUUGGAAUAUACAAGCCAAGUUCUAUAAUGAAAAAUUCCCACUAGUAUAUGAAAGUGAUAUCAUAGGAGACUCUCUAUCAUGAAGAUCAUGGUGCUACUUUGAAGCACAAGUGUGGUAAAAGGAUAGUAACAUUGUCCCUUCUCUCUUUUUCUCUCAUUUUUUAGCUGGGCCUUUUCUCCUUUUUUAUGGCCUCUUUUUUUUAGUCCGAAGUCUCAUCCCGACUUAUGGGGGAAUCAUAGUCUCCAUCAUCCUUUCCUCACUUGGGACAAUGCUCUAAAAAUGAUGAUCAUUACACUUUUAUUUACUUACAACUCAACAAUUACAACUUAAUACUUAGAACAAAAUAUGACUCUAUGUGAAUGCCUCCGGCGGUGUACCGGGAUAUGCAAUGAAUCAAGAGUGACAUGUAUGAAAGAAUUAUGAAUGGUGGCUUUGCCACAAAUACGAUGUCAACUACAUGAUCAUGCGAGGCAAUAUGACAAUGAUGGAGCGUGUCAUAGUAAACGGAACGGUGGUAAGUUGCAUGGCAAUAUAUCUCGGAAUGGCUAUGGAAAUGCCAUGAUAGGUAGCUAUGGUGGCUGUUUUGAGGAAGGUAUAUGGUGGGUGUAUGAUACCGGUGAAAAGUGCGCGGUAUUAGAGAGGCUAGCAAUGGUGGAAGGAAGAAAAAUGUGUAUAAUCCAUGGACUCAACAUUAGUCAUAAAGAACUCAUAUACUUAUUGCAAAAAUCUACAAGUUAUCAAAGAAAAGUAUUACGCGCAUGCUCCUAGGGGGAUAGAUUGGUAGGAAAAUACCAUCGCUCGUCCCCGACCGCCACUCAUAAGGAAGAAAAUCAAUAAAUAAAUCAUUCUCCGACUUCAUCACAUAACGGUUCACCAUACGUGCAUGCAACGGGAAUCACAAACUUUAACACAAUUAUUUCUCAAAUCCACACCUACUCAACUAGCAUGACUCUAAUAUCACUAUCUUCAUAUCUCAAAACAAUUAUCAAGCAUCAAACUUCUCAUAGUAUUCAACACACUCAUAAGAAACUUUUUGUUAAUCUCGAAUGCCUAUCAUAAUUAAAGCAAAUUACCACGCUGUUUUGUAGGACUCUCAAAAUAAUAUAAGUGAAGCAUGAGAGAACAAUAGUUUCUAUAAAACAAAUCCACCACCGUGCUCUAAAAGAUAUAAGUGAAGCACUAGAGCAAAAACUAUAUAGCUCAAAAGAUAUAAGUGAAGCACAUAGAGUAUUCUAACAAAUUCCGAAUCAUGUGUGUCUCUCUCAAAAGGUGUGUGCAGAAAGGAUGAUUGUGGCAAACUAACAAAUAAAGACUCAAAUAAUACGAGACGCUCCAAGCAAAACACAUAUCACGUGGUGAAUAAAAAUAUAGCUCCAAGUAAAGUUACCGAUGGAAGUAGACGAAAGAGGGGAUGCCUUCCGGGGCAUCCCCAUGCUUUGGCUUUUUGGUAUCCUUAGAUUAUCUUGGGGUGCCAUGGGCAUCCCCAAGCUUAGGCUCUUUCCACUCCUUGUUCCAUAAUCCAUCAAAUCUUCCACCCAAAACUUGAAAACUUCACAACACAACACUUAACAAAAAAUCUCGUGAGCUCCGUUAGCGAAAGAAAACAAAACACCACUUCAAGGUACUGUAAUGAACUCAUUAUUUAUUUAUAUUGGUGUUAAACCUACUGUAUUCCAACUUCUCUAUGGUUUAUAAACUAUUUUAUUAGCCAUAGAUUCAUCAAAAUAAGCAAAGAACACACGAAAAACAGAAUCUGUCAAAAACAGAACAGUCUGUAGUAAUCUGUAACUAACGCAAACUUCUGGAACUCAAAAAGUUCAGCCAAAAUAGGACAACCUAUACCAUUUGUUUAUUGAUCAGAAGCACUUGGAAUCAAUAUUUUAUCUCGUUCCGGUGAUUUUUAACAAUUGUUUUCGUGAACAGAAAGUUUCUGGAAUUUUCAGCAAGAUCAAAUAACUAUCAUCCAAGAAGAUCCUAUAGGUUUAACUUGGCACAAACACUAAUUAAAACAUAAAAACAAAUCUAACCAUAGGUUAGAUCAAAGAUUUAUUCCUAAACAGAAGAAAAAAGUAAAAAACUAAAAAUAAAAUUGGGUUGCCUCCCAACAAGCGCUAUCGUUUAACGCCCCUAGCUAGGCAUAAAAGCAAGGAUAGAUCUAGGUAUUGCCAUCUAUGGUAGGAAAUUCUUCAAUAAGACACCUAUCACCCUUAGGAGUUUCUUUCUUUCUAUUAAUUAUCAAACUUCUAGGCACAAAAUCGAAAAAAGCAUUUGCAGCAAAUGGUUCCUUAAUGAUAGCAAGGAGAUUGGGAUGAACACUUAUUGAUUUGAGAUCCGCAGUUUCCUUAUUAGAGGAUUCACCCUUAUUUUUAGGAACAUACAUAAGCUUAGCAAUUUUAGUAGGAGGACUUGGGGUAUUCUUUACGGAAGAAAAGGCGGUUCCCAAGUUGGUAAUGAUACCCUCAAGUUUUUCUUCAUAAGAUUGCAUCAAAGCAUCAACGAUAUGUUUAGUAAAAGCUUUAUUUUGACUAUAAGCAUGUGGAGAAUUUAUCACGGAUUGCAACAAGGAAAUACAAUCUAUCAAAGAGCAAUUAUCAUAAUUAAAUUCCUCGAAAUCCAAAAUAGUGGGUUCAUUAAUAUCUAGAGUUUUGAUCUCUUCAAUCCCACUUUUACCAAUUUUUGCAUCAAGAUCUAUCAACUCCGAAUUUUUGGAACGCCUUCUAGGUAAAGGUGGAUCAUAUUCAGUCCCAUCAUUAUCAAGAUUAAUAUUGAAAAACAAAGAUUUAAUAGGGGACACAUCAAUAACUUUUAGAUCUUCAUCUUUAUUUUCAUAGAAACUAGAAGAACACGCUUUCACAAAGCAAUCUUUCUUAGCACGCAUCCUAGCGGUUCUUUCUUUGCACUCAUCAAUGGAAAUUCUCAUGGAUUUGAGAGACUCAUUGAUAUCAUGCUUAGGAGGAAUAGAUCUAAGUUUCAAGGAAUCAACAUCAAGAGAAAUUCUAUCAACGUUUCUAGCCAAUUCAUCAACUUUAAGCAAUUUUUCUUCAAGCAAAGCAUUGAAAUUCUUUUGCGAAUUCAUAAAUUCUUUAACACUAGUCUCAAAUUAAGAGGGCAUCUUAUUUAAAUUUCCAUAAGAAUUGUUGUAGGAAUUACCAUAAUUAUUAGAGGAAUUACUAUGGUACGGCCUAGGAUUAAAGUUUCCUCUAUACGCGUUGAUACCAAAAUUAUUCCUACCAACAAAAUUCACAUCCAUAGAUUCAUUAUUAUUCUCAAUCAAAGUAGACAAAGGCAUAUCAUUAGGAUCAGAAAGAAACACUUUUAUUAGCAAAUAAUUUCAUAAGUUCAUCCAUCUUUCCACUCAAAACAUUAAUUUCUUCUAUCGCAUGCACUUUCUUAUUAGUAGAUCUUUCAGUGUGCCAUUGAGAAUAAUUAACCAUAAUAUUAUCUAGGAGUUUAGUAGCUUCUCCUAAAGUGAUUUCCAUAAAAGUGCCUCCCGCGGCCGAAUCUAAAAGAUUUCUAGAAGCAAAAUUCAAUCCGGCAUAAUUUUUUUGUAUAAUCAUCCACAGAUUCAAACCAUCGGUAGGGCAAUUACGCAUCAUUAAUGAUUUUAGCCGGAGGAAAAUACUUAGAAUUCAUACAAAACUUAGAGAUAAAAUUCAUAAUAUCGUUUCUAAGAGAGAUGAUUUUAGCCGGAGGAAAAUACUUACAGAUAAAAGCAUCUUUGCACUUAUUCCAAGAAUCAAUACUAUUUUUAGGCAAAGACGAAAACCAAGAUUUAGCACGAUCUCUAAGCGAAAAAGGAAAUAGCUUCAAUUUAACAAUAUCAUUGUCCACAUCUUUCUUCUUUUGCACAUCACACAAAUCAACGAAGCUAUUUAGAUGGGUAGCGGCAUCUUCACUAGGAAGGCCAGCGAAUUGAUCUUUCAUGACAAGAUUCAACAAAGCAGCAUUGAUUCCACAAGACUCAGUAUCGGUAAGAGGAGCAAUCGGAGUGCUAAGAAAAUCAUUGUUGUUGGUAUUGGUAAAGUCACACAAUUUAGUAUUAUCUUGAGCCAUCGUGACAAGCAAGCAAUCCAACAAACGAGCAAACAAGAAGCAAGCGAAAAAGAGGCGAAUGGAAAAGAGAGGGCGAAUAAAACAGCAAGGGUAAAGUGGGGGAGAGGAAAACGAGAGGCAAAUGGCAAAUAAUGUAAUGCGAGGGAGAUGAGUUUGUGAUGGGUACUUGGUAUGUCUUGACUUGACUUGACUUGGCGUAGAUCUCCCCGGCAACGGCGCCAGAAAUCCUUCUUGCUACCUCUUGAGCACUGCGUUGGUUUUGCCUUGAAGAGGAAAGGGUGAUGCAGUAAAGUAGCAUAAGUAUUUCCCUCAGUUUUUGAGAAUCAAGGUAUCAAUCCAGUAAGCGACCACUGUCACGCCCAAGAUGCGACCCUAUCCUAAAGUAACUUGAAGGUCCCACCAAGGAUAGAAGUGCAUCUUGAAGACGCUUUUGCAAGGUGGAUAUCAUUACAUCGACAUUACAUAAUAGAUGGGGAUACAUACAAGGCAAACAAAUGUCGCAAGAAUACAUCAAUAGAUCAUGAUCAACAUCCGACUACGGAUGAAACACAAACAGAAACUCAAACGACAUCCACCCUGCUAGCCCAGGCUGCCGACCAGGAACCUAACCCAAGAUCGGCGAAGAAGAAGAAGAACUCCAACACAAGCAAUCGAGCAUCGCUCUCACGUCAUGAGCAUCACACAACCUGUACCUGCAACUGUUGGUGUAGUAAUCUGUGAGCCACGAGGACUCAGCAAUCCCAUUACCAUGGGUACCAAGACUAGCAAAGCUUAAUGGGUAAGGAAGGGGUAAAGUGGUGAGGUUGCAGCACCGGCUAAGCAAAGUAUGGUGGCUAACUUACAAAACAAGAGCGAGAAGAGGAGCUAAGCAAACGGUCGCCAACUAGUAAUGAUCAAGAAGUGAUCCUGAACUCCUACUUACGUCAAACAUAACACAAACCGUGUGCUCCUCCCGAACUUCCUCGAAAAGAGACAAUCACGGGUACCCACGCGGUUAGUGUAUUUUAGAAGAGUUUACUUCAAGUUUACUACAACCGGAUAUUAACAAAUUCCCAUCUGCCACAUAACCGCGGGCACGGCUCUCGAAAGUUUAUACCCUGCAGGGGUGUCCCAACUUAGCCCAUCACAAGCUCUCACGAUCAACGAAGGAUAUUCCUUCUCCCGGGAAGACCCGAUCAGACUCGGAAUCCCGGUUACAAGACAUUUCGACAAUGGUAAAACAAGACCAGCAAGACCGCCCGAACGUGCCGACAAAUCCCGAUAGGAGCUGCACAUAUCUCGUUCUCAGGGCACAUCCGGAUGAGACAUCCUACGAGUGAAACCAGCCCUCAAGUUUCCCCAAGGUGGCCCCGCAGUCUACUCAGCUCGGACCAGCACUUAGAGGAGCACUGGCCCGAGGGGGGGGGGCUAAAAUAAAGAUGACCCUCAGGCUCCGGAAACCCAAGGGAAAAAUUCUUAGGUGAGGCAAAUGGUAAAACCAAUGUUGGGCCUUGCUGGAGGAGUUUAUUCAAGGCGAACUGUCAAGGGGUUCCCAUAACACCCAACCGCGUUAGGGACGAAAAAUCCGGGAACAUAAUACCGAUAUGACGGAAACUAGGGCGGCAAGAGUGGAACAAAACACCAGGCAUAAGGCCGAGCCUUCCACCUUUUACCAAGUAUAUUGAUGCAUUAAUAAUAUAAGAGAUAUUGUGACAUCCCAACAUAAACAUAUUACCACAUGGAGCAAUCUUCAUCUUCACCUGCAACUAGCAACGCUAUAAGAGAGGCUGAGCAAAUGCGGUAACAUAGCCAAACAACGGUUUGCUAGGAAGGGUGACAAAGGUUAGAGAUUCAAGGCAAUUUGGGAGGCUUGAUAAGCAAGUGGUAGGUAACGCGGCAUAACGCUAGCAUCGAGGCACCUAGCAUAGCAAUGAUAGUAAUGAGAUCCAAGGUGACGGUAAUCUUGCCUGAAAUCCCGCUAGGAAGAAGAACGGCUCCAUGAAGAAGAUGAAGCCACGAAGACGAACCAAGCGUAGACGAACAAAUCCUCACGAUCGCAACAAAACGGGAACUAUCGAGAAGAAGCACACAACAUGGUAAACACACCACACAUGAACAAGGCAUGAUGCUCAAUCAAGUAUGAUGCAUGGCAAGGCUACAUGAGGCUACGCAUGGCAAGAGAUGAUGCAUACAAGAGCAACACAUCAAAGCAAGUUUAAAUGAGGCCGGAAACAACAUAUAACAAUUCCGGUAAGUCCUAUGCAAAUUUUGAAAUUGGUCCAGAUCUGAAUAAACCUUAUGUUCAAGUUGUUAAACAGCAGUCUACUCGGUUCGGACCAGCACUGGCCCCGGUGGGGGGGGGGCUAAAAUAAAGAUGACCCUCGGGCUCCGGAAACCCAAGGGAAAAAGGCUUAGGUGAGGCAAAUGGUAAAACCAAUGUUGGGCCUUGCUGGAGGAGUUUUAUUCAAGGCGAACUGUCAAGGGGUUCCCAUAAAACCCAACCGCGUUAGGGACGCAAAAUCCGGGAACAUAAUACCGAUAUGACGGAAACUAGGGCGGCAAGAGUGGAACAAAACACCAGGCAUAAGGCCGAGCCUUCCAACUUUUGCCAAGUAUAUAGAUGCAUUAAUAAUAUAAGAGAUAUUGUGAUAUCCCAACAUAAACAUAUUACCACAUGGAGCAAUCUUCAUCUUCACCUGCAACUAGCAACGCUAUAAGAGAGGCUGAGCAAAUGCGGUAACAUAACAACGGUUUGCUAGGAAGGGUGACAAAGGUUAGAGGUUCAUGGCAAUUUGGGAGGCUUGAUAAGCAAGUGGUAGGUAAAGCGGCAUAGCGAUAGCAUCGAGGCAACUAGCAUAGCAAUGAUAGUAAUGAGAUCCAAGGUGACGGUAAUAUUGCCUUAAAUCCCGCUAGGAAGAAGAACGGGUCCAUGAAGAAGAUGAAGCCACGACGACGAAUAAACGGAAGACACCUGGCGCAUCCCAUUCCGAGAACAUUCAAAUGCCACUCACGAAACGAGGUCUGAGAGGGGCAACGGGUGCGUGUGGGAGUGUCGGAACGCGAAACGGACAACGGGGAAAAAGACUGGAUGCAAGCUUUGAAAACAUGAGGAUGCAAUGCAGAUGAUGACAUGACAAAAUGCAACACGCAAGCAAAUGACAUGGAAACGACGAUGAAUAAACGGAAGACACCUGGCGCAUCGGAUUCGGGGCGUUACAACCACGCAUGAGUCCCUCGCACCUACACAAACAAACAAGAACCUCGCAACCAACGUGAUAAAGGGGUUGUCAAUCCCUCAACGGUCACUUACGAGAGUGAGAUCUGAUAGAUAUGAUAAGAUAAUAUUUUUGGUAUUUUUAUGAUAAUGAUGCAAAGUAAAAUAAAAGGCAAUAAAAAUAGCGAAGUGUUGGAAGAUUUAUAUGAUGGAAAAUAGACCCGGGGGCCAUAGGUUUCACUAGUGGCUUCUCUCGAGAGCAUAAGUAUUAUGGUGGGUGAACAAAUUACUGUUGAGCAAUUGACAGAAUUGAGCAUAGUUAUGAGAAUAUCUAGGUAUGAUCAUGUAUAUAGGCAUCACGUCCGAGACAAGUAGACCGACUCCUGCCUGCAUCUACUACUAUUACUCCACACAUCGACCGCUAUCCAGCAUGCAUCUACAGUAUUAAGUUCAAAAGAACAGAGUAACGCUUUAAGUAAGAUGACAUGAUGUAGAGGGAUAAACUCAUGCAAUGUGAUAUAAACCCCAUCUUGUUAUCCUUGAUGGCAACAAUACAAUACGUGCCUUGCUGCCCCUACUGUCACUUGGAAAGGACACCGCAAGAUUGAACCCAAAGCUAAGCACUUCUCCCAUUGCAAGAAAGAUCAAUCUAGUAGGCCAAACCAAACUGAUAAUUCGAAGAGACUUGCAAAGAUAACCAAUCAUACAUAAAAGAAUUCAGAGAAGAUUCAAAUAUUGUUCAUAGAUAAACUUGAUCAUAAACCCACAAUUCAUCGGUCUCAACAAACAGACCGCAAAAGAGGAUUACAUCGAAUAGAUCUCCACGAGAAUCGCGGAGAACAUUGUAUUGAGAUCCAAAGAGAGAGAAGAAGCCAUCUAGCUAAUAACUAUGGACUCGAAGGUCUGAGGUAAACUACUCACACAUCAUCGGAGAGGCUAUGGUGUUGAUGUAGAAUCCCUCCGUGAUCAAUGCCCCCUCCGGCAGGACGCCGGAAAAGGCCCCAAGAUGGGAUCUCACGGGUACAGAAGGUUCCGGCGGUGGAAUUAGGUUUUCGUGGAUGCUUCUGUUGGUUUGGGGGUACGUGGGAUAUAUAGGAGUAAGAAGUACGUCGGUGGAGCAACAUGGCCCCCACGAGGGUNNNNNNNNNNNNNNNNNNNNNNNNNNNNNNNNNNNNNNNNNNNNNNNNNNNNNNNNNNNNNNNNNNNNNNNNNNNNNNNNNNNNNNNNNNNNNNNNNNNNNNNNNNNNNNNNNNNNNNNNNNNNNNNNNNNNNNNNNNNNNNNNNNNNNNNNNNNNNNNNNNNNNNNNNNNNNNNNNNNNNNNNNNNNNNNNNNNNNNNNCCCCUACCUCGUGCCCUCCUCGUAGCUUUCUUGACAUAGGGUCCAAGUCCUCUGGAUCACGUUCGUUCCGAAAAUCACGUUCCCGAAGGUUUCAUUCCGUUUGGACUCCGUUUGAUAUUCUUUUUCUGCGAAACUCUGAAAUAGGCAAAAAACAUCAAUUUGGGCUGGGCCUCCGGUUAAUAGGUUAGUUCCAAAAAUGAUAUAAAAGUGUAUAAUAAAGCCAGUUAAACAUCCAAAAUAGAAUAUAAUAUAGCAUGAAGCAAUAAAAAAUUAUAGAUACGUUGGAGACGUAUCAUCCCCAUGCCCCCCGCGCACUCUUUCGGGGGCGCCGGCUGCCCCUGUCCCGCUGCUCACCGUCGCGCUGAAGGAAAUAUGCCCUAGAGGCAAUAAUAAAUUUAUUUUUUAUUUCCUUAUUUCAUGAUAAAUGUUUAUUAUUCAUGCUAGAAUUGUAUUAACCGGAAACUUAGUACAUGUGUGAAUACAUAGACAAACAGAGUGUCACUAGUAUGCCUCUACUUAACUAGCUCGUUGAAUCAAAGAUGGUUAAGUUUCCUAGCCAUAGACAUGAGUUGUCAUUUGAUUAACGGGAUCACAUCAUUAGAGAAUGAUGUGAUUGAAUUGACCCAUUCCGUAAGCUUAGCACUUGAUCAUUUAGUAUGUUGCUAUUGCUUUCUUCAUGACUUAUACAUGUUCCUAUGACUAUGAGAUUAUGCAACUCCCAAGUAACGGAGGAACACUUAGUGUGCUACCAAACAUCACAACGUAACUGGGUGAUUAUAAAGAUGCUCUACACGUGUCUCCGAUGGUACUUGUUGAGUUGGCAUAGAUCGAGAUUAGGAUUUGUCACUCCAAUUAUCGGAGAGGUAUCUCUGGGCCCUCUCGGUAAUGCACAUCACUAUAAGCCUUGCAAGCAAUGUGACUGAUGAGUUAGUUGCGGAAUGAUGCAUUACAGAACGAGUAAAGAGACUUGCCGGUAAUGAGAUUGAACUAGGUAUUGAGAUACCGACGAUCGAAUCUCGGGCAAGUAACAUACCGAUGACAAAGGGAACAACGUAUGUUGUUAUGCGGUUUGACCGAUAAAGAUCUUAGUUGAAUAUGUAGGAACAAAUAUGAGCAUCCAGGUUCCGCUAUUGGUUAUUGACCGGAGAUGAGUCUCGGUCAUGUCUACAUAGUUCUCGAACCCGUAGGGUCUGCACGCUUAACGUUCUGUGAUUAUCGGUAUUAUGAGUUUAUGUGUUUUGAUGUACCGAAGGUUGUUCGGAGUCCCGGAUGUGAUCAAGGACAUGACGAGGAGUCUCGAAAUGGUCGAGACAUAAAGAUCGAUAUAUUGGAUGGCUAUGUUUGGACAUCGGAAUGGUUCCGGUGAGUUCGGGCAUUUACCGGAGUACCGGGCGGUAACCAGAACCCCCCGGGGAGUGUAUGGGCCUUAUUGGGCCUUAGUGGGAGAGAGGAGGAGGCGGCCUAGGAGGGGGCGCACCCCCCAAGCCCAAUCUGAAUUGGGAGGGGGGCCGGCCCCCCUUUCCUUCCUCCCUCUCUCCUCCUUCCUUCCUCUCCUACUCCUACUUGGAAGGGGGGAAUCCUACUCCCGGUGGGAGUAGGACUCCCCUAGGGCGCGCCAUAGAGAGGGCCGGCCCUCCCCCUCCACUCCUUUAUAUACGGGGGAGGGGGGCACCCCAUAGGCACACAAGUUGAUCAUUGUCUUAGCCGUCUGCGGUGCCCCCCUCCACCAUAAUCCACCUCGGUCAUAUCAUCGUAGUGCUUAGGCGAAGCCCUGCACCUGUAGCUUCAUCAUCACCGUCAUCACGUUGUCGUGCUGAUGAAGCUCUCCCUCGACACUCAGCUGGAUCGAGAGUUCGUGGGACGUCACUGAGAUGAACGUGUGCAGAUCGUGGAGGUGUCGUACUUUCGGUACUAGGAUCGGUCGGAUCGUGAAGACGUACGAUUACAUCAACUGCUUUGUCACAACGCUUCCGCUUACGGUCUACGAGGGUACGUGGACUACACUCUCCCCUCUCGUUGCUAUGCAUCACCAUGAUAGAUCUUGUGUGUGCGUAGGAUUUUUUUGAAAUUACUGCGUUCCCCAACACGCGCCUCCCCUGCCCGUGCCUCGCCACCGCUCUGCUGCUACGCUACUACUGCGUUGUGGCUGCCGCCGCUUCCCGCUGCUCCGCCAGCGCCGUAGUUCCCGGUUGGCUCCGCCNNNNNNNNNNNNNNNNNNNNNNNNNNNNNNNNNNNNNNNNNNNNNNNNNNNNNNNNNNNNNNNNNNNNNNNNNNNNNNNNNNNNNNNNNNNNNNNNNNNNNNNNNNNNNNNNNNNNNNNNNNNNNNNNNNNNNNNNNNNNNNNNNNNNNNNNNNNNNNNNNNNNNNNNNNNNNNNNNNNNNNNNNNNNNNNNNNNNNNNNNNNNNNNNNNNNNNNNNNNNNNNNNNNNNNNNNNNNNNNNNNNNNNNNNNNNNNNNNNNNNNNNNNNNNNNNNNNNNNNNNNNNNNUAACCAUUUAAUAAAUUAAAACUCUUAAAUUAACAUUAGUGUAUGACAUGUGGGUCCCCUAUUAAUUAAACUGAUUUAAUUAAUUUCUAUUAACUUUGAGUCUAUGACAUAUUGGCCCCACUGAACAUUUGACUAGUCAACGGUCCAGUCAAAUGCUGACCGGACAGUUGACCAGAGGGCCCCACCAGUCAGCCUCUGUGCUGUUCUGCUGGGUACCUUUCUGAGUACACCUAGCAUUUCGCAUUUACAAUAUAUGUUUUAAAAUAAAUUAGAAUAAUUUAAAAAAAUGAUUAAAACUUUUAAAAUUAAAAUAAAAUAAUCCGUAACUCGGAUGAAAUUACUUUAUACAUGGAAGUUGCUCAAAAAACGAGACGAAUACGAAUACACAGUCCGUUCGUCUGGCACACGUCCCUAGCAUAGCGAAAAUGCAACCACCCCCCUCCGGUUCGACUGUCCGAAAAUGUCAAACACCGGGAAUAAGUUUCCGGAUGUUUCUCCCUUCACCAGUAGCACCUAGUACCAUGUGAGGGCAUACCUAGCACCACUUAUUGUCAUGUCAUGCAUCGUCAAGCAUCUGUUUGCAUUGUAUUCAUUGUUUCUUCCUCCUCUUCUCUCCGGUAGACUACGAGACCGACGCCGCUGCUGCCCCGGUCGACUAUGGUGUUGACGACCCCUCCUUGUCAGCAGAGCUUCCAGGCAAGCAAACCCCCUUGAUCAUCCCAAUAUUGCCUACUCUUUCCCUCUACUGCUUGCAUUAGAGUAUUGUUACUGUUUGUCAGUUUGAUCCUAUACUGCUGCAUGGCCUGUCUUUGAUACUACUUUUGAUACCUUUACCUGCAAUCCUAAAUGCUUAGUGUAGGAUGCUAGUACUUCAUCAAUGGACCUACAUUCUUGUCCGUCUGCCAUGCUAUACUGUCGGGCCGUGAUCACUUCGGGAGGUGAUCAAGAGUAUAUACUAUAUACAUAUUAUACUUGACACAUGAUGUGACUAAAAUCGGGUCGGCACGUAGAGUACCCACGAGUGAUUCAUGACCUAGGGGCUGAAGGGGCAUGUGGUUCCAUCCAGGUUGUGAUGGGCCUGGGUUCCCGACGCCCCCCCCACCCCGAGUGAUUCUUUGUGGCGGAGCGACAGGGCAGGUUGUGACCACCUAGGAGAUAGGUGGGCCUGGUCCUGGUCGGCGUCCGUGGUUACUUCAAAAUAAUACGCUUAACGAGGUUGGGUAUUUGAUCUGAGUUGGUCGUUGGCCUUAUUCGCACUAACCGCCACGUGGGACAAGAUAUGGGCAACCAGUGUCGUAGUAUCAGCCAAAGCUCUUCAGACGUCAGUGACUGAGUGGUGCGCGCCGGGUUGGACCGCGUAAUGCAUCCUCCUUUGUAAUGGAGGUUCCUAGCUCUGCUCACCGACGAUGUUCGCAACAUGCAGGAGUGCAACGGGCGAUGGGCCCAAGACCCCUGCGCGCUUAGGAUUUAGAUCGGCGUACUGACCUCUCUGUUGGGCCUAGGUAGGGUUGCGACGUGUUGAUCUUCCGAGGCCGUACGUGACCCAGGAAAGUGUGCCCAGCCAGAGCGAUCGAGCAUUUUCGGGUAAUGUGGUGCACCCCUGGAGGGAAGAUUGAUCUAUUCGGAUAGCCGUGUCCACGGUAACAGGAAGACUUGGAGUUGCAUUUCGACCUCAUGACAACUAGAGCCGGAUACUUAAUAAAACUCACCCAGAUAUGUUCCAGAUACAACCCGGUGAUCGCUCUCUCACAGGGUGACGAGGAGAGGAUCGUCGGGUAGGUUUAUGCUAUACGAUGUUACUUGGUUAACUUACUAGCUACUCUCUUCUAUAUGCUUCAAGAUGGAGGCUGCAGAAGCGUAGUGUUUGAUAGGACUAGCUUCUCCCCCUCUUAUUCUGAAAUUCUGCAGCUCAGUCCACAUAUACUACCCAUUUCAUUGAUACCGAUGCAUAUGUAGUGUAGAUCCUUGCUUGCGAGUAUUUUGGAUGCGUACUCACGGUUGCUUUGCUCCCACUUUUCCCCAUUUUCCAUUCUUCUCGGACGUCACAACCAGAUGCUAGUGCCUCAGAGCCAUACGCCACCUUCGACGACUCCUACUACACCGAGGGUGCCUACUACUACGUGCAGGCCACUGACGACCAGGAGUAGUUUAGGAGGAUCCCAGGCAGGAGGCGUGCGCCUCUUCGAUCUUUAUCCAUGUUUGUGCUAGCCAUCUUAUGGCAACUUGGUUAACUUAUGUCUGUACUUAGAUAUUUUUGCUUUGGCUGACUUGUCUGUGACAAGCUUAUGUAUUCGAGCACUCGAGGCCCCUGGCUUGUAAUAUAAAGCUUGUAUUAUUUUAUUCAUGUCUAGAGUUGUGUUGUGAUAUCUUCCCGUGACUCCUUGAUCUUGAUCGUACACAUUUGCGUGUAUGAUUAGUGCAUGAUUGAAUCGAGGGUGCCACAGCUUUGGAGAUACCCCUUACUUGGCCCCUCGCUCCGAAAACACGUUUGACGAUAGUUUUCUCUCGGAUCAAAUAUAUGUCAAGUUUAACAAAGUUUAUAUGAAUUAUUUUAUCAUAUCUAUAGUACCAUACAAAUAUACCAUAGAAAAAAAACAUAUUUCAUGCUGCACCAUGAAUUGGUCCGGUAAAUGUCGGGUAUGGAGACUCUAUUCUCUUUUGGCAUAAGUUGCCUCGGUCUCAAAAGUUUCAUGAACCGUUCUCUUUUGCCAUUAAGAAAAAGCUCUAUUUGGCUGAUUUUAUUCAUAGUGACCAUCUGGCUCUCCAUUUUCAUAGGCAUACCACCCUGCAAGCUCUUGCUCAAUUCAUUGACAUCAUUGACUUAGUUCAUAAAAAAAUCAACAAAUGGAAUAAAAUAAUAUCACGAAGAUACCAAUUACACCCGUCCUCUCUAUCAACAAGAUAUCCAAAGACAUCAAGGGUACACACAGCCAGAAAAAGGAUUAGAAGAAAAAAGACCCCCCCCCCUCCCUGAGGUGAUAAAUCACUAGCAUUAGUAGCACUCUCACCACACCGAAGACAACGCCCGGAUUACAAAAAAAGUUCUCCAAAAUCAACCCCCCAAGAAGGAAGCAAUGCACAAGUGUUGUCAUUGUCCGAUCGAAGAUCGUGGGUUUUCACCCUAGAAAAAUUCCAAGCUCAGCCAAAAGCAUUGCCUUGAAGGCCAUUUCCAGGUACAACCAAUAAAGGCUAGACCUUGGAUUUUCACCCUAGGAAUUCAGACUCAGUACUCGAGAGGUACCACCAAAAAUGUAGUCCUCCAGUGAUGGUGCCCCGCACUUCCCCAGCCCGCUGUUUCAAGUCACCAAACACCCCGCGCACAUUCUUCAUCGCAUUAAUUACAUCAUUCCACCAAAGCUUCAAGACCUCCAAUCACAGCCGCCAUGACUUCAUCCACCUCUAUCAAUGCCUUGAGAAUCCUGACUUAGACAUGUCCCAUGACACCAAUAAGAAAUCAAAGCUUCUUGCCAUGCCCUCUUGAGGUCGUGUUGGCUGAUAAUAUGAGCGUGCGCGACCGAAGCCUUUCCAAUCUAGAUAUCCAGGGGCGACAUACACCAAUUCAUAUAGAUAUCCGAUGGGAAAGACCGAAACUCGUCAGCGGCUAGAUCUAAGAGGUCGACGUAUGGCAGAAAGACGACUUGGCGGAAGAAUAGUACUAGGGCCAAACCACCAUUAUUAGGCCGAAGCUAACAUCCCCACACGCCGUCCUCCCCUCAAUCUAGACCUACAGACAAAGAUCAGCGACGCCGCAUCGUGCCACCCACAUGCGUGGAGGCCCGAACAUGGCAAGACGCCAACCAUGGCAGGAGACUAGGACCAGCCACUCCUGGGCUGAUCCGGCGACUCCCAGGCCCACCCCUGCCACUAUGGUGGCACCACCCCUGCCUACAAGCCCAUCCACGAUGAUGCCUGAUUAGAAGGAUACAUGGAUAUACAGAUGGAAAGGCCCUUUUUUUGCGAAUGAAUUCUUUCAUUACUCAGGUAUCAAAGAAUACAAUUCGUCCCACAAGUGCCAAAACAUCUUCCGGACCAGAUCCUAGCCAAACCAAAGUUCAGCGUUGCAACCUACCAAAAUUUGCCAAGGCAUGACUAACCCUAUUACAGCUCCGGCGAAUAUGAGUAAUGCAAGAAUUCCUUUCUCCCAAACUACUAAUGAUCUCUCUGAUGAUGAAAGCAUAUUUAGAUUUGUUGCUAUUCCCUCUCUUAAUCAUAUUGACAGCCUCUAAACAAUCAGACUCCACGUCUAUUGGUAAGAUGCUCCACUGAAGGGCCAAAGAAAUUCCCUCCCUUAUUGCAAGUAACUCUGCCUCCAGUACAUCAUCACAUGCAUAGAGAAAUCUGCAAGCAGUGAAAACAAUUUCUCCUUCCUGAUUCCUUAGGAUCAUUCCGGCUCCCGCAGUAGAGCCCAGGACCGAAGCAUCCGUGUUGAGUUUGACUCUGCCCACCGCUGGAGCGGACCAAGAGCCCUGCACUUCAUCAACUUUGUAUAUGUCCUGAUCGGGAAUCUGAAAACAUGCAGCUGGCAUUUUUCCUUUCACUAAAGCAUCACUUCAGCAUAUGUGAAUGGAGUUUAAGGAUGACAGAUAGCUGGACAGGAAGCACACCGAAACAUCCACGGGCGGUGGUUGUUUUGCAUGCACAAUUUCGUUACGCACAUACCAGAUUUGCCAGAAUAGCAUCAUGAUCCUAGCUCUCUCCUCUUCAUGCAUUUUCGAUAGGAGAUGAAGGAACCCAUCACGACCAACAUGUACAAUGCUUAGUCGGUCCGGCAAUGUCCAUUCCUUCACCAUGGCCUUCCAUAGGAUCGCAGCAUGAUUACAAGUGCAAAAAACAUGGAACGAGUCCUCCUCCUCCGUACCACACACAGGGCAUGUACCUGAGACUUCCAAGUUCCUUUUCACUUUAUUUGUCCAAUUUGCUAGCGAAUCUGUAGCUAAUCUCCAAGCAAAAGACUGAACCUUUGGUGGUACAGUACUUUGCCAUAUAAAGUUCCAUGCUUCUCUUGUUCCAUCCGGCCGGGAACUUGUAGAAACCUCACUAGGAUUUGAGCAUUCAUCACUAGCCAGUUUGUACGCACUACGUACCAUAAAACCUCCACCUUUUUCAGGCGCCCAAGGAACAAAGUCUUCAUCAAGCCGAGCAGAUGGUUUUAUUUUCUAGAUUUCAACAAUGCCGCCCGGGAGAAAAAACUGAUUUAUCUUGUCAAAGUCCCAAUUACCAUGGAUAUUCAGUAGCUCCGAGACCCACCUCAGGCGGCACCUACCACGCUGUGUAAUCAAGCCUCCAGUUGGCUCGCGUGCUAUCCAUCGGUCUCUCCAUAUACGUACAUUUUGACCAUUUCCGAUUCUCCAGACCACGUCUUUUUUUCAGAACUUCGAGACCAUAGGCAAUGGCCUGCCAUGUAGGUGAUGGGUUACUAGUGAACACCGUAUCCAGUAAGCGCCAAUUUGGUAAAUACUUCACUUUUAAAAGCCUUGAGCAUAAACUGUUAGGGAACUCUAGUAUUCGCCACGCCUGACGAGCAAGGAGCGCUUGGUUAAAUAGACAAAAGUCUUUAAAACCAAGGCCGCCUUGCUUCCUUGGCCUAGUCAUUUUCUCCCAUGCAUACCAAUGUGUUUUCCUCUUCCCUUUCUCUGCACCCCAAAAAUAGUUCCUAACCAUGCGGUUUAGAUCAUCACAUACCUCCAGCGGGAGCUUGAACACACUCAUAAUAUAUGUAGGGAUACAUUGACCAACAACACGGAUUAACACUUCCUUUUCCGCUUGAGUAGGGUUCUAAGACUGACAGUAGAAUGGGGGUUAGGUAUGAAGAGGCAAGAUCCCAGCUGUGGUGAAGUUGUACACACGAGAUUUACGAGUUCAGGCCCUUCACGGUGGAAGUAAUAGCCCUACGUCUCGGUGUCCGGAGGCGGUCGACUGGAUUAUAUGUGUGUGGAGUUACAGGGGGUGCGAACCCUUAUCCCUGAGGAGGGGGGUGGCUUAUAUAGAGUUCGCCAGACCCCUCCCGCCCUCAGUUACACAGGGUUUAAGGUACAUAAAGAUGGGGCGUUUCUGGUAACGCCAGUAAUAAAGUGACAUAAAUGUCCAUUAAGUCUACAGACUAAACGUCCGACCUUUGCUAUUCAGAGUGACUUUAGGUCUCCUGCCUGUCGAGGCAUUCCUGUUACGAUCGAGUGAGCUUGAAUCUUCCGAGUGGAAUGCCUCUAGUCGAGUGGAUGAUGAUAUCCCUUGAAUGCUUCUGACUUUAGGGUAAUGACCUAGGGGAGGGUGUCCAGGUCAGGUCUAUGACCCUACCCUAGGUACAUGUCUUCAUCAUUAGCCCCCGAAUGGUUCAGGGUUUGAGUGGAGAAGGAGUUGAUAAUAUUUUCGACUCAAUUUUUGCGCUUCGGAGGCGUCUUGUUGGGAUCAAUGAACAACAUGAUGACUUCAUCUUCUUUUCCAGCCGCCUUGACCCAUUCUUAAUUAGUCAAGUGAACUUUUACUGCUAAGCUUCGAGUGUUGGUAUGGAAAAAAAUCUUCAGUCUGACAGGUUGUUCUGCUGCUCGCGGAUCUUCCGGGAUUCGAAUUUCGGGAAGCGCGCGGGGUGGAGGAGGCCGCGGUAAUCAGAGAAGAUUAGGCAGGGAUGCCUCGAUAUCCGCGCCACCUUUUUCGCCACGUGCUGCGCGCGCAACUGUUGCGGGUUUGACAGGAUCGCCUGGGCCCACAGGUCAGCCACUCGGAAAUGGUUCCAUAUAAGGCGUCGCGGCUGGGGUUUUCUGCACAGUACACCUCAUCUCCUCUCUUCCUCCUCUGUUUUCCAUCGCAUCCACCUCCUCCCUCGGCGCCGCCGCUCUGCCCGAAAUCGACCCUCCGCAAUGGGAAAGGAGAAGACGGUGGCUCUGGAGCGCACGAAGAAGGCGACAGCGAAGGCGAAAGGGAGAAAGACGAGCCGGGGAGGGUCCUCGUCGAGAUCCGGUUUACUGCCCGGCUCAUCCAGGGUGAUUGGAUUCCGUGGACGAUCCGGCAAGUCGACGUCGAUGAUUUGGUCGAGGGGGGACUGAUUCCCCACGGAUCUGGGUGGCUCCCGGAGGACGAGACUGAGCCGCGGCCGCAGGAGGGUGAGUGUGUUCUCCUCGCCACCCAUGUUGACCGUGGUUUUUCUUUGCCUCCCCAUCCUUUCUUCCGAGGCUUCUUGAACUUCUUUGGAGCACAACUUCAUCACUUUUCCCCCAACACAAUCACGUACCUCGCUGCAUUCAUUUCUAUGUGUGAGAAUUUUCUGGGUUGUCGACCACACUGGGGUCUCUUCAAACACAUUUUCACCUGUCGUUCUCAGUCGGUCAAAAAGGCCAAUCCGAGUGACGAGAGGAUGCAUGUGAUCCAGACGUGUGGGGGUCUUGGGAUCCAAAUGAGAGGCAAGAGUACUUUCCCAGCCAUGAUUCUUCCCGAGUCAGUCAGAGGGUGGUAGUCGACCUGGUUCUACUGCAAAGACCAGCCGACUCCAGGCCAGUCGACUGGACUUCCCCCCUUUUCCAUGGCUCGAGUUGAGAAGCCCUCUGCCUUGAAAGUGACUCCAGCAGAAAAAGCGGAGGUGAAGGUGUUGGUCGAGCGAGUGGUCCAGCUCGUUCGUGACGGCGUGACUGGCAGGGAUCUGUUGGAGGUCUUCCUUAGACGACGCAUUCAGCCACUUCAAGCUCGUGACCAUCCGAUGUGGAUGUACUCCGGCAUUGAUGAUACCACUCGGAUCCACCCGGAGGAGGUCGACAAGGAUACAGUGGCACAAUGGCUGAGGGGCAUCACUGGUAACAAGGAUAACCCAGGGGGUCCAGGAGGAUCCCUCCACUCGACAACUCGUAUGAACCAGAUAAGGUCCAACUCUAAAUUUCCGAGUGUUUUCUUGAUCUACCGUGUAAUUACUUUUUGCCAACCGACUGACAUUUGUUCCACCUAUUGUCUUUUAGGCCCUCACUGAGAUGUACUCGAUGCCCAACAGAGAGCAGGAGCAGGAUCCGGAAGGGGAGGCGAGAGCGGCGAGUGGCACUCUGAUGGGGGAGAAGAUGACGAAAGUGACGACUCUGGUGACGGCGAAGAAGUCGACUCACCCCCUCGCACCGAAAGGCGAUCCAAAGAAAUCCACGACCCGGCAAGUAUCUGAGGCAAAGCGACCGCGCAGACUGGGCGGCAGACCUCAAAGUGCCCUCGGACGUCUUCUCCAGCGCCGACUGAGAGGGCCCCGAAACAAUCAAAAGCUACGCCGUCAAAACCGCGGAAGCCUUUGCCCAAGAUCAAAGUGGUCGUGCCCCUUGAUUCCAGGUAAUAAUUGGACUUGAUUUCUUGGUUUAGCAUGAAUUGAAUUUUGGUCGACUCAUUUCGGCAGACAUAACCGACUGAAUCUUGAGAUUUGCAGUGCUGCUACCUUUGAGACUUCUGUUUAUAGGAAUGAAGACGAGUAAAUGGAAGAUGCAGUCACCUCUAAUCCGGGUACGACUCUCGUAAUCCUAUUUUUACUUUCUCGGCCGUUUUAUUGGUCGACUGAAUUCCGGCGAUUGAUUCUUUUUGCAGCUCCUCCCAAUGUCAUUGAUCUUCCAGACGACGACGAGGAUGUGCCGCUGAGGCCUCUGGGAAGAAGAAACAGGAAGACGUCAACUGGCAGAGCGCCUUAGUCGACGCCGGUGACGGAACCGGUAAUCCAGGAGGGCGGUGAUGCCAAUCGGACUUCCCUGAUUUUCGCCGUACCAUUGACGAGUGCCCAGCCCUCAGCGUCGACUGCGCAGACUCCAGCCGAUCCAUCUUCACUCUUUACUGCACAUCACGUCCCAGAGGACCAAGUGGGCGCUGCCAAGGAGGCUAUACACCAGGCGGGCAUCAUGAUGGAGCAGAUGAAGGUGGUACGGGAGACCAGCCAAGCUGCUUAUGACGCCAGCUCAGCUCUCCAGAACAAUGUCCAGGUUAGUUGAUCACCGACUGACUCUUUAGCUUGUUGCUUGUUCUGUUAGGAUAUGCUACCUGAAAACUUUCCUUGAAGGAUCUUUCCAUCAGUCUGCGUUUUGCAUUUGUACACCCACUGGGUGUUUUGAUAUGUCACUGAGUAGUCUUGUAUCUUGAAUCGACUAAGUUGUCUCGAUUGAGUCUUUGAACUAGUGGGGGCACGCUGAGUGCACCCACUGGGUGUAGUCCCCAAGACCAUAGUUGACUACGAGCAGUCAACUAUGGUGUGAGAAUUGGAAUUUUCUCACUCGGCCUGCACAGACCAUGUCGAGUGGAACUUGAGCCAGUGGCGGCACGCUAAGUGCACCCACUGGGUGUAGUCCUCGAGACCAUAGUUGACUACGGGCAGUCGACUAUGGUCUGAGAACAACUUUUUUUUACACUCAGCCUGGACAGACCAUGUCGGGUGGAAACUGGACCAGUGGUGGCACGCUAAGUGCACCCACUGGGUGUAGUCCCCGAGACUACUGUUGGAUGUUCGAUUCGGCAGUAGUCUUAGAACUUGUUGAAUUUAUCACUCUAUUGCUCUGAAGUAACCAAUAUUUCCAUCCGUCGACUGACCGUCUUUUGAUUACAGAAAUCCUGUGAACUUGGAGCCCGUUUUGCUGACCUGGAGCAGAAGCAGAUUCAGCUCAACCUCGACCUAGAGCUGGCCAAGACAAACUUGCAGAAGGCCAAGGAUGAAGUCACUGGUACAAAAAACUUGCCGACUGAUUUGUUUCCGACCCGGGUGUUAUUUGUUUUUUCUGAACCAAGCAUCAUUUCUUUCAGAAGCAAUGAACCAAGCUCUGGCGAAGAAGGAUCUGGACCUUGCAGCCGCGCAGAAAGCAGCCGAAGAGAAAACUGCACUCGCCGACCAGAAGCUGGCUUCAGUCGGCAAACUGGAGGAAGAGAACACCAAGCUGAAGACUGCCUUGGAUGAAGCCAACAAGGAGGCGACUCGUCUGAAGAAGGACAGGAACAACCUGACCGAAAAGGUGGAAGCUAUUGCCCGCAAGAGAGAUGACUUGGAAAAUUAUCUGGGAGGUCUUGCCAAGAAGCUGUUCGUCAUGCUUGAAGGUGCUUUCCUUUGUCCGACUGACUUGUUGCUGUCGACUCGAUAUAUAACCAUUGACUCAUCCUUGUAUUGUGUGCGCAGAAUUUUGCCAGAACUUCGAGGAAGAGACUGGGCGAGUUGAGACAAGCUUGGACCCCAUCUCUCUCCUGUGAAGGAUGAAGCUGCCAUGAACGUGCUCUGACUGGAAUCCCGUGUCGCUGGCAUUAUCGAUUAUCUUGCCCGAUUGAAAGUCGCGGUGUCGCGAAUCGACACAGCACUCUGGCCAAGGGCGACGCUCCAAAAUGACCUCGAGUCUCUGAUGGCUCGACUUAAUGAAGUUCACGGUCGAGUGCAGGAAUGGAAGAAGUCUUCUGCUCCAUGCGGUGCUGAUGUGGCUCUGUCCCUGGUUCGUGUCCACUACAAGGAAGCGCGAGAAGAGAAGCUAGCAGCAAUCAAGGUUGCCAAUACCAAAAGGCACGACUUCCAAUCCUUCAUGGAAUCCUUUAUUGCUGCCGCCACUCGGAUUGCUGACGGAAUCGACCUGGACGAGUUCGUCGAGCCCGCUAGCCCACCUCCUGCGGAGUGAACAAACUUUAUGCCUCACCUUAAAUUUGCCUCGGAAUGCCGAGUGAUUUUGUAACCGUUAAACUCCUUCGGGCCUGACGCCCGAGUACUUUAAUCCGUGGUCUGGUACUUUAGGAUUCAUCUGAACUUGGUUUAUCUAAGAAUAUGCUUGUGUUUGUCUUCGGGUGGAACUUGUUGUUCACUCGGAAUAGUCUUUGUACUUGUGAUGCACCUCCGAGGAGAAGGUCGCAAUCGACCUGCACCUCGUUGUCCUUGCGGAUCGGGAUGGAGCGCGCAUUGUACUUAUGGCGCAGCUCUGAGGAGAAGGUCGCAGUCGACCUGCACCCCAUCGUCCUUGCGGAUCGGAAUGGAGCGCACAUUGUACUUAUGGCACAACUCUGAGGAGAAGGUCGUAGUCGACCUGCACCUCGUCGUCUUUGCGGAUCGGGAUGUGUUUUUAAAGUUAGGCGAGUACUGGACUGCAGCUAAGCCCCCGAGUGAGAGGUUUUCUCUCCACUCGGUAAGAUUUUUCAGACUUAGGCGAGUACUGGACUGCAGCUAAGCCCCCGAGUGAGAGGAUUGCUCUUCACUCGGUGGGAUUUUUCAAACUUAGGCGAGUACUGGACUGCAGCUAAGCCUCCGAGUGAGAGGAUUGCUCUUCACUNNNNNNNNNNNNNNNNNNNNNNNNNNNNNNNNNNNNNNNNNNNNNNNNNNNNNNNNNNNNNNNNNNNNNNNNNNNNNNNNNNNNNNNNNNNNNNNNNNNNNNNNNNNNNNNNNNNNNNNNNNNNNNNNNNNNNNNNNNNNNNNNNNNNNNNNNNNNNNNNNNNNGAGUGAGAGGCUUGAUCACCACUCGGUAGGAUUUUUCAAACUUAGGCGAGUACUGGACUACAGCUAAGCCCUCGAGUGAGAGGCUUGCUCACCACUCGGUAGGAUUUUUCAAACUUAGGCGAGUACUGGACUGCAGCUAAGCCCCCGAGUGAGAGGCUUGCUCACCACUCAGUAGGAUUUUUCAAAGUUAGGCGAAACGGAUUCGCAGCUAAGCCUCCGAGUGAGAGGCUUGCUCACCACUCAGUAGGAUGUUUUAGACUUAGGCGAAACGGAUUCGCAGCUGAGCCACCCACCGGGGGAUUUUAAACAUAUGAAUAAGCAACGACAAUCAUUUUAGAAGACUGUAAAACUCUGUCUUUGAUAAACAAACUAAAAGUUAUUUCUUAUUACAUCUCAACAGACUGAGUACUUAAGUAUAAAAACGACGGAGCAACUCUCCAUUCCAAGCAUGUGGUUCGCCCUUCUUAUGCUCGUUGUUGUAGAGGUGAUACGCUCCGUUGUGGAGCACUUUGGUGAUGAUGAAGGGGCCUUCCCAAGCAGGAGUGAGCUUGUGUGGUUUCUGCUGAUCCACUCAAAGAACCAGGUCUCCCUCUUGAAAUGCCCGACCUUUCAUGUUUCUAGCGUGGAAUCGACGGAGAUCUUGCUGAUAGAUGGUCGACCUGAUCAAGGCCAUCUCUCUUUCUUCUUCCAGAAGAUCAACGGCAUCUUGCCGUGCCAGCUCUGCUUUGGCUUCUGAGAAAAGUUCUACUCGGGGUGCAUUGUGAAGCAAAUCACUCGGAAGCACAGCCUCAGCUCCGUAAACAAGAAAGAACGGGGUUCGACCAUUCGACCGAUUUGGAGUUGUUCUCAAUCCCCAGAGUAGUGACGACAGUUCAUCAACCCAAGCUCCUGCAACAUGCUUGAGAUCACGCAUCAGUCGGGGUUUUAGCCCCUUGAGGAUCAAACCGUUUGCUCUUUCUGCUUGUCCAUUCGACUGUGGGUGGGCGACUGAAGCACAGUCGACCUGAGUGCCUUGGGAAGCACACAAAGCUCUGAAUUCAUCUGAUUCAAAGUUUGAUCCAUUAUCCGUGAUAAUGUUGUGUGGGACUCCAUAUCUGAAAGUUAACUCUUUGAUGAAGCUGACAGCGGUACUCGCUUCGAGGUUCUUGAUGGGCUUGGCCUCAAUCCAUUUGGUGAACUUGUCGACUGCUACGAGCACGUGAGUGAAACCACUUCUGCCAGUCCUCAAGGGUCCAACCAUAUCUAAACCCCAGACAGCAAAUGGCCAGACGAGUAGAAUGGUCUUCAAGGCUGAUGCGGGUUUGUGUGACAUGUUGGAGUAGAACUGACAGCCUUCACAUUUGUCUACUAUUUCUUUCACCAUCUCAUUGGCAUGUGGCCAGUAAAAUCCGGCUCGGUAUGCUUUGGCCAUGAAGGUCCGAGAGGACGCAUGGUGACCACAGGUCCUCGAGUGAAUAUCAUUGAGGAUCAUUCGGCCUUCUUCUGUCGUGAUGCAUUUCUGGCUGACUCCAGUUAAACUUUCUCUGAACUGCUGUCCUCUUAUCACAGUAAAGGCCUUGGAUCGACAGACGAUCUGUCGAGCCUCUUCUUCAUCCUUUGGGAGUUCCUUCCUAAGAAUGUUUGCAAUGUAUGGCACUGUCCAGUCGGGAGUGACGACCAAAACCUCCAUGAUCAAGUCGACCACGGCUGGGACUUCGACUUCAGUCGGAUCAGUGGCACUCUUAGGCUGUGGGGGCUCUUCAGUGAAAGGAUGUUCCUGAACUGAAGGUGCGUGAAUAUGCUCCAAAAACACAUUGCUGGGAACGGUCUCUCUCUUGGAACCUAUCUUUGCCAAGUCAUCAGCAACUUGAUUUUUUAGUCGGGGUAUAUGGUGGAGCUCUAACCCCUCAAACUUCUUUUCCAGUUUUCUCACUUCAUUAUAAUAACCAGUCAUAGCCGGGCUUCUGACGUAUUACUUGAUUAACCACCAAAUCUGAGUCGCUGUAGACCAUUAGGCGACGGACGCCGAGUGAAAUGGCCAUACGCAACCCGUAUAGAGGUGCUUCAUAUUCAGCUUCGUUGUUGGAGGAAUCAAAAUGAAUCUGAAGAACAUAGCUGAGUCUGUCUCCUCGGGGGGAUACCAAUACCACCCCAGCACCAGAACCAUUCAGCAUCUUGGAUCCAUCAAAGAACAUGGUCCAAUGCUCCGAGUGAAUCUGAGUCGGUUGUUGCUGCUCAACCCACUAGAAGAGGAAAUCUGCUAUUGCUUGGGACUUGAUAGCUUUCUUUGCCUCAAACUUGAUAUCCAAGGAACGGAGUUCAGUCGCCCACUUUGCCCCUCAACCAGUUGCAUCUCUGUUGUUCAGAAUUUAUGACAAUGGUGCGUCGCUAACGACUGUAAUGGAGUGAUCAGAGAAAUAAUGCGCAACCUUCUUCGUGGUGAUGUAAAUUCCAUAGACAAGCUUCUGAUAAUGUGGAUAUCUUUGCUUGGAUGGAGUCAAGACUUCAGAAAUAUAGUACACUCGGAGUUGAACUUUAUAGGCUUUUCCUUCUUCUUCCCGCUUGACCGUGAGCACUGUAUUGACAACUUGUCCAGUGGCUGCAAUAUAAACCAGUAAAGGCUGUUUGCUGAUUGGGGCAGCAAGCAUCGGCUGUGUGGAAAGCAGAGUUUUGAGUUCUGCAAACGCUCCGUCAGCUUCAGGAGUCCACUCGAACUUAUCAGAUUUCUUCAUCAGUCGGUAAAGAGGCAAUGCAUUUUCACCGAGGCGAGAGAUGAAUCGACUCAAGGCGGCCAAGAAACCAGUAAGCUUCUAAAUGUCAUGCACAUGCACAUGGCGUUUCAUCCGGAGUAUGGCCCCAACUUUCUCUGGGUUCACGUCGAUCCCACGUUCGGAAAUGAGAAAACCGAGUAACUUUCCUCCUGGAAUUCCGAAUGUGCAUUUCGUCGGAUUAAGCUUGAUAUCAUAUCUUCUCAGGUUGGCAAAGGUUUUAGUGAGGUCAGUCAGCAGGUCGGAACCUUUACGCGACUUGACCACAAUGUCAUCCAUAUAUGCUUCCACAUUUCGACUGAUUUGAGUGAGUAGACACUUCUGAAUCAUCCUCAUAAAUGUGGCGCCAGCGUUCUUGAGACCGAAUGGCAUGGUGACAUAACAAAAGCACCCGAAUGGAGUGAUGAAAGUUGUUUUUAUCUCAUCGGGUCCAUACAGUCGGAUCUGAUGAUACUCGGAAUAGGCGUCCAGAAAAGACAAACACUCACACCCCGCAGUCGAGUCGACGAUUUGGUCGAUACGGGGGAGAGGGAAAUGAUCUUUCGGACAGGCCCAAUUGAUAUGCUUGAAGUCAAUGCACAUACGAAGUGAGUCGUCCUUCUUGGGAACCAUGAAAACAUUGGCGAGCCACUCGGAAUGGUAAAUCUCUCGAAUGAACUCAGCCGCUAGGAGCCGAGCCACUUCUUCACCAAUUGCAUUUCUCUUCUGUACGGCGGACCGUCGAAGAUGUUCCUUGACUGGUUUCACUUUCGGGUCGACUCGCAAACGGUGCUCAGCCAGUCCCCUGGGUACACCCGGCAUGUCAGAAGGUUUCCAUGCCAAGAUGUCCCAGUUCUCACGGAGGAACUGGAUGAGCGCUUCUUCCUAUUUGCUAUCGAGUGAUGUUGAAAUAUGAGUAGGAGCAGCAUUAGGAUCGGUUGGGUGAAUAUGAAUUGGCUUUGUUUCAUCGGACGACUAAAACGCAGAAUCUGUGGCAGGCUUCUUGGCUCGCAAUAAAUCACUCGGAUCCGCAUUUUUCUGAUACUCUUGCAUUUCAACUGCUGCAAUUUGUGCAUCGGCAAUUUUAGAACCCUUCUUGAAGCAUUCUUCUGCCUUCUGCCGAUUGCCAGUGACUGUGAUCACUCCUCUGGGACCAGGCAUUUUCAACUUGAGAUAUACAUAACAUGGCCGAGCCAUGAAUCGUGCAUACGCCGACCUCCCCAUAAUAGCAUGAUAAGCACUCUGGAAAUCCACUACUUCAAAUGUCAACUUUUCCUUACGGUAAUUCUUUGAAUCACCGAAAACCACGUCAAGGUUUAUUUGGCCGAGUGAUUCAGCCUUCUUGCCAGGGAUGACGCCGUGAAAGGUCAUGUUGCUCUCACUAAGUUUGGACAUCGGGAUGCCCAUCCCCUUCAAGGUUUCAGCAUAAGGGAUAUUCAGGCCGCUACCACCAUCCAUUAGCACUUUCGUCAGUCGAGUGCCUCCAACCACUGGGUCGACCACCAACGCUUGCCUCCCAGGGCUGGCUAUGCGAUCAGGGUGAUCAGACUGGUGGAAUGUGAUAGCUGUUUGUGACCACUUCAGGUAUGUUGUCGUUGCCGGAGCAACCAUAUUCACUUGUCUAUUGAUCACUUUCAGUCGACUUUUGCUGUCAACAUCAGCAAAAAUCACUAGGAUGGAAUUGACAUUGGGAAAACCAUCAUCUUCCUCUUUGUCCUCAUCCUUGUCUGAUUCCUUUUCCUUCUCAUUAGGCUGUUUCUCUCGGAAUUGCUGGAUCAGAACCUGACAUUGUCGAGUGGUAUGCUUAGGAUAAAUCAGAUUGCCUUCUUCAUCCUUCUUGGUGUGAAUGUGACAUGGCAAAUCCAACACAUCAUUUCCGGCUUGAUCUUUCACUUUCUUGGGGGUCCAGGGCCCCUUAGGUUUCCCUUUAAAUUUUCCUUGAAUCACUCCGCAGUUUCACCAGGUCCCGCAGGUUCAGCUUUACGCUUCUGUUUCCGAUUGGAAUUGCCUCCACCUGUGUCCUGAUCGACUGGUUUGCUCUUUCCACUGCGGAGUCGAUCCUCUUCUUCUCCAUUAGCGUACCGAGUGGCUAUUUCCAUCAUCCAAGUCAGAGACAUAUCUCCCAUCCGAUAGAACUUCAGAACCAGUUCUCGAUACUUAACGCCUUCCUUGAAGGCACAAACUGCUUGAUGCUCGGGUACAUUUUCCACUGUGUGAUGCAAAGUGGUCCACCGCUGAAUGUAAUCUCUCAGAGUUUCAUUCGGUUUUUGCACGCAAUGCUACAAUUCUGUUAACCCCGCUGGCCGCUUGCAUGUACCCUCAAAUGUUCUAACAAACACUCGGGCGAGUUCCUCCCAACUGAAUAUACUGCUCGGUGCUAACUGAGUCAACCAUGCCCUGGCCGAGCCUUCCAACAUCAUAGGUAGAUGCUUCAUGGCCACUUCAUCAUUGCCGCUACCAAUCUGCACAGCCACUCGGUAAUCCUCAAGCCAAGUAUCAGGCUUGGACUCACCAGUGAACUUGCUGACUCUAGUCGCCAACCUGAAGUUGGGAGGAAUCACCGCAGCUCUGAUGGCUCUGCUAAAACACUCUGGACCUGAAACAUGAACUCUGCUGCGAGUCGGGUCAUCUCUAUCAAGGCCCUAUCUGUGUGCCCUGUUCCUGUUGACUAGACCUUGAACGAGAAUAGAUCUCGCAUCAAAUCCUGGCUCUCUUGGGUCGACUGGUAUUCUUCGCUCACCACUGUGAGGGCGUCUGUCUUCAUAUUGCCGAGGCACAUAUGACCCACUCCUCGGAGGAGGUGUGGUCACUCGACGACGGUCAUCAUGGCCGAGUCAGUGAUCAUAUUGCUCGUGGUUUCUGUACUGAUCUUGCUGGUGCCCACGUCCCUCACGCCGAGGGGGCGGUCUUGGGCUGUGGGCGGACUGGACUAUAUCUGCCAUCACAGAUCUGCUAUGAAUCUUAUUCGGCGACUGAGACACUGCUAUGUUCUGCUCUCCUGCUGCCCGUAGUAAGGCCCGGAUCUGCAUCAAACCUCUGCCAGCUUCCGACUGGGAAGGCUGAAUUCACACUGCGACAUGGGCUGUAGCUGUGAGAUUUUGAAUCGGAGUGCUGUAUACCUGAGGUUGUGGUGGAAAAAGCUGUCGUCGACUAGACUCAGGGAUCCGCUGCCGAGCACGCUCGUCGAUGCAUGGUGAAGGUUCUCCAGUCGAGUGCGCUCAGCCAAGUUGGCCAGGCGCGCCUCCUCCAAGGCCCGAGCCUCGAGGGUUUCCCCAACGAUGGGCGUGUGGAGUGCAUCCACGUUGCGGCGGCGAAGCUCUUCCCUCUGCUGCGAAGAAAGGGGUUCCGGGCGAUACUCCUCGUGAACGCGUGACGGAUCGACGCCACCAUCACCGCCGUCAUCGCGGCAGAAGCCAGGCGGACUACAUGGUCCGUCGACCAUCAAGACUUCAGCUGCGGGGUCGCUGCUAUCGCACUCGGAUGCGGUCUUGAUGUCUACUACGCAACCUUCUUCUUGUAGACGUUGUUGGGCCUCCAAGUGCAGAGGUUUGUAGGACAGUAGCAAAUUUCCCUCAAGUGGAUGACCUAAGGUUUAUCAAUCUGUGGGAGGCGUAGGAUGAAGAUGGUCUCUCUCAAACAAGCCUACAACCAAAUAACAAAGAGUCUCUUGUGUCCCCAACACACCCAAUACAAUGGUAAAUUGUAUAGGUGCACUAGUUUGGUGAAGAGAUGGUGAUACAAGUGCAAUAUGGAUGGUAGAUAUAGGUUUUGUAAUCUGAAAAUAUAAAAACAGCAAGGUAACUAAUGAUAAAAGUGAGCGUAAACGGUAUUACAAUGCUAGGAAACAAGGCCUAGAGUUCAUACUUUCACUAGUGCAAGUUCUCUCAACAAUAAUAACAUAAUUGGAUCAUAUAACUAUCCCUCAACAUGCAACAAAGAGUCACUCCAAAUUCACUAAUAGCGGAGAACAAACGAAGAGAUUAUGGCAGGGUACGAAACCACCUCAAAGUUAUUCUUUCGGAUCGAUCUAUUCAAGAGUUCGUACUAGAAUAACACCUUAAGACACAAAUCAACCAAAACCCUAAUGUCACCUAGAUACUCCAAUGUCACCUCAAGUAUCCGUGGGUAUGAUUAUAUGAUAUGCAUCACACAAUCUCAGAUUCAUUUAUUCAACCAACACAUAGAACCUCAAAGAGUGCCCCAAAGUUUCUACGGGAGAGUCAAGACGAAAACGUGUGCCAACCCCUAUGCAUGGGUUCAUGGGCGGAACCCGCAAGUUGAUCACCAAAACAUACAUCAAGUGAAUCAAUAGAAUAACCCAUUGUCACCACGGUUAUCCCACGCAAGACAUACAUCAAGUGUUCUCAAAUCAUUAAAGACUCAAUCCGAUAAGAUAACUUCAAAGGGAAAACUCAAUCCAUUACAAGAGAGUAGAGGGGGAAGAAACAUCUUAAGAUCCAACUACAAUAGCAAAGCUCGCGAUACAUCAAGAUCGUAUCACCUCAAGAACACGAGAGAGAGAGAUCAAACACAUAGCUACUGGUACAUACCCUCAGCCCCGAGGGUGAACUACUCCCUCCUCGUCAUGGAGAGCGCCGGGAUGAUGAAGAUGGCCACGGUGACGGAUCCCCCGUCCGGCAGGGUGCCGGAACAGGGCCCCGAUUGGUUUUUGGUGGCUACAGAAGCUUGCGGCGGCGGAACUCCCGAUCUAUUCUGUUCCCUGAAGGUUUUAGGGUAUAUUGGUAUAUAUAGGUGAAAGAAGUACAUCAGGGGAGCCACGAGGGUGGAGGGCGCGCCCAGGGGGGUGGGCGCGCCCCCCUGCCUCGUGCCUUCCUCGUUGCAUUCUUGAUGUGGACUCCAAGUCUCCCGGGUUGCUUUCCUUCCAAAAAUAACUUCUCCAGAAGGUUUCAUUCCGUUUCGAAUCCGUUUGAUAUUCCUUUUCUUCAAAACACUGAAACAAGGGAAAAAACAGGAACUAGCGCUGGGCUCUGGGUCAGUAGGUUAGUCCCAAAAGUAAUAUAAAAGUGCAUAGUAAAGCCCAUAAAACAUCCAAGAUGGAUAAUAUAAUAGCAUGAAUACUUCAUAAAUUAUAGAUACGUUGGAGACGUAUUUGCAUCCCCAAGCUUAAUUCCUGCUCGUCCUCGAGUAGGUAAAUGAUAAAAGAAAGAAUUUAUGAAGUGUGAAUGCUAGCAGGUGCAUAGGUUUGAUCAAUGAUAAUUUCAAUCACCUUUCCUAGCAUCAUUAUAUGUCAUAACAGUAGCUCAUACCAUAAAACUUUGCAUGAUCAAGUAACAAACUAUUCACAUGUUAAAGCAUAGACCAUAAACUUUCUUGAAAACUAACAAACCGUGUUAUUAGUCAUCAAACAAUUACAAUUCAUCUUAUUUUCAGGAAGAGUCUAUGUCAGAGCUUUGAUUUAGCAAAUCCCACAUACUCAACUAUCAUAUAGUCUUCCAUGAUUGCUACCACUCAAAGCAUAUUUUUAGAACAAAUAGCAUCCAUCGAACACAUAGAAAGAUAGGGGCUUAAUGUUUCGCCUCCCAACUUAUUCAUCAUAUAGAUAAUUGUCAACAAUAUAAUUCAUGAUCAAAUAUAUUUGAAUGGCCAUAUAUGCUCAGAUCUUUCCAUCACAUGAUGCUUGCCAACUAAAGAGUAGGUUGGAAUGAGAAGGAAUACUACUGACUCUUGCAUAAAAGUAAAAGAUAGGCCCUUCGCAGAGGGAAGCAGGGAUUUGUAGAGGUGCCAGAGCUCGAAGCAAAAACAGAGAUGAAAAUAAUUUUGAGAGGUAUGCUUUCAUUGUCAACAUAACGACCAAGAGUUCCCAAUAUCUUCCAUACUACAUACAUUAUAGGCGGUUCCCAAACAAAAAGGUAAAGAUUUUUACUCCCCCUCCACCAACAAUCAUCAAUCCAUGGCUUGCCCGAAACAACGGGUGCCUCCAACUAACAUCAAUACUGGGGGAGUUUUGUUUGCAAUUAUUUUUGAUUUGAUUUCGAUCUUUUGAUCAUGGGACUGGGCAUCCCAGUUACCAGCCAUUUUCUCGUGAAUGAUGAGCGGAGUCCACUCAUCGUGAGAAUAACCCACCUAGCAUGGAAGAUACUCCUAGCCCCUAGUCACUACAUGAGAGAUUCGGGCAUACAAAACAGAUUAUUAUUUGAAGGUUUAGAGUUUGGCACAUGCAAAUUUACUUGGAACGGCAGGUAAAUACCGCAUAUAGGUAGAUAUGGUGGACACUCAUGGAAUAAACUUGGUUCAAGGAAUUUGGAUGCACAAGCAGUAUUCCCGCUUAGUACAGAUAUUUUGGCUAGCAAAGGAUUCUAAAUAGCAAGCGCCACAUGUUAGAGGAUCCAUAACAAUAUAACUUCUAUACAAAUAUACCCAAGCAUAACUCAUUAUGUUGUCUUCCUUGUCCAACUUCAACUAAUUUGCUCAGGUUUGAAAAUAAUUAAUGGGGAUCACAAUCAUAGAAGAUGUCCAAGAUAGUAUAUUUAUAUGUGAAAUCUCUCUUCCUUCAAUAUUCUUUCAUGAAUUGUUCAAGUGACCAAUACAAUGUUUGCUAACCUUCAAUAAAUUUACCACCUCUACUUCUUAUAUCUGAAGUCAUUACUCCAUGGGAAAGGCAUACGAAACAUAUAUAAUUUCAGAUUUAUGACAUUCAAAUCAUUCAACCAUUUACUCAUAGGAUAUAAGUGAAGCACACGAGUAAAUGACAAACUACUCCAAAAAGAUAUAAGUGAAGAUCAGUGAGUAGUUAAAUAAUUAUGUAUCUAUGUGAAGACUCUCUCUCUCAUUUAAUAAUUUCAGAUCUUGGUAUUUUAUUUAAACAGCAAGCAAAGCUAAAGAAAAUAAAAUGACGCUCAAAGCAAAACACAUAUCAUGUGGCGAAUAAAAAUAUAGCUCCAAGUAAAGUUACCGAUGAAUGAGGGGAUGCCUUCCGGGGCAUCCCCAAGCUUAGGCUCUUGGUUGUCCUUGAAUAUUACUCCCUCCGUUCCAAAAUAGAUGACCCAACUUUGUACUAAAGUUAGUACAAAGUUGGGUCAUCUAUUUUGGAACGGAGGGAGUACCUUGGGGUGCCUUGGGCAUCCCCAAGCUUAGGCUCUUGCCACUCCUUAUUCCAUAGUCCAUCGAAUCUUUACCCAAAACUUGAAAACUUCACAACACAACACUCAACGGAAAACUCGUAAGCUCCGUUAGCGAAACAAAACAAAACACCACUUCAAGGUACUGUAAUGAACUCACUCUUUAUUUAUAUUGGUGUUAAAUUUACUGUGUUGAAACUUCUCUAUGGUUUGUAAACUAUUUUACUAGCCAUAGAGUCAUCAAAAUAAGCAAACAACACACGAAAAACAGAAUCUGUCAAAAACAGGACAGUCUGUAGUAAUCUGUAACUAACGCAAACUUCUGGAACUCAGAAAAAUCUACCAAAAUAGUAAAACCUAGAUAAUUUGAUUAUUGAUCUGCUGCAAUUGGAAUCAGUAUUUUAUCACGUUCUGGUAAUUUUUAACAAUUGUUUUCGUGAGCAGAAAGUUUCUGUCGUUUUCAGAAAGAUCAAAUAAUUAUCAUACAAGGAGAUCCUAUAGGUCUUACUUGGCACAAACACUAAUUAAAACAUAAAACCACAUCUAAGCAGAAGCUAGAUGGAUUAUUUAUUUGUAAACAGAACCAAAAAGCAAUAAACUAAAAUAAAAUUGGGUUGCCUCCCAACGAGCGCUAACGUUUAACUCCCCUAGCUAGGCAUGAUGAUUUCAAUGAUGCUCACGUAAAAGAUAAGAAUUAAAACAUAAAGAGAGCAUCAUGAAGAAUAUGACUAGCACAUUUAAGUCUAUCCCACUUUCUAUGCAUAGGGAUUUUGUGAGCAAACAACUUAUGGGAACAAUAAUCAACUAGCAUAGGAAGGCAAAACAAGCAUAACUUCAAAACUUUAAGCACAUAGAGAGGAAACUUGAUAUUAUUGCAAUUCCUACAAGCAUAUAUUCCUCCCUCAUAAUAAUUUUCAGUAGCAUCAUGAAUGAAUUCAACAAUAUAACCAUCACAUAAAGUAUUUUUUUCAUGAUCUACUAGCAUAGAAAUUUUAUUACUCUCCACAUAAGCAAAAUUCUUCUCUUUCGAAAUAGUGGGAGCAAACUCAACAAAAUAACUAUCAUGUGAAGGAUAAUCCAAUUGAAAAUUAAAAUCAUGAUGACAAGUUUCAUGGUUAUAUUUAUUCUUUAUAGCAUACAUGUCAUCACAAUAAUCAUCAUAGAUAGGAGGCAUGCUUUCAUCAUAAUAAAUUUGCUCAUCAAAACUUGGGGGACAAAAAAUAUCAUCUUCAUCAAACAUAGCUUCCCCAAGCUUGUGGCUUUGCAUAUUAUUAGCAUCACGGGUAUUCAAGGAAUUCAUACUAACAACAUUGCAAUCAUGCUCAUUCACAUAUUUAAUGCCAAGCAUUCUAUGUAAUUCUUCUUCUAGUACUUGAGCACAAUUUUCCUUCCCAUCAUACUCACGAAAGAUAUUAAAAAGAUGAAGCGUAUGAGGUAAACUCAAUUCCAUUUUUUUGUAGUUUUCUUUUAUAAACUAAACUAGUGCUAAAACAAGAAAAAAAAGAUUCGAUUGCAAGAUCUAAAGAUAUACCUUCAAGCACUCUCCUCCCCGGCAACAGCGCCAGAAACUGCUUGAUGUCUACUACGCAACCUUCUUCUUGUAGACGUUGUUGGGCCUCCAAGUGCAGAGGUUUGUAGGACAGUAGCAAAUUUCCCUCAAGUGGGUGACCUAAGGUUUAUCAAUCCAUGGGAGGCGUAGGAUGAAGAUGGUCUCUCUCAAACAACCCUGCAACCAAAUAACAAAGAGUCUCUUGUGGCCCCAACACACUCAAUACAAUGGUAAAUUGUAUAGGUGCACUAGUUCGGCGAAGCGAUGGUGAUACAAGUGCAAUAUGGAUAGUAGAUAUAGGUUUUUGUAAUCUGAAAAUAUAAAAACAGCAAGGUAACUAAUGAUAAAAGUGAGCGUAAACAGUAUUGCCAUGCUAGGAAACAAGGCCUAGGGUUCAUACUUUCACUAAUGCAAGUUCUCUCAACAAUAAUAACAUAAUUGGAUCAUAUAACUAUCCCUCAACAUGCAACAAAGAGUCACUCCAAAGUCACUAAUAGCGGAAAACAAACGAAGAGAUUAUGGUAGGGUACGAAACCACCUCAAAGUUAUUCUUUUGGAUCGAUCUAUUCAAGAGUUUGUACUAGAAUAACACCUUAAGACACAAAUCAACCAAAACCCUAAUGUCACCUAGAUACUCCAAUGUCACCUCAAGUAUCCGUGGGUAUGAUUAUACGAUAUGCAUCACACAAUCUCAGAUUCAUCUAUUCAACCAACACAUAGAACCUCAAAGAGUGCCCCAAAGUUUCUACGGGAGAGUCAAGACGAAAACGUGUGCCAACCCCUAUGCAUAGGUUCAUGGGCGGAACCCGCAAGUUGAUCACCAAAACAUACAUCAAGUGAAUCAAUAGAAUAACCCAUUGUCACCACGGUUAUCCCACGCAAGACAUACAUCAAGUGUUCUCAAAUCAUUAAAGACUCAAUCCGAUAACAUAACUUCAAAGGGAAAACUCAAUCCAUUACAAGAGAGUAGAGGGGGGAGAAACAUCAUAAGAUCCAACUACAAUAGCAAAGCUCGCGAUACAUCAAGAUCGUAUCACCUCAAGAACACGAGAGAGAGAGAUCAAACACAUAGCUACUGCUACAUACCCUCAGCCCCGAGGGUGAACUACUCCCUCCUCGUCAUGGAGAGCGCCGGGAUGGUGAAGAUGGCCACCGGUGAGGGAUCCCCCCUCCGGCAGGGUGCCGGAACAGGGCCCCGAUUGGUUUUUGGUGGCUACAGAAGCUUGUGGCGGCGGAACUCCCGAUCUAUUCUGUUCCCCGAAGGUUUUAGGGUAUAUUGGUAUAUAUAGGUGAAAGAAGUACGUCAGGGGAGCCACGAGGGGCCCACGAGAGUGGAGGGCGCGCCCAGGGGGGUGGGCGCGCCCCCUUGCCUCGUGCCUUCCUCGUUGCUUUCUUGACGUGGACUCCAAGUCUCCCGGGUUGCUUUCCUUCCAAAAAUAACUUCUCCAGAAGGUUUCAUUCCGUUUCGACUCCGUUUGAUAUUCCUUUUCUUCGAAACACUGAAACUAGGGAAAAACAGGAACUGGCGCUGGGCUCUAGGUCAAUAGGUUAGUCCCAAAAGUAAUAGAAAAGUGCAUAGUAAAGCCCAUAGAACAUCCAAGAUUGAUAAUAUAAUAGCAUGAAUACUUCAUAAAUUAUAGAUACGUUGGAGACGUAUCAGGUCUCAACGGAGCCAGUCGAACAGGCCGUAGAGAGUUUCGUCGGGCUUGAUUCCCGCGACUUGUGGGGUGGCCGACUGACGAGCCACCACAUAUUUCACCCACCGCUAAAGCCGCGACCGACCGGAUCGCUUGCGUCGGCGAACAGCGGGGAGCGAGGACAUCACGGGAGCCGACCGAUACUGGGUCGACGGCUGCCAGAGAAGGACGCCGCAAACGCACGCGCGAAAGUGCGUCGCCCCGGGGACGGGGAGCGCCUCGACGUCGAGGGGAGCUUCCUGAAACCAGGCGGAGUCGUCGGCAAAGAAGACGAGCGCGCCGAGACGGAUCUCGCGGCCCUCAGCCAAUCCUCCACCAGAAACCAUGAUGAUGGGAAUCGGAAAAAUCGCAACUUCACCAAAAAGUCGCUAAGACACCUUCCCCACGGUGGGCGCCAACUGUCGUGGUUCUAAGACUGACAGUAGACUGGGGGGUAGGUAUGAAGAGGCAAGAUCCCAGCUGUGGUGAAGUUGUACACACGAGAUUUACGAGUUUAGGCCCUUCACGGUGGAAGUAAUAGCCCUACGUCUCGGUGCCCGGAGGCGGUCGCCUGGAUUAUAUGUGUGUGGAGUUAUAAGGGGUGCGAACCCUUGUCCCUGAGGAGGGGGGUGGCUUAUAUAGAGUUCGCCAGACCACUCCCGCCCUCAGUUACACAGGCUUUAAGGUACAUAAAGAUGGGGCGUUUCUAGUAACGCCAGUAAUAAAGUGACAUAAAUGUCCAUUAAGUCUACAGAGUAAACGUCCGACCGUUGCUAUUCAGAGUGACUUUAGGUCUCCUGCCUGUCGAGGCAUUCCUGUUACGGUCGAGUGAGCUUGAAUCUUCCGAGUGGGAUGCCUCUAGUCAAGUGGAUGAUGAUAUCCCUUGAAUGCUUCUGACUUUAGGGUAAUGUCCUAGCGGAGGGUGUCCAGGUGAGGUCUAUGAUCCUACCCUAGCUACAUAUCUUCAUCAGGCAGUCCCAAAUAUUUCUCUUCAAACCCUGUCGUGAUUACUUGCAAAAUAUGUUUUACUCCAUCUCUGGUUACAUCCGGACAUGAACUACCCACCAUCAUGGAGCACUUGGCAGGGUUUAACAACUGCCUCGUGGCAUUUGCAUAAACUUCCAGAGUGCUUUUAAUAUAUUGUGCUUCUUGGUCACACGACUUGAAAAAUAAGAGUGUCAUCCGCGAAUAAUAAGUGUGAGACUCCCGGUACACUUCUAGUAAUUUUCAGUGGAGAUAUAUUACGGGUAGCAAUCCCUAUAUUGAUAAAAGCAGAGAGACCAUCAGCAACAAACAAGAAUAAAUAUGGGCACAGCGGAUCACCUUGCCGAAGACCACGCGACGGUGCAAACGAAUCCAGGAUGGCUCCAUUGAAUUUUACUGAGUAUCUCACCGAGGUCACACAUGACAUAAUCCAGUCAACCCACCGGUGAGCAAAGCCAAGCUUUUGCAUCAUUUGCCUAAGGUAAUUCCAGUCCACUCUAUCAUAGGCUUUUGAGAGAUCAAGCUUAUAAGCACAAUAACUCCUGGUAGGGUCCUUCUCUUGCUUUAUAUGAUGAAUACAUUCAAAGGCAACAUAGGCAUUGUCGGUAAUCAUACGUUCAGGAAUGAAAGCACUUUGCCAAGGCGAAAUAAUCUCAUCUAAAACAGGCCUUAACCGGUUUACUAAGCAUUUUGAGACCACUUUGUAAACCACAUUACAUAAACUUAUGGGGCAGAAAUCCGUGAUUUUCACCGGGUUAUCAAUUUUUGGGAUCAUUACAAUGAUAGUAUCAUUAACAUAUUCAGGCAUUAUCCCACUUUGGAAGAAAAAUUUUACCGCGGCAAUUAUACCUUCCUUCAUUGUCCCCCAGUUACGCUGAAAAAACGCGCGGGGAAACCAUCCGGACCCGACGCUUUUAGAGGUCCAAUCUGGAAAAGAGCGUCUCCAAUCUCCUUAUCUGAAAAUUCCGCACAUAAAACAUCAUUUAUUUGCUGAGUUACAACAGCCUCAAACAAAUCAGUGACUUGGGCGUGAUCAAGACUUGGGUCAGCCGUAAACAGCUCCUCAAAAUAAUCUGUAACGGCCUUCCCCAUCUCCUUAAUCCCCGUAUGCACAACACCCUGAGCAUCUUCCAACUUCUUAACUCUAUUUUUCCUGGCCCGCCAUACUGAUUUUGCAUGGAAAAUUUUUGUGUUCCUGUCUCCUGCUUUUAACCAAUCUAUCCGUGAUCUUUGCAACCACAUCAAUUCUUCUCGGUACAGUAACUCAUUCAUCUUGUCUGUAACUUUACGUAUCUCGCAUCUGUCCGCAUUCAUCAACAUCAAUUCCUCCAGCUGGGAUCUAGAUUUCUCGAGCUCAUUUUUUAUACUUCCAAACUUAACUCUACUCCACUCAAACAGUUUAGACAUGGUUGACCUGAGCGCAGCAUGUACGUCGCCCAAACUUGUUUUCUGCCCAGCUGCCUCCCAUGCUCGUGCAAUGAUUUCCUGAAGGGCCGGGUCCCUCUCCCACAUUACUUCAUAUUGGCGGAUUUUUUUCUUUAUACGUACAUCCUCCAUACGAGCACAAUUAACAUGCAGAGCCACAUGAUCAGACACGGGCGAUACCAGGUGGCGAACAACAGGAGAUUCAAAAUUAUCGCGCCAAGCCGGGGUAGCCACAGCCCUGUCCAAUCGCACUUUCACAUUUGCCAAACCACCUCUCUUGUUGUCUUAUGUGUGAGGAACACCCGAGAAUCCCAAGUCUGACAACUCACAUAUCUCCAGUACAUCAUGAAAAGCUUGCAUCUGACUCAUUGGCCUCGGUGAUAAGGAGAAGUGCUCAAAGUCCCACAUGCAUUCAUUAAAAUCACCCACAACUAACCAGGGUAGAUUAGACUAGGAGCUGAGAUUAUUAAGCAGAGUCCUCAUGUUAUGUCUAUCUUCCGCCCUUGGCUCUCCAUAGGUCAGUCUCCACAUAAUUUCAUCCGGCCCCAAUCUAACGUGGGCAUCGAUGCAUCUCUGUUUUGAGAACACCACCUCCACUUUGAGGGAUUCAUACCAGUAAAGGGCCAAUCCACCACUGUUUCCCAUACAAUCCACUCCCUCAAAACCUUUCAAACCAAACCGAGAUCUGUAUUUUUCAUCUUACUUUUUUGUUGCCUUGGUUCACAUAAAAACACCAACAUGGGGGAAAGCGACUGAAUGAAAGUCGCCACUUCGCGAACUGUCCGGGAGUCCACCCCCCCUGGCGGUCCCUGACGUGGAGGCCGCCACUGCAACACUUGACGCCCUAUUGAUAGCCGUUUCGUUUUCUCCUCUCAGCUUUUUUCUGUUGGCACUUUUCUGUGGUGUACCAUCCACCCCUUCCCUGGUUAUUUCUUCAUCUGCACCUUCAAAUUGCUCAACAAUUUCAGCAGUAUUACCUACAGGAACAAUAUCAGUGCUACUCACCCCCAAGUUGUUUGUAUCCGGCAUGAGAGUCACUAAAUCAGCAGCUAAUCUUUUCCCAAGGGUGUUCAGAUCCUCCUUAUACCCAUUCUCCCUUUCAGCUGGGUCAUUGACACCCUUACUUGGGUCUAUUACCAAGGGAUUAACUGCGUUAUGUGGCCAGCUCCUCACCCGGUGUUGGCCAUCUGCUGCAUCAUCAGUCCUUUUAUCCCCAUCAUAAUUAUAUGUCCCACUGUCCCUCCAUAAUUCUCGCUGCACUCCAGUCCUACCAGCACCCCGCCCCCUUCCAAAGGCUUCAUGCUGGGUAGCAGAUUGAAAGGCAUCACCUCUGCCAUACCCAUGGCCAGCUCCCCGGCCCGUGCCACGUCCACCCCCACCACGGCCUCUCCUUGGUGCUAGAACGAAGGGGCCCCAUUCCAUCUCUUCCUCCUUGUGAUCACCAGUACCACAUUCCUCAUGCCAAUGGCCCAAAAGACCACACAUAUAGCAAAACACUGGCAGCUUUUCGAACUUAACCUGGUACCAUUCAGUUUCCCCAGCCUUUGUGAAGCUAACAAACCUUGUAAGCUUUUUAUUGACAUCUAACUUCACUCUUGCUCUUAUGAACUCUCCCACGAAACCAUUGGGAAGGAUAUCUGAAGCUCUAACACUUCGCCAAUGCGUGCUGCCAUAUUCUUCACAAACUGCUCCCUUUUCAGUACCAUGUCAGGAAGCUUAUGUAUUUGGCACCAGGUCUCGAUUUUAUCGAGCUUUACUGUCUCCGGCUUCUUGAAGCCAUCAUACUCCUCGAUUAUAAGCGCCAUGCCUUUGAAGUCCCAAGGACCUUGGUGGAUAGCUUUGUUCCAAUCCCCCAAACAAUUGAACUGUACUGAGAACAGAUUUGGAUUAAUCCUACGCCAGAUGGAAAGGCCCUUGUUAUCGCUGAAGCAAUAUAUAUAAAGCUUAAUAGGGCCUAAGAAAGCUCACACAAUUUUGCAGUGGCUAUGGAAAUGUGUUGCCAAACUGAGACAUAAGAUUUUCGUUUGGCAUCCAGACCGUUUGUGUCAUCCUUAAUCUAUGGUUACUCUAAUUUUUUCCGGCCAGGCCUUCCCUGUGGUACCGCAUCAAGGCAUGCGUGUGUAUACGUUUCCUUUAACUACCAUGUGCAGGAUGAGGAUUUACUGCACGCAUGUGCGGCGGCACUCAGGUCCUGGUGCCGGCUUUUUAUUUUGGCUUUAGAUUUUCAAACUUCUAUAUCUUCUAUACAAAAAAUUUAAUUUAAGUUAUGUUUUCAUAUUCGUGUUUCUCGCAGCCAGCACUUUCAAAUAAGAUCCAUUUUGAAUACAGUUUGGCGAUUUUUGAAAACAAUGUUAAGUUUCAUUGUUUGAAACUUAGUACGAGCGGCUGAUAGAAUUCAAUUAUUUUGUGUCUACGACCAACACAGAAAAUUUCUUAAAAUUACAUCUUUGAAACUAGUUUGUAAGUCAUGGACAGUUUUUGAAUUUUUAGGAUAUUUUUUCAUUCAUGAACAUUUUUUAAAUUGGUGAAAUUUUGUUUAAUUUCAUUAACAAAUUUUAGUCACAAACCUUUUUAAAAAAUCAUGAACAUUAACUAGUUCGUGAAAUCCCAAAUUACUUAAAGCAGAAAAAACAAAAACAGAAAAGAGAAAGGAAUAAUGGAAAACAAAGUUAAAAAAUAGGCCAACCGAACAUGGGCCAGCCCAAACGGGCGCACUGCGUCUUCUCCCAGCGUGUGGCCCAAGCGAAAGAUUUCUCUGUAUGAAACUUUUUUUAUCACUUAUUGAUGGCGUUGGUGCGUAAUGUUUUGCAUCUUUAGUGACAAUUUUCAUGACGUACUGCCAGAAGUUAUUGCCACUUUAUUAUUAGGUAGAGAUUAGGUAUAGAUAGGAACUACCAGUAAAUUAGGUAGAUGAUAGAGACGAUGACUCCGAAGAAGAUCACAUGUGUCGAGCUUGGAACAUGCUAACAGAUCUUAGGGCAUCUCCGAUGUAAACCCAUAAAACAGACAUCGCAAAUGUCCGCGAACACGCACCGGACUGGUUCGCGGACACGAUAGGGGAGGGAGCCAUCCAACCUUGAUGGAUGCUACCCGUAUUUCUCUCACAUUUCUCCAGCAUUUCAUCGAACAAUUGAUGUGCAGAAGUAGGACACGUCUGGUUCAUGCAGCUGGGGCGUCCUGGGAGUUCUGCCUCAUCGGGCACGAUUGAUGUGUCACAGGACGAUGGGUGCGGUCUCGGGCGCGUCGGUAGCGGCCACGACGACAAGAGGAGGUCGCGCCACGAGCAGAGCUAGCCACGGGAGCCGCCAUUGGUGCAGCACUUGGCGCAGCCAGCCCACGACACGCCGGGCAUGGCGGCAAGAGAGCUUCAUGAGGCCAGAGCCGAGCUCGGCCUUGAGCUACUUGCCGAGCAGCCAUGGAGGGCAUGGGGAGAUGAGAUGCGCAGGGAGAAGGGAGAGAGGACAGGGAGAAGGGAGAGAGGAGUAGAGAGAUAGGAGGAGGCGGCGAUGAGGAUGGAGCGCUCGCCUGCAGCUGCCCUCACCGUUGUCCGUAGCCGGCAUCGGUGCUCUCCGUUUAGUGUUAUUUGUAAGGAGAGGGUGGGAGUGGAGACGUGGUGUUUUUUUGGUUAGCUGGAUGUUCAGACUCUCACAUAGUCCCUCAAAGUUGUUCGUGUGAUAUCGAAAUUUGAACAUGUGGGCUGUUCCGCGGAUAUUUAGAGGACCCCACUUGAAGAAUAAAAGUGGUCCAAACACUACUGUCUGACAUUUUGCCCUUAGUAGUUGGUGGAUGUCGAUGUGCUAUCCCUCCAACCUAUAUCAAGAGAUCCAUUCACCGUCUGAUCCCUUCUACCAAACACGUCAUUGCUUUCCAUGGUUCUCUCUUGUCGAUGUGUGAAAUAUUAGAAUUUGAGUUGUUUGGUGAAAUGUACGAGCUGACCGCCAAAAGAACAAAAAAUUUCUUUCUUUUUCCUUUUUUUAUAGUUUUGGCAGGUGCAUUUUCAUAUGGUACAUGUCUAGACCAUUUGAACAGUUUAUUUUGAAUUUGUUUCUUCCAUUCUAGCUAAAUAUAAGAGUUUACAAUGUUCGUUUUAAUCCUUUGGAAUAAACAUUUAUUACUAGUAUUAAAAAGACUAAAUUAGCUGCCGCAUUUUUUUCCCUAAUCAACUUGAAGGCUAUCUACACUUUGAUUAAAUUGUCAUUUAUACAUUUCGUGAUAUAUUAUUUCCAUUAUGUAUAUUAACUGCAAUAAAAAUGACGAUAAUCUGUUUUUCCUUAAGUUUUAAUGAAUGUACUAAAUAAUUAAAUAAUAAAAAUUUACUUACAAAAUAUUAACAUGAAAACGUGCCCUAUGAAUAAAAGGUAGAUAUCUAACUCAGGCACUUAUCUGCAAAAUAAAUGUUUUUUUAACAAAAUUGAAAGUAUUUAAAUUAUUUAAAAUGAAUAAAAAGUACAUGGUCCAUUCUACUUUACCGCUCGAAACACACUGAUUUGUUGUGGCAAUAGAAACACUGAAUUUCAGUCCCACUUAUUAAUGUUUGCUAAGUGAUAUCUGACAAUAAAACGUAAAAUAAAUAUUUUUUAUAUUAAAAUUUUUAAUUAUUAAAUUAAUCAUUUUGUCUGUGAUCUUAAUGUGUAAUUUUCUAUUACUUACGUAAAAUAGUUAACCAUAUAACAAUGUUGCUAAAUAAGAGUUAUAAUGUUUCUUUGUUAUGUAGUUGCAACAUAUAUCAGUAAAAUAGUUAAUUCAUAUUUAAAAGGUAUGAUAGAACAAAAGUUAUUUUUUCAAUCAAGUCUUGAAAUUAAAUAAAUUUAUAAUGUAUAUACAUAUAUUUCCAUACAUUUGUAUGUGUUCAUCGAGAUUUUAAUGUCAUUAAAUAUCAUGUUAGAGAUUUCAAAAGUGUGCUUUCUAACAUGUAUCUUAGUAGUAGUUUCUAGUGUAAUACUAUGUAAUCAUAUUUACAGAAAUUUCUAGAGCACGAAAUAUAUGUCUUGCAAGUUGGAUUCGGUAAUAAGUUGGCAUCAUGACCAUGCUAUUUGUUACAAUUAUUUUUUAUUUUAAAUAAUAACAAAUAACAAAAAAAUAUAAAAUUUAUGGGUGAAUCAUGCAAGUGAGGAGAACACACCAAUGAUGAAAGACAGUGCAUUUCUACGUGGAAUUCAUAUUGACAAACCUUAAGAAUCACAUUCAUUUCUAUGUUUUUAUAGAUUAUGCCCCAUUUGCGGGACUCAGAUACAAGUCAGUUCAAGGUGUGGAGCACGAGAAAACAUAGGAUUCAAGACCAGAUCAGCGACCGACUUCAAAAACAAAUAAGUAAAAAUUGCACAUUAGGUAUCAAGAUUAGGAGUAGAUGGAAAAUUAAUUGAAAGAAAUGGAGCAAAUAGCUCUGCAAUAAGUGCUCUCGCUAGAAAAUAAAUGUUGCGUUAGACGAUCCACUUGAAAACACACAUAUGAAGUGGUGGAGCCGGAAUUUUCACAAUGGGUAUGCAAAGCUAUAAAAAAUUGAUGGGCAACACUAACAACCAUGAAACUGCAUAUUAUUCUCCCUUUUUUUCACAUAUCGACAAUUUAAAUAAAAAAUGACUAGUUAAGCUUGAUUGAAUACUACAAUAAAUUAAACAACAGAUUGAGGAUCAGCCUCUGCUCCGAGUAAAAAAAUAAAGGGAAACUCUAUACAUCAGUAGUCUGCUGUUUCAUCCAUCGGAAUCCUCCACGGCCUUAGAUUCAUUUUCCAUUUGACAUACAUGAUGCUCAUCUAUCCUUAGCUGCCAGCCUCUGGGCCAGAAUGACUACCCUACCCGUGCCCCCACCUUCACCCGAGAGACACCCACCUUCACAUUCUUCCUGUCCAGGAAAGCGACUAAAUUUAGCUUCUCCUCCCACACCAGCAAAACUCCAUCCACCUCGGCCAUCUCUUACUUCACCGAUUGAUCUCCACCUGGUCGCAUGAUAUAAGCUCAUUAUCCUUCGAUGGAAGCAUAAUUAACUUGUAGUGCUAAAAACAAACUUGAAGAUCGUUGGGAGCAAAAUGUGCUCCUUAAGAUAGCAAACUAGUACAAGUAUAUUGGGAAACUCAUUUUAGAGUCAUUAAUUUCCGUAACACUCAAAAUCAGUUUCCUAGAAUUUUGGGGGCAUGAAUUAAGCGAUCAUGUUAAUAAGGGAUCUCAUGUAAUGUUCGAUUCCUAAAAAGCUAUAACCCACUACCUAUUUUCCCUUUACAUGCAACCAUUCCACAUAAGCAAGUCAUGCAUGCAAGUCAUAAAUUACAUUGUUUUUGCAUUACUCUAUGCAUACAGCGUUGCCACAUCAUCAACUCAUGCAUGUUAGUCAUAAUCUAUUGUUUGCAUUAGAUUUUUAUUUUUGGGAAGCAAGAGCUUUGAUUCAUUAAUUAGUGGGCUUACAAUCGUUUUGUAGACAGACAACUAAAAUGGUAUGCACAUAAUUGAUCCAAAGACAUCUCCUUCUACUAGCUGGCGCUUGUUGUGAGCAAAGAUGUGCCCGUUCAUUGGCCUUAUGUCCAAUGAAGUUCAAUUUGAAAAAAAAUCCAAAUUGCCGCUAAGAUCCUCAAUUUCUUGUAGAAUCGAAGCAAUCACAGACCGACCCUUGGCGCAAUCCAUCCAAAGCUUGACAACUUCACUUGUAUCAAACUUUAGAUAGGCCGAAAAAUGACAGACUAGCUCGAAUCCAUCCCGAAUUGCUAGAGACUACAAGAUCAAAGCGUUAGCUGCUUGGUCGUACCAGAUAGCUUGUCCCCUAAUCAAGCUACCCAGUGGUGUUAUUACGGCCCUGGGGUGCCUCACUUUGUUAGUUGUCGGCCCACUAGGUUAGUUCCACGCUCAGUCAUCAUGCCGACCCACGUGCCCUAUACAAAGAAGACUCCAGAAGCCUUGCCAUUCAAGACAAGGAAGCCGGAGUGUUGGUGUACAAAAAUAGGGGUCUUUCUGUACCCCUUUACUUGUGCGCGGACAGUUGUAGCCACACCUGCGGCCACGCUUGGCGGGGCAAAGGAAACGAAGAUACAGGACUGCCAGGGCAGUGCUCAAGCCAGAGGCGCAAAGAGCAAAGGGACAAGAUGGAUUUCCCCCGGCGAGAGCCUUGCCGGGGUGACCUACAUAGCCCCGGCAAGAGCCAUGCCGAGGCAACUUGCCCAACACCUGCAAGGCCGCCACCUUUGAGCUUGAGAGUUCUGACACCAUCGACAACGUCGAGACCAAGACUCAGGGGCGCCUGUGUGAUGGCAAGCAGAUCUUUGUGAGGAACAAAGGCCUGCGAAUCUGGACAGAAACCAGAAGGCGAAGACCCACGGCAAGAGCCUUGCCAGGGACAGGCGGAGACCACCGGCAAGAGCCUUGCCGGGGACAGGCGGAGACCCCGGCAAGAGUCUUGUCGGGGACAGAUGAAGACCCCCGGCAAGAUUUUUGCCGGGGACGCCCGCGAGACCCCGGCAAGAUCUUUGCCGGGGGCUUCUGCGGGGCUAAGGCCAGGCUCUCACUUACCAACGUUUCGCUGCCCCGCACCCGUGCCGACGCGACAAUCAGCCCGCCAACCAGGCAGGCGCCUGCGUGGCAGCAAGCAACCUCUAGGCCAACUAGACAAGCACCUGCGUGGUGGCAUGCAGAUCUUCGUGAAGACCCUGCCACCGUACUAGCACAGCAGCCAGCCAGCCAGCGUGGCGCUGCAUGCCUCGUCAGCUUGGAUGCGCGUCGAAGCAAGGCGAGGCGGCGAUGGACGGGACAAGCUUCUUUUCCGUCCCUAAUAAAGCAAGAGGACACGUAGGCGCAUUAAAUGAGUUUGUGCCACGAUGUCAGGGAUAGACUUGUACACUAUAGACACUUUCCACCUCCCGUGUGCCACUGUGGAAACCCCUUUGACAUAUAAAAGGAGGCUCGAGGCGUACUGAGGAAGGAUUUCGGACUUUUUGAACUAGGCAUGCACCGCAGCUAGUUCAACAGCUCAAGAACACCAAAUAUAUACACCAAAGUAGGACUAGGGUAUUACACAUCGCUUGCGGCCCGAACCUGGGUAAAAAAUCCCCUAGCGCUGAUCUUUUAGUCCCGCUCUUUGCACAGCUCUGCGCCCCGCCAACCGUAGUAGGGAUUCCCCGUGAUCCCAUAGGUGUCGUUUCCCCCGACAUCUUUGGCACGCCAGGUAGGGGGCGCAAGCUGUGAAAAUCUGGUCUAGGUGUUAGCGCAUCGACUUCAUCGUCGCCAUGGCCCCCAAGAAGAAGGGGAUCACAACGAUCUGGUCGUCCGGAGACGGCCCGUCCGCACCGGUGCGGGCAGCCAACGGGGUGGCCAUGGAUGGUGCCGGAGGCGCGGCCCGCGAGCAUCCACGACACUAUGGCAAUCGGAGCCAGGCGAGCGGCGUCGUUCGGAUCCAAGACAACGAGCCACACGCGGUUGGGUCCGGGGGCGGGGCCGUGCUGCCCAUGGGCUACGCGGCAACCUCUAGGACGCCCCAGCUGGCGCCCGCGCCGCGGCCCAGGCCGCGCGCCACGAGCAACACCGCGACGUCGGUGCCCCCGGGCGCCGCCGCGGGAAAAGCCCAUUGCGUCACUCUCAGGACGCACAGGGCCGUCGUGCGCACCUGGACGCUGGCGGAAGCGGCGCGCGACCGCGAGACCGUGAUAGAGCUCCUUCUAACGUGGUUAGAAGUCGGACCGCGUCACAAUCCAUGCAGAUUUCGCCGCCACCCACGCCGGCAGAAGCAUUGGCGGUCGUGCAACUGCUCCUCGACUUUCCUCCUGCCGCGGAGAAGCUUGACGAGUGGAGAGUCACCAUUCGAAGCCUCAUCAGCUUUGCCAAUAAAUAUGAACCAUGACCGGCGGGACCCUCGUGUCGGCGCUCCGUCGAGCCGGCGCACGCCGGUGGUGGGAGGACCGCGGCUGCUGCGACCACGGUGCACUCUCCUCCCCUUGCCAGCAACAGCAGCCACCGGCUCGUCGGGCCGACGCCUGUGACAAUGUUUCCACAACGUCGUCCGACCCGCGAGCCCGCUGCGACCAACAUCAAGUUCUGAGCGAGCUCAGGAGGACACUCGGACCACCAUCGAGCGGCAGCGGGAAGCGUGCCAUCAGUCUGGGGCCCACUAUGGACCGCCCAACGCAGGGGGGGCUCCGGCGACCUACCUUACGAGGUGGGUUGUCCACCCUUUACCCGUGAGCUGCGGCAGUUCAAGUGGCCCACCCACCGCAUGUUCAAGCCUGAGGUUGAAGAGAAGUACAACGGCAAGACUCACCCGUCGGAGUUCCUCAGCAUCUACACUAUCGCGAUGCAAGCUACCGGGGCUCGCGACAAGGUGCUUGCCAACUACUUUCCGUUGGCGCUUAAGACCAACGUCAUGUCAUGGUUGAUGCACCUGCCAGUGGAUUCCAUCUCUUCCUGGUCGGAUCUGUGCCACGAGUUUGUUGGCGCCUUUACCAGAGGCCACCAAGCUCCUGGCCAGGCAAAUGAUUUGCAUGUCAUCCCCCAGAAGGACGACGAGACCCUGCACAAAUACAUACAAAGGUUCAGCCGUGUGCAGUACAACAUCCCAGAUGUUCACCCCACCGCUGUCAUUAGUGCAUUCCAUCAGAAUGUGCGCAACCGCAAGAUGCGUGAAGAGCUGGCGAUGAACAAGGUUAAGGAUGUAGCCGAGCUUUAUGUUCUAGCUGAUAUAGGUGCGCUCGGGCUGAAGAAGGAAGGAAGUACCCCGGCGAGGACGCGGGCGCGGAAACCGACUCCAUGGAUGAAGAUGCCGUUGCCCCGGCAAAGAAGGGUCGACGCCGCAAUAGGAAGUGUAAGGGCAAGACCGUGCUUGCCAUUGAGGGAUCCGGCAACCCCGGCGCCGCCAAGAAGGCCAAGGCUGACGACCACGGCAAGGAAGUUGCCGGGUGCGCCAUCUGCCGGGCUUUGGCGGCUGCCAACAAGCAGUACUGCAAGAUCCAUCGCACCAAGGGCCAUGACCUCCAGAACUGCCAACAGGUUGAGCUGCUUGCGGAGAAGUAGAAAGCUGAAUAUGAAAUGCGGGACAAGGAGAAGGGUCAGGAUGGUGCCGUGGGGUCCGGCAAGGAGCGUGUCAGCCAGGGAGGUCACUGCGGCAAAGAUAAUCAACAAGAGAGGCCCGCUCGGGGCCGUGAUAAGAAAGAGGGGGACGAUGACCAUGAUGGCGAUGACGAGUCCACCAAGCAUGAGUUCUAGAAGGCCACGGAUUCCAUGUGCGUCAACGGUGGUGCCUCGUUUCACACCUCUCACCACCAGCUGAAGCAGUGGGCGCGUGAAGUCACUGCGGCAGAGCCAUUGUUCGAUGCCCAGACGCCACUGAAGUGGUCCAGCACACCUAUCAUUUUUUACACCGAGGAUCGAUAUCACCCCGAUCGCACAACUGCGGUCGGGUGCUUGCCGUUGUUGGUUUCACCAACGAUAAGCAACCUCAAGGUGACAAAAGUGCUAGUUGAGGGUGGGGCCGGUUUGAACUUGAUCCCGCCCGCCGUGAUCAAGAGACUACAGAUCCCUGAUGGAGAUCUCGAGGAGACUGGCACGUUUCAAGGGGUCAACCCGGGGAGGAGUCAGCCGAAGGGUAAGGUCACGUUGCCCGUUACAUUUGGGGGCGAGCUGAAUUAUAGGAUGGAGAAGAUCGUUUUUGAUGUCGCCAAGAUCCCCUUGCCCUGUAAUGGGAUCCUUGGCCACCCGGCACUGGCCAAGUUCAUGGCGGCGUCACAUUACGCCUACAACACGUUGAAGAUGCCCGGGCCAAUGAGCAUCAUCACCGUCCCUCCGACAAGAAGGACGCUCAUCUGUGCCGACCAACUUUAGCGGGAGGCAGUUGCAGCAACUGCCGCCAAGGCACUUGCUCCUGCCGCUGAAGCCCAGGAAGGGAAGAGAACUGGCAAGACCUCCUGCACCCACUCCGGCAAGCGCGCCUCUUCGGAGUGCUGCACUCCCGUCGAGGGCGUGCCAGAGAGCUCCACCGGCAAGAGCAAGAAAUCCAAGGCAGCACCACCUGAGACCAAGAAGGUGCCCAUCAAGGAGGACGGCACGGGCGGGGAUUUUACUAUAAGAUCCACCCUUGACAGUAAAUAGGAAAGCGCGCUCGUCGCCUUCCUGCGGGCGAAUGUCAAUUUGUUUGUGUGGCAAGCACCGGACAUCCCCGGCGUUCCCAGGGAGUUGAUUGAGCACCAUCUUGAUGUCUGUCCUCAUGCGCGGCCUGUCAAGCAGAAGGUCAGGAAGCAAGCUUUGGAACGAAAAGAAUUCAUCGUCGAGGAGAUCAGGAAGUUGGAGGCAGCAGGCUUGGUCAGAGGAGUGCUCCACCCCACGUGGUUGGCGAAUCCAGUGGUGGUGCGCAAGGCAAAUGGGAAAUGGAGGCUGUGUAUUGACUAUACAUAUAUCAAUAAAGCCUGUCCAAAGGAUCCUUUCCCUCUGCCACGCAUUGACCAGAUAGUGGACUCCACUGCUGGGUGUGACUUGCUGUCAUUCCUCGACGCCUACUCAGGAUACCACCAGAUCUUCAUGAUGAAGGAAGACAAAUAAAUGACUGCGUUCAUCACCCAUGUGGUAUGUACUGUUUUGUACGGAUGCCUUUCGGGUUGAAAAGCAUUGGUUCGAUAUUUUCCCGAGCAGUCCAAAUUGGUUUUGAGCCAUAGCUGCAUAGAAAUAUGGAAGCUUAUAUGGACGAUAUAGUGGUCAAAACCAAGGACAAGGCUACGCUCGUGCAGGAUCUGGAGGAAACAUUUGCAAACCUACGCAAGAUCAACCUCAAGCUCAAUCCAGAGCAGUGCGUGUUCGGCGUUCCGUCCAGCAAGCUUCUUGGUUUCUUUGUGUCUCAACGUGGAAUCGAAGCAAAUCCCGACAACAUCAAGGCGAUUGAGCAAAUUGAGGCACCAAGACGGGUCAAGGAUGUCCGUAGACUUUCCGGCUGCGUUUUUGCUCUAAGUAGGUUCAUCCCCAAAUCUGCUGAGCGCGCCCUCACCUUUUUCAAAGUUUUGAAAAAGGCGGGUCCAAUGAAAUGGACUCCGGAGGCAGAGGCAGCGCUGCAAGAUCUGAAGAGGUAGCUCUCCUCCACGCCAACACUGGUCACGCCUAAGCCACAAGAGCCGUGCUACCGUAUCUAGCGGCAACGAAUCAAGUGGUUAGUGCUGCACUGCUGGCGCAGGGGAACUUGAGGAAGAAACAGCGGUAGCGGCCGAGCCGUCGGAUGAUGUGCCAAGGCAUUCCCCAGCACGGCCUGAUAUCGGCAAGGUGGGACCCCCGGCAAGGCCUGAUCCCGGCAAGAUAGAGUCUGCGCAAGUAGGCGAAGUUGAACAGAAGAAGAAGGUGGUGCAGCACCCGGUUUAUUUUGCCAGUUCCCUCUUGCAGGGGGCUAGAUCAAGAUAUUCUAGUAUGCAGAAGCUACUUUUCGACCUCCUCAUGUCCUCGAGAAAGCGGCGCCACUAUUUCCAAGCACAUGAGAUCACCGUCGUCACCCUCCCUUUAAAGUGAAUCUUGCACAACCCAGAUGCGACUGGGAGGAUUGUGGAGUGGGCGUUGGAGCUGUCAAGCUUUGGCCUCAAGUUUGAAAGUACUUCAACGAUCAAGAGCCGGGCCUUGGCAGAGUUCAUAGCAGAAUGGACCGCAACGCCCGACGAAGAGAUUCAAGAGACCACCCUUCCCGGUAAGGAGAUGUCCGUGAUUGGGUUAUGUACUUUGCUGGAGCUUUCCCACUGCAAGGUGCUGGUGCCGGCAUGCUACUCGUCACACCCACUGGAGAGAGCCUCAAGUACGUAGUCCAGAUGCACUUUCACUUGGAAAAAUCAACGAACAACAUGAUGGAGUAUGAGGGAUUGCUUGCCGGUCUCAGGAUCGCAGCAGACCUCGGAAUCAGGAAGCUCAUCAUCAGAGGUGAUUCGCAGCUAGUCGUCAAGCAAGUUAACAAGGAUUACCAGAGCCCGUUGAUGGAGGCCUAUGUGGAUGAAGUGAGGAAGUUGGAAGAGCGUUUUGACGGUCUACAAGCAGAGCAUGUUCCCCGAGCAGAGAACAGCAUUGCCGACGACCUGUCGAAAUGCGCUGCCCUCAAGUUGCCUGUGGAACCAGGUACCUUUGUGCUUCAAUUAACUCAGCCAUCCGUUGAGCCGUCAGUAGGACAGAACAAGCGAAGGAAGGCAGGCCCCGGCAAGUACUUUCCCACUGAGCUCCCAGGAGCCGCGGGCAAGGAAGUUGCCGGGUAUCCCAAGCUUGCCGAGGAGCAGCAACCUCCGGCAGGGCACCAGGCCCUGACCGUAGAGGCAGCUGCCCCUACGGCCGAGAAUGAGCCUUUAGUCCUUGCCGUCGAGCCCCAGGCUCUGGCAUGGGCGCAGCGCACCGUCCGUUUCCUCCAAACGGGGGAACUCCCUGAGGAAUAGGAAGAAGCAGAGAAAGUAGCCCGUCGGUCCAGCACGUACCAGUUUGUGGAUGAUACCCAAUACAGAAGGAGACCAAACGGUGUGAAAUUGAAGUGCAUUCCUCAGGAGGACGGACUGGAGUUGUUGGCGGAAAUACAUGGAGGCAUAUGUGGCUCUCACAUAGGAUCAAGGGCCCUUGCCGGCAAGGCAUUCUGGCAAGGUUUCUUUUGGCCCACUGCCCGCCAGGAUGCAACUGCACUAGUAACCAAGUGUGAAGCGUGUCAGUUCCAUUCAAAGAAGCUCCAUCAGCCAGCUCAAUCUCUUCAGACAAUCCCUCUCUCCUGGCCAUUUUUGGUCUGGGGGCUCGACAUACUGGGGCCCUUUCCCCGUGCUGUCGGGGGCUUUGAGUACUUGUACGUUGCAAUCGAGAAGUUCACAAAGUGGCCAGAAGUGGAACCGGUGAGAAAGGUGACAGCACAAUCAGCUGUCAAGUUCUUCAAGGGACUAGUAUGCCGUUUUGGUGUGCCAAAUAGAGUCAUCACCGACAACGACACACAGUUCACAAGCCGCACCUUUAUGUAGUAUAUUCGAAACCUCGUCGGCAAGGUUUGUUUUGAUUCUGUUGCUCAUCCCAGAAGUAAUGGCCAGGCUGAGAGGGCGAACGCAAAGGUGUUGUGAGGACUCAAGACCAGGAAUUUUGACAGGCUACACAAGUGCGGAAGGCGCCGGAUUGAUGAGUUGCCAACUAUUCUUUGGUCGAUCAGAACGACGCCAAAUCGAGCCACUGGCCAGACACCCUUUGCCCUGGUAUACGGGGUAGAAGCAGUUCUCCCCACGGAACUCAUAUACGGGUCACUGAGGGAGUCCUGGACAAAGGGGUCCUCGGGCGUCCGGCCUGUUAGCCAUGGGCCGGACUGAUGGUCUAUGAAGAUACGCAGACCGAAGACCCUACCCGUGUCCGGAUGGGACUCUCCUUGGCAUGGAGGGCAAGCUUGGCGAUUAAAUAUGUAGAUUCCUUUCUUUGUACCGACCUUGUGUAACCCUAGAUCCUCCCGGUGUCUAUAUAAACCGGGGGGACUUAGUCCGGAGGGGGGAGAGACUCAUUACCAUAGUCAUACAGGCUAGACUCUUAGGGUUUAGCCAUUAUGAUCUCGUGGUAGAUCAACUCUUGCAAUACUCAUAUUCAUCAAGAUCAAUCAAGCAGGAAGUAUGGUAUUACCUCCAUAGAGAGGGCCCGAACCUGGGUAAACAUUGUGUCCCCUGUCUCCUGUUACAAUCGACCUUAGACGCACAGUUCGGUACCCCCUACCCGAGAUCCGCCGGUUUUGACACCGACAUUGGUGCUUUCAUUGAGGUUCCACUAUGCCGUCCCCAAAAGGUUUGAUGGCCCCUUCAAUCGUCAACAAUGAUGCUGUCCAAGGAGAAACCUUCCUCCCCGGACAGAUCUUCGUGUUCGGCGGCUUUGCACUAUGGGCCAACUCGCUUGGCCAUCUGGAGCAGAUCGAUAGCUACGCCCCUGGCCAUCAGGUCAGAUAUGGAAGCUUGAACUACGUCGCGGACAUCCGUGGAGACUUGAUUUUUGACGGAUUUGAGACCGCGGCGACCGCUCCUUGUCGCCACGAUGAACAUGAGUUAAAUCUGUCAUCGGACCGCAUCCAGGAGAUAGCUUCCGUAACUGCUCUGGCUCUAGAUCCGGAGCAGACCGCGCCAUCCGAGGACGGGAAGCUCAACCCCGCCAUGGAGGUCACAGAUUCUGCAGCGUUGGAGCCGCACAUAGACUUAACCUCACGCAAUAUCUGUGUCACCGGAACUCCGGACUCGUCUCCGGCUAUAAGUUCCGAACCAUGUGCGUCCGCAGAGGCCGAGCUUGAUCAGUUAUCGAUCUUCGAAUUCAGUGCCGCAGACAUCUUCUGACACUCGCCCCUCGGCCUUGUGCUGAACUCGUUAAAGAAUCUUUCCUUGGCGAGGGACUCACAGCCGAAUUAUGUCCGGUUUGAACAGGAGGCUGACGAUGGGGGAGAAUUUCGCUUCCCACCCGCCACCCACUUCAUAGCCACUGUCGAGGACUUAACCGACAUGCUUGAUUAUGGCUCCGAAGACAUCGACGUUAUGGACAACAAUGCUGAGGAGGAGCAAAGGCAAAACCCGCCAUUUACUGGACGCUGGACGACCACCUCUUCGUAUGAUGUGUACAUGGUGGAUACACCCAAAGCAACCAACGACGAUGACAAAGAAAAUACAGUUGAGAGUAAACCUCCUGAGACACAGCACAAACGUCGGCGUCCUCGGCGCCGCUCUAAGUCACGUCGUUCAAAAGACAGCAAUACUAGCACCGGAGAAAAUAAUACUCCGGACGAUGCCGAAAACAAUGAAGACCCUGUUGAGGUAACAUCCGAACAGGAGGAACAAGAAAACAGGCAAGUUAGCCCCGAUGAACAGGCCAUGCCCAACGACUCGUAGGACGGUAGUUAUCGUCCGCUCUCCGAGGAUGAGGAAUGCCUCGGCAACGAGGAUUUCAUUGUGCCCGAGGAACCUCUUGAGCAGGAGCACUUCAAGCGGCAGCUAAUAGCCAUUGCAAGGAGCCUGAAAAAGAAGCAGCAGUAGCUUCAAGCUAACCAAGAUCUGCUCGUCGACAGGUGGACUGAUGUCCUGGCAGCCGAGGAAUACGGCCUCAGACACCCAGCCAAAAGUUACCCGAAGAGCAGAUUGCUACCUCAGUUCGAUGAAGAAGCGCCAGAGCCCAUACCUCCCUUGCAUAAUGCGGCCGAUCGACCACUACGCGGUCGGGAUAGUGCGGCGGACCGACCACCAUGCGGUCGGGAUAGAGCGGCAACUCAGGCCGAACAGCAGCCCGCCCCACCGCCAUGUAAAAAUAGAGACAAAACAGUUCGGGGUCAUACAUACGACCUUCGGCAGGACCUGGAUAGUAGAGCAGGAUAUACCAGAUCGAUUUACGGAUCGCGAGGAUGUUCCUCGACACGCGAUGAUGGCUACUUAUUCGGACGUGACAAACCUAGUCACGCCCGGGCCGACAACCGCAGACGGACUCCAUCAGAGCUACGUCGCGAUGCGGCCAGAUAUAGAGGCGCCGCACACCCUCUUUGCUACACUGAUGCAGUAAUGGAUCAUGAAUUCCCCGAAGGGUUCAAGCCCGUGAAUAUUGAAUCAUACGACGGGCAACUGAUCCCGCGGUAUGGAUCGAGGACUUUAUCCUCCACAUCCACAUGGCCUGCGGAGAUGACCUCCACGCUAUCAAAUACCUCCCACUAAAGCUUAAAGGACCAGCUCGGCACUGGUUAAACAGCCUGCCAGAAAAUUCUAUCGGCAGCUGGGAGGACUUGGAAGAAGCCUUCCUCGACAACUUCCAAGGUACAUAUGUCCGGCCACCAGACGCCGAUGACUUAAGCCACAUAGUUCAACAGCCUGGAGAGUCAGCAAGGAAAUUCUGGACUAGGUUCCUAACUAAAAAGAACCAGAUCGCCGACUGUCCGGAUACCGAGCGGCCUUUAAACAUAGCAUCCACGACGAAUGCCUCGCCCGCCACCUCGGCAAAGAAAAGCCAAAAUCUAUGGCAGCCCUUACGGCACUCAUGACCCGCUUUUGCGCGGGUGAGGAUAGUUGGCUGGCUUGUAGUAAAAACACAGCCAGCGAGGCAGGCCCCUCUGAGGUCAAAAACAACAACGGCAAGCUCCGACGUAACAGACACAAACGCCGAAGCAAUGGUGAUAAUACCGACGACACUACAGUCAACGCCAGAUUGAGCGGCUCCAAGUCCAACCAACAGAAGAAACCGUACGAAAGAAACAAUCAGGGACCAUCCAGCCUAGACCGCAUACUCGAUCGUCCGUGCCAGAUACAUGGCACCCCAGACAAACCAGCCAAUCAUACCAACAGAGAUUGUUGGGUUUUUUAACAGGCCGGCAAAUUAAAAGCCGAGAACGAGGAAAAGGGAUCGCAAAGCGAGGACGAUGACGAGGAGCCCCGGCAACUGAACACAGGGGGGCAAAAGAAGUUUCAUCUCAGGUCAAAACAGUAAACAUGAUAUAUGCUACACACAUCCCCAAAAGGGAACGCAAGCGCGCACUCAGGGACGUCUACGCGAUAGAGCCAGUCGCCCCAAAAUUCAAUCCAUGGUCGUCAUUCCCGAUCACCUUUGAUCGUCGGGAUCAUCCGACUAGUAUCCGUCAUGGCGGUUGAGCCGCGCUAGUCCUCGACCCAAUCAUUGAUGGAUUUCACCUAACGCGCGUCCUUAGGAACGGGGGUAGCAGCCUCAAUUAGCUCUAUCAGGAUACAGUGCGCAAAAUGGGCAUUAAUCCAUGAAACCCACCAAGACUACCUUCAAAGGAGUCAUACCAGGUGUAGAGGCCUGCUGUACGGGCUCAAUCACACUAGAGGUUGUCUUCGGAUCUCCGGACAAUUUCCGAAGCGAGGAGUUAAUCUUUGACACGUCCCCUUUCGCAGCGGCUAUCACGCACUGCUCGGACGGUCCGCAUUCGCUCGAUUCAAUGCAGUGCCACACUAUGCUUAUCUCAAGCUCAAGAUGCCCGGUCCACAUGGCGUCAUAAUGGUCAAUGGAAAUACGAAACGCUCCCUCCGUACAGAAGAGCACACAGCUGCCUUAGCAGUAGAAGUACAGAGCGGCCUUCUCAAGCAGAACCUUAAUUCGGCUGCCGAGCCCACGGACACCGUUAAGAGGGUCCGAACUACCCUGCAGCAGGACAGCUCGGCUCGUUAGGAGCUCGACUAGCAAUUCGGCCUCCGUCUCAGUCCCGGUCAAGUGGUGGCAUUCGUACCACGCGUACAUAACUACGCACUCAAAAUUCCAUGGGCAUCGACGAAGGCAUAGCUAGUUUGUGAUCCACAGUAUGGCUCAACCAGCACCGGAUACACACAAACUUUCACUUUUAUUCGUUUCCUUUUCAGGUUUCAAUCCCGCAGGCCCCAUCUGAUGGCCUGAUCACCGGUCCUCUUGAAGGAUAAACACACCUAGACGGCAAGAAACACAGACGUUUGGGGGACUUUCAAGGUGGUUUCAUUAACGAUCACUCUACCUGUUUUUCAGGACCCACAUGCAGCUCUCCCUUGGUUUUUGGGCAUGUUAAAUAGCCUGUUGCUUAUCGCACUACUUGUAUCAAUGCGCCUUGAUGUAUUAAUCAAAUUACAAUGGAAACAGUUCGCGGCCCGAGCUUUAGGGCCCCAGCUUAUCACCUUUGCACCCUUUCUGUUUUCUUUUCUUUUUUUCUCUCCUAUGGGUAACCUUAUCAGGUAGCACCCGUACACUUUGGUACGUUUCAUAUUUGCCAUGGGCUUCACAGCACCCCGCACUACGGCAACAAAAGUCCAAACACUUUUUAUAAUAUAGUUCGGCACCCCGAAUUUAACAAUAUAUGCAUUGGCUCCGAAUCAUGUCUUUGGUCAAUAGUUGGGUUGCCCGGCUCCUGUGCUUGCUACCUUAUGUUCCGCUAUAUCGGCUAAGGUAGUAAAGGGAGAACUACUGCGAUUCGGCCUUGGUUUAUCGAAAGGAGCACCUCAGUAGAGAAUGCCGAAAACUGACUGCCAUGAUGCGGCGAGAGCCGGUCAGCUCUUCGGAGGUCGCAAAUCGUUGGAGAUUUCUUUCGCAUUACGCGAACGAUCGGUACUUCCAAAUCAGGCACUUAUAGCACUCUAGUUCGGAUACUAGGGUCUAUGCCAACAUUUUUAUUAUCAAACUCCUAUGGCUAAGUGAGGGCGUUAAAGCCGCAUAGUCUGAUUACCUGGUUCGUUGCGCUAAACAACUCCUUGAAGGAACAUAUAAUUGGAUCAAGAGUGUUUAGAUUCCAUCCCGAACACCUCCGUACUACCUACGAGGGGGCAGAAGCCGAUGACUGGCCAACCCUCAGAUUUCAUACAACACUGCCGCACAGGAGGUAAUUUUUUUAACAUAACAAACAUUAUAUUACAAACCGAAUUUGUUUUAUCAUACAAGGUAGAGGCAACUCGAAUACAUUCAUUCCAAGAUAAUGUCCUGCGAACACUGCGUCGCUACAAUACGAGACCCCUCCAGGACGUCUCCAAAAUACCACUCGGGUGUGCGGUGCACCUUGCCCUCGGGUGGCCCCUCGGUCACAAUCUUGAUGGCGUUCAUCUUCGCCCACCAGACCUUGACGCGGGCGAAGGCCAUACGCGCACACUCGAUGCAGACGGACCGCUUGACGGUGUCCAGCCGAGGACAGGCAUCCACCAGCCGCUUCACAAGGCCGAAGUAACUACUGGGUAUAGCUUCGGUUGGCCACAGCCGGACUAUUAAAUCCUUCAUGGCCAGUUCGGCCACCCUGUGCAGCUCGACCAGCUGUUUUAGCUGAUCGCUGAAGGGCACCGGAUGUUCUGGCGCAAGAUAUUGCGACCAGAACAGCUUCUCCAUGGAGCUCCCUUCUUCGGCUCGGAAGAACUCCGGAGCAUCGGCCACACUACGUGGCAGAUCAGCAAAAGCCCCUAGAGAACUCCGAAUCCGGGUUAGUUAAAGAUACUUCCUCUUCACAUACUUGCUUUGCAUACUAAAUGCCUUACCCGCCGCGAUCUUCCUGGCGUCCUGGAUCUCCUGGAGGGCGCCCUAGGCCUCAUUCCGGGCCGUCUCCACGCUCUGACGAGCCUUGGCGAGUUCGGUCUCUUGAGCCGACGCAUCAUGCUCCAAGGUCUCGCACUUCCUCACCGCGUCCUGGAGCUCUUGCUCGACCUCGUUGACCCUGGCCUUGAGCUUCUUACGGGCGGCCUGCUCCUUGACAGCCUUCCCCUCAGCUUCGGUCAGGGCCUUUUUUAGGGCCUCGACCUCGGUCGUCGCUCGUAUACAUAUCAUGACACUUCAGUCAAUAAAUAUCAUUUUACUCUUUUCGAAUAUAUAACGGGUUAUUACAUACCUUGCUUCUCUUAGAGCUGCCUCCUCACCUGGUCGAGCUCCUCCUCGGCCUACUCCAGUCUUUGCUUCAGUCCGGAGACUUCGGCACUAUGCGAGGCCGCGGCCAGCAGCGACGCCUGCGUAUUCAUUUCAGACAUAUUUAGUAGUUUCCUGCAAUAAGGGGAUUAUCAUCUGUCCGUCUUUUCUUUCCGAACACCGGACAAUGUCUCAGGGGCUACUGUCUGUAUUGGGAUCUUCUCUUUUUUCGUCGCUUACCUCAAAACCUGUUAGCAGGCUGCUGCAGGCUUCGGUUAGUCCGCUCUUGGCGGACUGAACCCUUUCAAUUACCGUGCCCAUAAGAACACGGUGCUCAUCCAUAAUGGAAGCGCCUCACAGCGCUUCCAGCAGAUUAUCCGCUGCCCCUGGUUGGACAGGGGUCACCGGCGGAAUAGGCAUACCCCUUCUUUCGAAGGAGGUUGCAUGCCGGAUUCCGGAGCCGUAUCGGUCUCCGGAAUCAAGUUCGGCUGAGGGCCGAACUGAAUAUGGCCCUCAUCACCAGUAUCCAUGGGGAUUGGCUCCCCCUGGUGUCCGGCAACGGAGGCUUCACCUUCUGGCGCCUCCUGAACCUCUCCUCGGCCUGGGAAAGUCCUUCAAGACAGCACCUCGGCGUCGCCCUUGGCCUUGGGGGAGUGAGCGGUCGGCGAUGAAUCGCUGGCCAUCGCCUUUGAAUCCAACGAACCUCUUGACGAGGAUCGCUGGGAGCUGUCGUGGGCCGACUUCAAUAGCAUAAUUAACCAUGUCAAUACAAUGAAGAGGAGAGGCUCGAUUUAUGAGUAUGUAUGAGUCUUAGCACUUACGAUGUAGCCCGAGGCUUAGUGCGGGGGCGUCGCUCCGGACUGCUGUCGACAUCCCACGCGGAGUUAUCCGCAAGGGAGCCCUUCCCCUUCUUGGACGUCUCCGCCUCCAGAUUCGUGGAGGCCGCCCUCUUCUUCUUUUCCUCAUCAGGGGGAGGGUUGUUCUCCUCCUCCUUCUCGUCGUCGUCGUCCUCAGCAGCGGAGGCAAGGGUCACUUCGUCUUCGGACGUCACGUCCGAAGCACCCUUGCGACAGGGGCCACCUUUGGCCCCCUUGGCCUUCUUCUUGGCCUUCUUUUUCGGCGGCUGAUAGGGCGCCGGAACCAGCAUCUUCGCCAGGAGCGGGAUGACUGGCUCUUCGGGCAGCGGAGCCAAACUCUGGAUCCGCUCCGCUCUCUCCGUCCACACCUGAAAAAAUACAGCAAAGAUUAGGCAUCCUCCUUGAAUAGACAAGUAGAAGGUACGCCUUAAGAAAAGGAGAACUUACCGCAUUGGCGGAUGGGUGUGAUCGUGCCCACGGUCCGAAUCUAUGACCAGCGGCUUCUUGUUGCCCUUGAAGAGCAACUUCCAGGCAUCUUCAUGAGUAGUUCUGAAGAGCCCUCCUAGGGUCUGGUGCUUCUCCGGAUUGAAUUCCCAUAAAGGGAAGCUUUGGCUUUGGUAGGCGAGAAUCCGGCGAACCAGCAUCACCUGGAUCACGUCGACGAGCUUGAUGUUUUUAUCCACCAUACUCUGAAUGCGCAUUUGCAGCGCUAUCAGCUCGUCCGACGCAGACCAGUUGGGGCCCUUCUCCGUCGAGGAGGUGAGCCGCAUUGGAGAUCCGGCCUUAAAUUCGGGAGCCACUGCCCAAGUGGCGCCGCGUGGCUCUGUGAUGUAGAACCACUGCUUCUGCCACUCCUUGACAGUCUCCACAAAAGUGCCUCUGGGCCAAGUAACGUUGGGCAUCUUGCUCACCAUGGCGCCUCCGCACUCCGCCUGCUGACCAUCCACCACCUUCGGCUUCACGUUGAAGACCUUGAGCCAUAGGCUGAAGUGGGGCUGGAUGCGGAGGAAGGCCUCGCACAUGACAAUGAAUGCCGAGAUGUUGAGGAAGGAGUUCGGGGCUAGAUUAUGGAAAUCUAGCCCGUAAUACUACAUCAGUCCGCGGACGAAGGGGUGAACUGGAAACCCCAAUCCGCGGAUGAAGUGAGGGAGGAAAACUACCCUCGCUAUAGGCUUCGGGGUGGGGAUGACUUGCCCCUUGGUAGGCAGGCGAUGGACGAUUCCUUUCGCCAGAUACCCGGCCGCACGAAGCUGGGUGAUGUCCUUCUCCUUGACGGAGGAGACCAUCCACUUGCCUUGGCCUCCGGAUCCGGACAUGAUUGAGUGCUUCCUUGAGGAGGAGAAGAUGGGAACUUGAGCUGGAGCUCGAGAAUGGAAGGACAGAGAGGAAGAGAAGGCGUGGGUAAAGAAAGAGAAUCCUUAUCUCCUUAUAAAAGCAGUGAAUAUUGAACGCCUCCCCACUCACCUUAAAACUCACCUCUUUACAAGGGCUGUGUAAACAACACGUUGGGUUACCCACCCCCGUAUUGAUGAGAAUCCCGCAAUAAGGGGACACGAUCUCUGCUUCGACAAGACGUGCCAAUGGCAACCGCGUCUCGAAACAUGGAGGAACAGACGAAAAACGGUUCGAAAUUAUGACCGGGCGAACGUGAUGUCAUGUUGCAAAAAGUUGUCAACAGAUUGGACUCGUGGAGUGUUAUAUUCUUUGCGGUUCUGUGUGGUGUGCGUGUUACAGGUUCAUACACGAUCAGUGCGUCCGAAGACUAUCUUGGAGUUCGGAAGGAGGAACCCGCCUUGCAAUGCCGAAGACAAAUCUGCGUGCUGGAUACCUCAUCAUUGAAGCCAGGUUCAGGGGCUACUGGGGGAGUCCUGGACUAAGGGGUCCUCGGGUGUCCGGCCUGUUAGCCAUGGGCUGGACUGAUGGGCUAUGAAGAUACGAAGACCGAAGACCCUACCCGUGUCCGGAUGGGACUCUCCUUGGCGUGGAGGGCAAGCUUGGCGAUCAAAUAUGUAGAUUCCUUUCUUUGUAACUGACCUCGUGUAACCCUAGAUCCUCCCGAUGUCUAUAUAAACCGGGGGACUUAGUCCGGAGGGGGGAGAGACUCAUUACCAUAGUCAUAUAGGCUAGACUCUUAGGGUUUAGCCAUUACGAUCUCGUGGUAGAUCAACUCUUGUAAUACUCAUAUUCAUCAAGAUCAAUCAAGCAGGAAGUUGGGUAUUACCUCCAUAGUGAGGGCCCGAACCUGGGUAAACAUUGUGUCCCUUGUCUCCUGUUACCAUCGACCUUAGACGCACAGUUCAGGACCCCCUACCCGAGAUCCGCCGGUUUUGACACCGACAGUCACAUCGAGUGCUCGCUUAUGAUGAGCUUGAGAAAGAGCAGUUGCGCCAAGACGAUGCGACGCUCGUCGAGGAAGAUCGUCUUCGGGCUCCUGUGCGAGCCGCUCGCUAACAGCACCUUGCGCCGCUACCAUAGCCGGAAGGUUCAUGCCCGAAGCCUUGAGGAAGGCGACCUUGUUCUUCGGCGAAUCCAAUCCGCCAAGAAUUCCAACAAGUUGACGCCAAAGUGGGAAGGCCCUUAUCGGGUAAUACGAGUCACCAGGCCCGACAUAGUCCGCCUGGAGACUGAAGAUGGUAUCCUAGUGAGUAAUUCCUGGAACAUCGAGCAUCUUCGCAAGUUUUACCCAUAAGGCUCGGUUGCCGCCCCCCGGCAAACCACCUUUUUGUACAAGCCUUGUCGGCGAGGCAUGUAACCCUUUGUACAAAGCCAGGCGCAGACCCUGAGCAACAGAUGAAUAAAUGAAGCGCUGGCGCCCUAAGUUUUAGCAUGCAUGUUAGGUUGAGUCUCCCUCUGGUAGGGUUGAUAGUGCUUAGCGGCUACUAACCCCUAGCAUAGAGGUUGAGUUUGUGUCUUUGCGUCCCUUCCAGUCCUUCUUGAUUCACAGGCUACACGGGCGCUUCAGCGGAACUUUUUGGGGAAAGGAGACGAGUUGGCACCCCGGCCCCGACAAGCCAUUCUUGCCGGGGGCAACACAUUCAGAUAAGUCUUUUUCCCAGCCACGUACUUCCGUAUGAAGCUUGAACGUAUGAACCCUCGCUUGAUCCCAUGCCACCAUGCUCCCUCCUCCCUAAAUCCGAAUCCCUUUCGGGUUGGAACUUGAUUGUAGUUGCGGUGGAAGGGAGACAGACGAAGGGCCCAAUCCUACUUUUCCACUACCCUCGCCAAGGGCUUGAGUGUAGUCGUGGUAUAAGGUGGGAGGACGGCAAGGCCUGUUGCCGGGCGACGUUGUUUACUUAAAGAAAAACAAGGAUUCGUUCCUUGGUGUGGGCCUCGCUCGCGCACAAAAAACCUGGCAAACCCCCUUUUCAUUGAUACGUUGAUUAAACAAGUACAGUUCAUACGGAAUGUGAACAUGAGCAAGGGGUUGCAAAGUCUAAAUUCGACAAGUGCGCGUAGGCUUAAUAUCUAGAAAAAGAUAAGAUGCAGGUAAUCCGUUUCUUGUCCCUCUUCUCAGGAGGCGGAUUAAGAUAGCGGCAGGGCAAAAGGAGUGGCUAGGCGAGAUACGAGCAGCAGAUGGCACCAAGUGAACGUCCCGGCAGCCGGCCAGAAGAGGGCUGGUGAUGACGGUGCCGGGGAAGAAGCCGAAAGAUGAGGCAGCGGGCCGACAAUACGAGACGAGGGCGUCGAUGCCAUCGUACUCCCACUUGACGGCCCGCCACCCGCCUUCUUCGUCUUAUCCAGCCUUCUAGCGCCAGCCGCCAGAGGCAACGACCCCGAGAAGUUCAAGGAGCUGGCUCGAGGAGCCGCGCCAAGAACUACCCCCCGGCAAAUCACUCUGUCGGGGAGAAGGCCAGGUGCAGAUGGUGCUGCUGUCGGCGUCGCCUAUGGACGGGGCGUCCGACGUCUAGUCGGACCCGUCCCCGUCGUCCUCCCCACCACCCCCCUCCUCGUCACCGUCGCACGAGGAGGAGCUCUCGUCAUCGGUCAAGCUCUCCGCGGAACACCCUAACCUGAUUCCCGAGCGCCCGAAGACCUUGACGGAGAGCAGGUCGCUCUUCACUAAUUUGAAGUGGGGAACGUGCCCCUUCAUCAAGCAGUGGGUGCGUGCGAAGGUUUUCCAACGCCGACGAAGGAGCAUUACAUGAGGGACGGGGAACCUUGUGUUCACCCACAUGUCGCCGUUACAACAACCCUUCAUGUGGAGCCUCAACCUCGGCGGUUGGUCGAUCUCCAGCACCCUCGCAAACGCCUCGGGAAGACGAAGGCGGCUAUGCGGCGGCUCGCGCAACUACAAGAUGAACUCCAACGCUGUGUCUCCAACAUGGCCGCUCGACGAAGCAUGAGGAGAUGGUGGCGGAGACGGCGGCGUUGCGGGUGUCCCCCUUCUGCCCCCACCUCUGCCUCGACCACUUCGCCGAUCGCGACUCCGUCCGGCGCCUCCGCCUUGAGCGUCUGACUCUUCCUUAACCGCCGUGGCCCUCUGGCGGGAGGAAGACCUAGUCGGCUCCACAGAAGGACGGCCGCGGCCGUGCCCUCUCGGCAUGGCAGUCGAUGGAGAAUGGAGAAGAAGGGUAGAAACGAGAGGAUGCCUCUCCUCCUUCUCCUGGUCCCCUUCUUAUAGCCAAGCAAAGAAGGCUGAAGACUGGCUCUACAUCUCCGAAGAGCCCUUUCAAGUCCGGCUUAUUAAAGCCAUUUGAUAACAAGCAAGGGCAUCGACCGCCCUCCCAACGCCAAUCAAAGGCGCAUGGGUAUCGGCCAUGGAGCGCCUUCCCAUACCCUACACAUCCUCCACCUACCCCAUGCCAUGCAUGCAGCAUACGUGACGAAAAAGGCGGGCGUGGUGGGAAACAUGGAACAGCGGUUCCAAGAUUAGCAAAGGCACAGAGGGUAAAUGAGCAGCACCCCUGCUUUUCCCUCUUUUUUAUGGGGAAGAUGUGGGCCGCCUCUUUACUAUUCGCCGCAGGGUGACGCAAGCACGCUGCAAGAGUCCCAUGCAUGAUCCCCACGUUACGCACUCAAUGCGGGUCGUGGGGAAGCGCAAGGAGUUACCACAGUUAAAACCCUGCCACGCGUGCCCGCGCACCGUUCUGGGCCUAGCCCAACAACGCUUUACGCUUAUGUGUGGCCCAGGCCCGAAGGCUCCUGUCGGUGUACAAAAGUAGGGGCCUUUCUGUACCCCUUUACUUGUGCGCGGGCAGUUGUAGCCACACCUGCGGCCACGCUUGGCGGGGCAGAGGAAGCGAAGAUACAGGACUGCCAGGGCAGUGCUCAACCCAGAGGCGCAAAGAGCAAAGGGACAAGAUGGAUUUCCCUCGGCGAGAGCCUUGUCGGGGCGACCUACAUAGCCCCGACAAGAGCCUUGCCGAGGCAACUUGCCCAACACCAGCAAGGCCGCCACCCUUGAGCCUGAGAGUUCCGACACCAUCGACAACGUCGAGACCAAGACUCAGGGGCGCCUGUGUGGUGGCAUGCAGAUCUUUGUGAGGAACAAAGGCCUGCGAAUCUGGAGAGAAACUAGAAGGCGAAGACCCCCGGCAAGAGCCUUGCCAGGGACAGGCGGAGACCCCCGGCAAGAGUCUUGUCGAGGACAGAUGAAGAACCCCGGCAAGAUCCUUGCCGGGGACGCCCGCGAGACCCCGGCAAGAUCCUUGCCCGGGGCUUUUGCGGGGCCGAGGCCAGGCCCGCACUUACCAACGUUUUGCUGCCCCGCGCCCGUGCCGACGCGGCAAUCAGCCCGCCAACCAGGCAGGCGCCUGCAUGGCAGCAAGCAACCUCUAGGCCAACUAGACAAGCACCUGCGUGGUGGCAUGCAGAUCUUUGUGAAGACCCUGCCACCGCAGCAACGUAGCUGCCAGCCAGCCAGCGUGGCGCUGCAUGCCUCGUCAGCUUGGACGCGCGUCGAAGCAAGGGGAGGCGGCGAUGGACGGGACAAGCUUCUUUGUCGUCCCCAAUAAAGCAAUAGGACACGUAGGCGGCGCAUUAAAUGCGUUUGUCGCACGAUGUUAGGGAUAGACUUGUACACUGUAGACACUUCCCACCUCCUGUGUGCCACUGUGGCAACCCCUUUGACAUAUAAAAGGAGGCCCGAGGCGUACCGAGGAAGGAUUUCGGACUUUUUGAACUGGGCAUGCACCGCAGCUAGUUCAAUAGCUCAAGAACACCAAAUAUAUACACCAGAGCAGGACUAGGGUAUUACGCAUCGCAUGCGGCCCGAACCUGGGUAAAAAAUCCCCUCACGCUGAUCUUUCAGUCCCGCUCUUUGCACAGCUCUGCGCCCAGCCAACCGUAGUAGGGAUUCCCCGUGAUCCCAUAGGUGUUGUUUCCCCCGAUAGGGAGCCGUGGAGGACUCCCCUCCACCGACGUAGCGGAUUAGGUUGAGUAACCAUAGGGGCUCUGGUAUCUUAUAUAAGCCGAGGUUGAGCUAGUCGAUAGAGCACAUUAGAAUCUCUCGGUUCAGUGAGAUCUGCUCACUGAAACAUGGUAUUGGUAUAUUGGAAAUGCAACGCAUCAUUAUGGUAGAAAGAAAAGAUUUUUACACCAGGUUAUGUUUUAGUUGUUUCGCAAAACAAAAGAAGUUUUAGUAGAAUUGGAAGCAACUUUCAGUAACAUAGGAACCAAUUCUUGCUUGAAAAGGAAGCAAAUUGCAAGGCAGGAAAGAUAACAGCAUCUCUAGCAGAUUCCCUAAAACUCAUACUCCCUCUGUUCCUUUAUACAAGGUGUUUGGGUGUAGGGCUGCUAGCUACUGCCGCAUGUCGAGUGCGUACCUUCUGCUGCAGCUGCCUUCUGCUGUUGUUGGAACUUGUCCGGGUGAGGGAGACUGGCGCGCCAUCUGGCUGUCGGACAAUGACAGGUGGUCGGUUAGGCAUGUAGCUUGGCGGCCGGCGGCGAGUAAAAUUUCACCUGGGGAAAGGUGAAUCAUAGACUGAAGAGCUUUACAUUGGGUCACCUAAGAGUAAGAGUGCUUGCUGGGAUUUUAUUUUUUUGGGGCCAAUCUCUAUUCUCCUAUGGUAUAACGGUCAAACCAAAAUAUCAAGGGCGGGCCACGGCACAUCGGGCUUUUCUCGAAAUCACUAAUUAAGGAGCACUCUUUGCAACGGUCACUCCCACCUUCCCAGGUUGCGACAAGUGGUGUCACAACCUGGGAUUUUUUUUCUGUAGAUCCGUUUAUUCAAAAUGUUUUACCUCAUAAAUCGUGCGCCUAAAUCUUGAACCGUUUUCACCAUUGGAUUCCUUGCGUCGAGAUCUUCAAAACUACACCCUAUGUUGAUAGGUUGUAACGAACUUUUUUUCACGAAAAAAACAGGCGAAAAGACCAAAUCGGGAGCACUUUUUUUUACCUUUCUGAAGGCGGCACGACUGUGCCUCUCGCGGAAGCAAAUCCGUGCCUCCAUGAGAAAUAAACUCGUGCGUCUAGUGGAAGGAAAAAAAUUCCGAGAAGCUUGGCCAUGCGUCCCGCGGAAGGAAAAAAUGACAGAAAUCGCGUUUUUUCGUCUCCAGAGACACGGCCGUGCCUCUCGCGGAAGGAGAAAAAACCGCAUUUUUAUUCGUUUCCAAAAGGCACUCGCGAAAGCAAAACCGUGCCUCUCACGGAUGGAAAAAAAUCUGUUUCCGAGACUACCGUGAAAGCAAGACCGUGCCUCUCGUGAAAGGAAAAACACAUUUUUUCCGUUCCUCUAGCGGAAGCAAAACAAAUGAAAAUGAGUUUUUUCGUGUAAAUGUUUUGUCCAAAAGCUAAAAAACCAGGUGGAAAACCGAAAACCCAGAAAACAUCAUCUAAAAACCAAAAACAUGUGCGAAAAAAAAACAAAAAUCCGAAGGACACACACCCAUUGCGUGACACGUGACGGCGAGUGAACUCUCAGGCCACCCCAAGUGAUCCUUGGGAAGGCUCCCGAAGGAGUGCUCCGUCGUGAGUUGCUCACCUUUUUCCUCAAUUUCAGUAUAGGGGAUCUUGCAAAAAUGUAGGAUCAGCUUGACUUCCCAAAAUCUGGGAUUUGUUUUCACAAACCAUGCGAGCAGUUAUUAGGAAUUGUUUGGCUUCCUAAGAUCUCCCGUCAUGGCGUCCAUGCUCUCGGGGGGCCCCGCGACUUGGCCCGCGCCGCCCACCAAGUUGUGUUGGCUGCUCGCCGGGCAGCGCUGGUGAUCGUGGCUCGCCUAGCCCCCUCAGAUCUGCCGAGCGCGACAUGUGAUGGUGAUGUACGUUCAGUGGGAGGAGACGUUUCCCUCGACUAUGAAAUCGAUUUCGUCGAUCUCAAGAUGAAGUGCCGGCUCAGUACCAAGAAAGUGCUCAUAGGAGUUGGUUGUGCAUGUGUGCGUUUAUAGGGGUGAGUGUAUGUGCGUGUAUGCAUGAACGUCUGCAUAGUGUGUUAAGGAUCUAUUUUGCUUCCUAAAAUCUAUGGUGGAAACUAGUGUGUUAAGGAUCUAUUUUGCUUCCUAAAAUCUAGGGUUUGUUUCCACAAACCAUGCGAGCCGUUAUUAGGAAUUGUGUAACGCUUGCAUAUUAAUAUACUUCCUCUGUUCCUAAAUAUAUGUCUUUGUAGAGAUUACACUAUGAACCACAUACGGAUGUAUAUAGAUGCAUGUUAAGUGUAUAUUUAUUCAUUUUGCUUCGUACGUAGUCCAGCUAGUUGAAUCUUUACAAAGACUACUUAUGUUUAGAAACGGAUCUUGCUUUAUUAGUAGGUAGGUAUAGGUAUAGAUAUAGAUUGUGUAACCAUUUAUUGCAAAAUAACCUAAAAACUUAAGACCCGUCUCUUUCCUAAAAAAACAAAAAACUUUAAGACCCGUCUCUCGUCGCCGCCAUCCACAUCUAUCAGAUCCACACUGUCGAUCGUCUCCCGACAUGGCGUCUAUCCUCUCGCGGGCCUCCCGUGACUUGGCUCGCGCCGCCCGCCAAGUCUCGUCGGCUGCUCGCCGGGCAGCGCCGGUGACCAUAGCUCGCCCAGCCCCCUCAGAUCUGCCGAGCCGCCGCCUGUCCGUCCACAGCGGCGCCACCGACGCCAACAUCCCCGGCUACACCAACCCACCCCCCGACGAGCCAGUGGAAUUCGUGGCUUCAGACAACGACCUGGAAUCUGACGAGGCCCUGUGGGCGCUCUACGAGCGCUGGUGCGAGGCUUACAACGAGGAGCGCGACCACGACGAGAUGGUUCGCCGGUUCGACACAUUCAAGGAGGCUGCUUUCAUGGUGGACCGCGUGAACAAGGCCAAUCUGCCCUACACCCUGAAACUAAGCCAGUUCGCCGACGGGAAGCUGGCAGAGUCCGUGUGCAAUAAGUGGUGUGGUGAUAAACCUCGCCCUGAUCCCGCAGCUUAUCAUCGGGAGGGUGAGUUUUACAUCUAUGAUGAUGGCGGAGAUGAUGUGCCGAAAUAUCCCACGAUGAGGUUCCUCUUCUGUGAACGUGGAGGUCCCAUCAUCCCCUUGGAAUGAAUUGAUCAUCCCAUUAGCAGCAACCCUGAAUAAAGUUCUGCGUGUAUGGUGUUAUACAUGCUUAUUUUUACAAUGAUGGGCGUUUGCACACGCUGCUACCGUAGCGAUUGUAAGGCUUCGUAAACCUUGCUGUUGUAAUCUCGCUGGUUCUUCAUGAUUAGGUUUGAUAACCACCAACUAUCCCCUCUAUCCUAAUUUACCGUGUAUUAAAAUAUUUGGUUUAUUCAUUAAAAAUCAGGUGGAAAUACUUUUGCAGGGGAGGGAUUAUUCUCCGACUCAUGCUUGUGGAUUUUCAUCAAAAUGACUUUCAUGCCAUUCAGUUUAUUUUUGAAGUUAUUUAUUAGUUUAUUUUUUUAAAUCAUUAUUUGUGGAGAUGUCGAAGUAAUGGUUAAAGAAGGAAAUUAUACUGUUUUAGGGACUGCACCGAUGUCAAGUACGUUAAUCAGCAUAUUUAAAUCCCAAUGAGUCAUCGACUAUAUAAAAUUCAUAUGCAAUGAUUAACAAAGAAAUCUCGGCCUUGGAUAUUUUAAUAGUUAAAUAAUCAUUUGCAGAGAUAUUGAAGUAGCGGUUGAAGAAGAAAGUUAUAUUUUAUAGAUAAUGAUGAUAUCGGAUGGUCGGAUUCCUUUUGGUGAAAUCUGGCUAUCCGGGAUGAAGGUUUACACUUAACAUGGCAGUGACGGAGCUACAAAUACAUUGUUGGGCGGGAGAAGCCAAAGAACACGAAAGUUUGGAAUCAAAAGAUCAAGUUAGCAGUUGUAAACAAAAGAAGCCACACCAAAAUAUAGCUUCACAUUUAGAUAUUUUAGUUAUCGAUUACAGAAGUAUGGAGAAUUGAGUGAAAUUUUGAUGCAGGGAAAAUUGUGAAUGAACCAAACCAAAUUGGAUACAUGCCUACAAUCAAUCAAUUUGGAUAAAAAUCAAGCUCUAGGUGAAAUUUAAGGCAAGGACAUUGUCAAUGUGUCGAAGAAAAUGAGUUGUGCAGCUGGCAUUCACAGAAAUUGGAGUGUGCCGGAGAUGAGAGGAUCAAAUUCAAAGAAGAAAGUUAUGCGCCUAUGCCUCACUUGUAGCAAGACCGAAGAAGCUCUCACUAAAGGAAUGCCCUCCCAGACGCAAGUAAUGUGCCCGCCCAACUUUCAGUUUAGUUCCUUUUCUUUACGUUUCUACAUUGUUUCGUUUUGUUUUGUUUUCAAAUAUAUUUUUAAUACAUGCAUUAAAAAUAUAAAUUUACUAUAAAAAUAAAACCAAAAUUUGAUUUUUUUUUUAAAAACAGUGUAAAGUUUUUGCCAGCAUAACUUAAAAUAUGUUGGUAGUUUUCAAACAAAUGCUUGUGACAUUCUAAAAAUGUUCCCGUAUUACAAAAACAUGUACAUGAAAUUUUAUAAAAAUAAAUAUACAAAGUAAAAAUAAUCCAUACAAAAUGCUAAACAUGUAUAAAAAAAAUGUUUUCGAUGACUAAGAAAAAUGUAUGAUGUGUACCAAAAAAGGUAGACGUCAAGCCAUAUAUUUAGGAAAAUGUUAAUCAUGUUUAUUAAAAAUGUUAAACAUGUAUAAAAAAUGUUGUAGAUGUAUACAAAAAAAUAUACAAUGUGUAUGAAAACAUUAGGCAUCAAAACAUAUAUUAAAAAACAGUUAAUCAUGUAUUUGAAUAAUGCUAAACAUUAUUGAAAAUUGUUUUAGAUGUAUACAAUAUGUAUGUAUGAAAACAAUAAACAUCAGACAUAUAUUUGAAAAAUAAUAAUUAAUCAUGUAUAUGAAAAGUGUUAAACCUGUAUAAAAAAUUGUUUUAGAUGUAUACCAAAAGUAAAUUCCGUAAGAAAACAAUAGCCAUCUAAACAUAUAUUUAAAAAUGUAAUCACGUAUUUAAAAAUUGUUUAACAUGUGUUAUAAAAUAUUUGAAGUGUAUACGAAAGAUGUACAAUGUGUAUGAAAAUAAUAGGCAUCAAAACAUAUAUUUGAAAAAAGUUACUAAAGUAUAUGAAAAUGAUAAACCUAUAUAAAACUAUUUUUGAAUUAUACCAAAAAUAUACAAUGUGUAUGAAACUAAUAGAUAUCUAAACAUAUAUUUGAAAAAUUAUCUUGACACAUACGAGAAAUGUACAAUAUGAAAGAAAAUAUGUAGACAUGUGUUAAAAAAGGAACAAAGAAACCCGAAGAGAAAAAAGAAAACAAGAAAAGCAGAGAAAAACAAGUGUAGAAGAGAAAAAGGAAAUAACGAAAACAAGAAAAUCAAAGGAAAACUUGAAAGAAACAAAAAAGAAGAGAAAAGAAAUAAAAGUAAAAUGUCAGUGAAAACCAAGAAAGCAACGAAUAAAACCAGUGAGAAAACAAAGAAAAUGGGAAAAUUGGUGAAGAAACAAAGAAAACAAAAGAAAAAAAAAACUAGCAGACGUCGAGCGAACGAACAUGCAAAAAUAGCCCGGCCUAAAUACUGUGGCACAGAGGAAAAAUCUGUAGGCGAGAGUAUCAUACGACUCGCUGUAUGCGCGAGAUAGUCGCCACACAUAGAUGAGUCCUAGCGUAGCGGUGCUAGUCGGUACAUCUCUAUAGGAACACCUCUUCAUUGGACCGGCCUGCGAACUACACUCACCUACCAAUUGCGCCUGUCGCUUAUCUGUAGUCCUGUCGCACUGCACUGCGAUCUUGUUCCUUUUUCAAAAUCUUGUCCCCUUCGUUUACUACAGUCAUCUUACAAAUUCAAAAUGCUUAACUUACAUGGUUUUUUUUGCAAAUCUGAAAAAUGUUUCACUAAAUAUUAAAACAAAUGUUCACCUUUUAAAAUUGUUCACGCAAUUUAAAGAAAAUGUUCAUCUCAUUCUAAAAAUGGCGACAACAUUUAAAAAAAUGUUCACAUUUUUAAAAACUUAGCUAUAGGAGGUGAAGGCAAGGGGGGCUGGUGCGUGGGGAGGGAGACUCCUGGAGCUAGGGAGCACGCCGACGCCAUUGCUCACGGUGCAAGUUCGUUUCAAUCUUCGAUCCUGCUCGCUCUUGAUUCUGGGUACAGUAAAUUUUAGCUAGCUACGCUGCAAACUAAGUGGUGUGCCUCGUAUUAAUCUAUCUAUCUAUCCUAUCUUUUAUUCGGCGAGAUGGUUGCGCCUGUGGCGGAUGUGGCCGCCGCCAUCGCCGGCACCUAACCUGGUCUAGAUCCCUCCACUAUAGGAAUCAGCUACUUGACCGUCUGCCACGGCAGACGGCAAAGGCAAGGAUGGCGGACGGCAAAGGCCUUCGCCGUCUGCCGCGGACGGCAAAAGGCUCCGGCAAAGUAGGCUACGGUAAAGAGCUUCUUUGCCGUCUGCUUUCUGAAGGAGAUGGCAAAGGGGCCUUUGCCAUCGGCGGCGGACGGCAAAGAAAGCCGACGGCAAUAAAUUCGCUGUUAGUCCGUUAGGCGUCUAACGGCAGUCUUUGCCGUCCGCCGCUGACGUCAAAGAGCAUCAAGCCUUUGCCGUCUGCCACUGUAGGCAAACUGACCAAAUGGGCCAGCAGCCAGGAAGCAUAGGUGGUUGCCGUCGGUGGCAGACGGCAAAGAGCCCGUUGCCGUCGGUGGCAGACGGCAAAGAGCCUGCAUUGCCUCUUUUUUCUUUUUUUUCUUAUACCCAUCCAUUUUCACAGCAAAUAGAUGAUACAUAUAUAUUUUUCACAUGGCAAGUUCACAGCAAACAUAUGAGAUAUCCAACACAUAUAAUUUCAUCAUACAUGCAUCGUUCCAUCAACCAUACAUAGCAAGUUCCACAUACAUGCAUCCAACCAUACAUAUUACGAUAGUGUCAUCCUACCAUACAUGCAUAGUUCAUCGAUACAAAAGAAACAUAGUUCAUCCAAACAAGCACUCCAGUUAUAAAAGCAUAAAUGGAAAAGAAGCACUCCAUCCAUGCAAGCUUCCGUGAAUUAAAUCAAAUAUGCAAAAUGAUAAACAAGAUGUUAGAAAAAGAAGAAGAAAAUGAAGAAGAAGAAGAAGAAGACUAUAAGAAGUAAGCAUACUUAUGUAAAAUGGAGCUAACCUAGUGGAAAAUGAAGAAGAAGAAGAAGAAGAAGAAGACUAGAAGAAUACUAGAAGAAGACUAGAAGAAUACUAGAAGAAGAAGAAGAAGACUAUAAUUAAGCUUAUUAUGUAAACUUGGUCAUUUUGUGCUAACAUAAGUAAUUUUGGAGUUAACCUAUAGGAAACUAAGCAUAUUAGAGAUAACUUAGCAUAUUAGAGCCAACUUAGGUAAAAUGGAGCCAACCUAGCUAAUUAUGCCAUCUUUGAGUGAACUAAGCAUAUUAGAGCUAACUUAUAGCUAACUUAUGUCAUUUUGGAGAAGAAGAAGAAGAAGACUAUAAUUAAGCUUAUUAUGUAAACUUGGUCAUUUUGUGCUAACAUAAGUAAUUUUGGAGCUAACCUAUAGGAAACUAAGCAUAGUAGAGAUAACUUAGCAUAUUAGAGCCAACUUAGGUAAAAUGGAGCCAACCUAGCUAAUUAUGCCAUCUUUGAGUGAACUAAGCAUAUUAGAGCUAACUUAUAACUAACUUAUGUCAUUUUGGAGAAGAAGAAGAAGAAGAAUAUAUGACAUUUAUGAGCUAAUUUAGGUGAAAUUGAUAGUUUGUGAGCUAACCUAGGUGAAAUGGAUCGUUUAUGAGCUAAUCUAGGUAAAAUGGGUCAUUUUAGAGUUAACUUGAGUAAAAUGCAUCAUUUUGGAGCUAACCUAGGUAAGAUGGGUCAUUUUGGAGCUAACCUAGGUAAAAUGGGUCAUUUUUAGAGCUAACAUACGUAAAAUGGAUCAUUUUGGAGCUAGUCUAGGUAAAAUGGGUCAUUUUAGAGCUAACUCGGGUAAAAUUGAUCAUUUAUGAGCUAACUAAGGUAAAAUGGGUCAUUUUAGAGCUGACUUGGGUAAAAUGGAUUGUUUAUGAGCUAACUAAGCUAAUUAUGCCAAGUCUAGGUCAUUGUGGUAAGCAUAUUGGAGGAAAUAAGGCUAAGUCUAGGUCUUUAUGCAUUUGUUAAGCAAAACACUAGAUAAACUUACCAUGAUCAUGGAGGUGUAGGGGCGGGAUGGCUCGUGCCGGUAGCUGGAAAAGGAUCGUGCGAUGCUUGUCUGGAGUUACGCUGCACCAAAGAUCAUUUCCAAUGUCUCGUUAGCAUGAUGACACUCAAAUGUUAAGACUAGCAAGUAAUGUCCAUUCAAAUUAAACCCACCAUGGUCCCAGGAGCAAUCACUGGCAUCGGCGGAGCGGUCUGACCGGUCUUCUCGCACACAGACUGCACAUUUGGUUUUGACGACUCAGUCAUACUAGUUAGUAAUGAGACAAACACUACAUGAAUGUUUUGGCUAAUCUGCAGAAGAAACUUACCACAAGGAGCUCGUACAUGGCCCUUGCCUGCAUGUCAUUCCGUGCCCUCUCCUCCUCCAACAUCUUUGUCGUCCUCUCCUCCAACUCCCGCUGCCUCUCCGCCGCCUCCGCCAGAAGAUUCUUCGUUCUAUCUCUCUCACUCUGUAUAGCAGCCUGCAACGCGACUCCUCAUUACCAUUUGUAAUCAUUGAUGGAAGCACACACAAUGUAAUGGAGAAAGAUAGCUGAGUACGUGUAACUAACCUUGAUGGCGAGUUGGACUGGCCGUUCACGAGGCCUUAUCUUAGGAGCGGAGCUCGACUGGCGCGCCUUGAUCUCCUGGAGAGUGCUAGGACAACGGAUAAGUCCAUCUUCAAUGGCUAUGGAGCCAUGGGACCUCCCGCCACCAGAUAUCAUCACCAGCUCUGGAUCAAUGGGACCCUGGCUCGGGUUAAAGUCCUCCCCUUUCCUCGCCUUCCCCUCAUCUGUAUAUUUCACGAGCUUGUCGUGGGAGGAGAUGUUGGUGAAGUUUUUUGCAUCAUCGAGGUCACACGGAGAGAAUGCCUUGACUUUCUUGAAAGAGGCAGUGUGGGCCAUGGCAUACAGGUCGUACACCUCUGGCACCUUAUCCGCCUUAUUGUAGCGUGCCUGAAAGAGAGAAACAAAGUAAAUUAGUAAUUAAAGGGCUCAAGCUAGCAUGAUGAAUGAAUUGCAUGAAUCAUGAAGCAAACCACAUACCCAGUUCUGCCCGAACUGAUAUAAGUUGGCGCUGCCUUGAUGGUGUGGCACACCUUCCAUUUGGGCACGUUUGUCCUUGGCCGCGUUGUGGACGGCUAGCCAUUCUUUUGAGCACCACUCAUUGACCAACACCUCCCAACAAUCCAUCCGAUCCGCACACCAUCUCGGAGGCGCCUAAGUUAGCAAAUAGAAACUUGAGCGCUACGGCUAUGAAUUACUAAAUGAAGGAAGUAAGUACAAGGCCUUAAGAAUUACCUUCAUGUACUGCUCCUUACUUAGGAACUUAUCGCGGCACGCCGGCUUGGGCUUCUUGAUAUAUACCACGCAAGGCGUAGUAGUCUCGAACAGCCUGCACCCGAGCCUCGUGCCGUAAGUUCUGUAGUAGGCGCUUGCAGACGUUCUCGAUAACAUUUGCCGCCUCCUCCUCGUAUCCCUCCUCACACCUGUAGAAUGUCUGCAAUCAAAUGAGACAAUAUUAAUUAGUACAAUUAAUAACUAGCUAGUUGAAGAUUUUUAAAUGUGUAAAGGAGAAAUUACCCAGAACUUUCUGAUCACCACGUCUGCCCUCGUGUCGCACAAGACACCGUCGAUAAUCUCACCCGGCGGGGCCGGGGCAGCCAAGUAGUGCUCCCAGCUCAAUCCAAGCUCUGGAAGCCGACCCUCACCAGGCAACGUGACAAACCCCGGGACGUUUUGCCGGCAAAGCACUCCAAGGACAGAGUUGGGCCGGCGGACACUAUGAUGGUGGUCCCAACCCCUACAGCAUGACAAGACCAACGCAUUAGAUAUUUGAAGAAACGUCAAUGCAGAAGGUACAAAAAGAUUAAAUGCACUUACCUCUCCCCAUCAGGGUAAAUCAACCACCUCUGCUCGCGGGUCGUCGGCACGGACGGGAGCCGUGUACAACCACGCUGGUAGACGGUGCCCCCUCCUCCUCAAUAUCAGUCGGCUCCCCGCCAUCAUCAGCAUGGCCACUCGGCCCCUCAGGCUCAUCCGGCCAGGUACCCCAUCCAGACGUGUGCUCCUCCGGGGUCUCGUGGGCCGAAGGCCCGUCGACCCGAGGCUCGUGGGCCGAAGGCUCGUGGACUGGAGUCCAUGUAGCCUCCUCCUCGGACGAGUCCACCCUAGCAGUCACGUGCUCGGGUGAAACAGCUGGGGGUGGCGGCGAGGAAGGCGCCCUAGCAGUCACCCUACCUCCUCUCCCGCGACCACGUGCUCCUCUCUUCUUCCCUCCCUUACCUCUUCCCCUGCUGGGCACUGCUCUCGACGAAGAAGGGCCCGGCGGUGUCGCCAUACUGUCCAGCAACGCUCGGCGGAGAGGUGCAUGUGGAAUGGAAGACCUCCCACCACGCGCCGACGAAGAAAGGGCCUCGGAGCGCUCCCGACCAGCGCCCAACAUCUUUCAACACCUGCCAUGACAAAGAGUAAACGAAAUUAGUACAACAUAAAAAAAAUACCGACAUUAAUAAUAAUAUAUGAUGUUUUUCAUAAAAAAAUCAAAAAAAUAUAUAUGAUGUUUAAAUCUACCCGAUCAACACAAUUAUAUAUGAUGUUUCUCAUAACAAAAUCGAAAAAUAUAUGAUGUCAGGGUGUCGGGGGUCGGGGUCGGGGUGUCNNNNNNNNNNNNNNNNNNNNNNNNNNNNNNNNNNNNNNNNNNNNNNNNNNNNNNNNNNNNNNNNNNNNNNNNNNNNNNNNNNNNNNNNNNNNNNNNNNNNNNNNNNNNNNNNNNNNNNNNNNNNNNNNNNNNNNNNNNNNNNNNNNNNNNNNNNNNNNNNNNNNNNNNNNNNNNNNNNNNNNNNNNNNNNNNNNNNNNNNNNNNAGGGGGUCACGGGGUAGGGGUGUUUCCUUCUCUCCUUCUUCUUCUUUCCUUCUCUUCUUCUUCUUCUUCUUCUUCUUCUUCUUCUUCUUCUUCUUUCCUUUCUUCUUUUUCUUUUUUCCUUCUCUUCUUCUUCUUCUUCUUCUUUUAUUUCUUCCUUAUUUUCCUUUUUCCUCUUCUUCUCAUCUCUCCUCUUUUUCUUCUUCUUCUUCUCCUCCUCCUCCUCCUCCUCCUCCUCUUCUUCUUCUUCUUCUUCUUCCCCCUUCUACAUAUUCUUCUUUUCUUAUUCAUCUUUUUUCAUCUUUUUCUACUUCUUAUAAUUAUAUAACUAAUUAACUAAAACCCAUGCACUAGUCUAAUCUAAUAUAAUCUAGCACUAAAUCGAACACUAACACAUAUCUAGUAUAAUCUAACAAUUAAACAGCAAAAAAGAAAAAACAGAAAAAAACUCACCGGAGAUGGCGUUGGCUGGGGCUUCGCAGCGGCAGGGUGGCGGUGGUGACGGGGGCCCCAGGGCUUCGGGGCGGUGGCGCCGGGGCGCUGGGAGGUGGUGGGGGCGGCGGGGCACCGCGGCGGUGGGCUGUUCGGGCGGUGGGGCGGCACGGCGCCGCAACUGUGGGCCNNNNNNNNNNAAAAAACUCACUGGAGAUGGCGUUGGCCGGGGCUUCGCAGCGGCAGGGUGGCGGUGGCGACGGGGGCCGCAGGGCUUCGGGGCGGUGGCGCCGGGGCGCUGGGCAGGUGGUGGGGGCUGCGGGGCGCCGCGGCUGUGGGUUGUUCGGGCGGCGGGUGUUGGGGGCGGCGGCGGGUGGCGGUGGUUGUCGGGGAGGAGACAGAAACAGAGAGAUGGAGGGGCGGGGUGGGGCUCGGCCGUUAGUUAGGUUAGCUCUUUGUCGUCCGCCCCACCUUUGCCGUCCGCUUUUUUUCUCUUUGCCGUCUGCUGGUAGACGGCAAAGAAGGGGCUCGUUAAGUUUUUUAUGAUCAGCUCGUUAGCGGGGGCCACCACUCUCUUUGACGUCCGCUAGCGGACGGCAAAGAAUUGGCUGAUGGCAAAGACCUUCUUUGCCAUCAGCCCAUUCGUUGCCGUCCGUUUUCCUGAAGCGGACGGCAAAGACCUUCUUUGCCGUUAGCCAGCAGACGGCAAAGAACUGGCAGACAGCAAAUAAGCUAAUUCCAGCAGUGCUCUUUUGUAUUUGAGAAAAAAAGAUUUCCCUCUUCUCUUGUGAUGAGACUGGGUGGAGAUGGUGAGAGAUGAGGUCGAUGACUUUGGGGAGAGGAUAAGGGCGGACGCCGGCGGUGAGGCGGCGUGAGGAAGACGAGGUGGUUGGCGUCGGCGAGACGUGAGGGGAGGGGAAGGGAGGGGUAUCAGUGUGCGGUGGGAGAGGGUGUGCGGCGUUCCCAGUUCGCGAGAGAGGAGAGAGGUCGGCAAGGGAGCGAUCCAUGGGAGAUUUUUUCCUUCCGAGCGAGCCUAGUUGGGCUAUCUGCGCCGUCCAAGGCCCAAUGCACCACAUGUCUUCAAAUUGGCGACCAGUAGCAGCCCUUAGAACAGACAGGGCCAGUUUGCAAAUUUAAAAAUAUAAGUUCUUAGCACGCAUGGAAAACAUAACAUGUAUCUUUCCAUACAUAAUGAACUAUAGGUACCAGCCAAAAAAACAUAAUGAACUAUAGGUUGUCACAAGAACUCAUGCCAUCCCACAGCCUCCCUCAGACCCUGCCAACAUUGCUGCAGCUGCACUCACAAGCGUUACCGUAGAUGAUCAUUUGCAUGAUUUCACGCAAAACAAAAUAAGAUCUACAAAUGAAUAGAAGCUACACAUACCUUGGUAUGCACACACAUUGCAAGCCAUACUAAGCUGAUAAGUGUUAAUAACUUGUACAACAUAUACAACACUUAAGACAAGUAAAAGCAAUUUGAUUAUUCAUGGUCUAUCAAAGCAAGCUACAUAACUACUCUAAUCUAUCUUAACAGGUCACACAUGAUGACAAUCUUUUUUGUGUGCAAGUCAAGCUUAUCUAGUUUACACGUAACAACUUGUAGAACAUUACAAAAUUGAUGUUUGUUAAUAACUUGAACACUACAACACUUGGCAUGUAAAAGGAAUUUGAUGAGUCAUGACCUACUAAAGCAAGUUACAUUACUAGUGUCAUCUAUCUUAACAAGCCACACAAGAUUACGACCUAAUUUCUGUGCAAGCAAUGCUUAUCUAGUUUACACGUAACAACUUGCAUAACAUUACAAAUUUAGUUUCAGAAAAUUAGGCAAUCUAGAUUUGUGUUUGCGCUGUAAAGUGAAUAAGAUGAGUCAUGUGUGUUAUCACAUCUUUUUGGUCGUGAAAUGAUAGUGCCACCAAACACAACAUACCAAAUUAUGAUUUCGGGAAGCAUCGAAGCACUUUCCAGACAAGUGCCAAUUGUGAAAAAGAUCAUGUCAUGGCAGCUAUAAAUAGGCCUGUAGCAUGAUGAUCAUCCUUCCUCAUCCAUCAUCUCAUAAGUAGAGCGCAUCAUUUAAGCCAAGCAAGCGGGGGUCAAUAAAAAUCCACCAUGAAGACCUUUCUCAUCCUAGCCCUCCUUGCUAUCGUGGCGACCACCGCCACAAGUGCAGUUAGAGUUCCAGUGCCACAAUUGCAGCCGCAAAAUCCAUCUCAACAACAACCACAAGAGCAAGUUCCAUUGAUGCAACAACAACAACAAUUUCCAGGGCAGCAAGAACAAUUUCCACCACAACAGCCAUAUCCGCAUCAGCAACCAUUUCCAUCACAACAACCAUAUCCGCAGCCGCAACCAUUUCCGCCACAACUACCAUAUCCGCAGACGCAACCAUUUCCACCACAACAACCAUAUCCACAACCGCAACCACAGUAUCCGCAACCACAACAACCAAUUUCGCAGCAACAAGCACAACAACAACAACAACAACAACAAAUCCUUCAACAAAUUCUGCAACAACAACUGAUUCCAUGCAGGGAUGUUGUCUUGCAACAACACAACAUAGCGCAUGCAAGCUCACAAGUAUUGCAACAAAGUAGUUACCAACAGUUGCAACAAUUAUGUUGUCAGCAACUGUUUCAGAUCCCCGAGCAGUCGCGGUGCCAAGCCAUCCACAAUGUCGUUCAUGCUAUUAUUCUGCAUCAUCAUCAACAACAACAACAACAACCGUCGAGCCAGGUCUCCUACCAGCAGCCUCAGGAACAAUAUCCAUCAGGCCAGGGCUCCUUCCAGUCAUCUCAGCAAAACCCACAGGCCCAGGGCUCUGUCCAGCCUCAACAACUGCCCCAGUUCCAGGAAAUAAGGAACUUAGCGCUGCAGACGCUGCCAGCAAUGUGCAAUGUCUACAUCCCUCCAUAUUGCUCGACCACCAUUGCGCCAUUUGGCAUCUUCGGUACUAACUGAGAAGAGAAGAACUCUAGUACUAGAUAUAUGAAACACCGUUUUCUUAAUCGACAGUUUGAUCGUUGUAGCGGUGAAAAAAUAAAGUGUCAUGCACUAUCAUGUAAGAACCCGAACUAUACUAGUUCAAACUUGGGAAUAAAAGACAUACACAUGUCUUGUCUGCAUAUGAUUAUUUGUUUGAGUUCCAUUCAUGUGCCCGUUCAGAAGUUCACCCCUAAUUAAAUAUAUUAUGCAUUAACUAGAUAUUUAUGUGGCAUUAAUCUAAAGAUAACAAAAUAGGUUUGAAACUUGAAUUACAUUGAAGUAUUUUCUUGGGCUUUCAAAUUGAGUAUUAUUAAAGUAGUAAGGACUAUCCACAUCCUUGGCUUGCCCUUGAUCGAUUAUUUACAGAGAAGCAUUCAAUUCAUCAAUCAAUUACAUUGAUUUUUGUGGCUGGUACUUCUCCGCAUCAUGAGUAUAUUCCUUGCGGCUACUCCAAAUCGACCACAUAACCGAAGCAUUAAUAACGCCCUU
rnacentral:lncRNA from 1 species